UCCACAACCACCUCCUCUCUGCGUCUUCUCGAAUAGUUUGUUUAUCUUCUUGUUCUCGCCCUCCCCUCUCAGUCUCGUCAGGUGUUGCGAAGGUGGUUCUUAAAAAGGGAAAGACACAGCUCUUCAAAGACGGAAGUCCAAUGGUGUACAGUGGAGCCGUGGACAGGAUCAUCGGAAAACCGCCUCCACAGACCGGAGAUGUUGUCAUUGUCGCCGAUGGCACCGAGAAUCCCAUUGGCUGGGGGUUGUAUAACUCCGUAUCUAUGUUCUGUGUUCGCCUUAUGCAGCUCCAACACGAAUCCACCAGGUUUCUUUCUUUCUUUCUUUCUUUCUUUGGAGUCAACUUGUUUUGCUUCAUAUUGAUUCCUUUUCUUCUUAUUGGCAGAGAUCCUUCGUGUGCACUCAACAUUGAGAAGCUUCUCCAAACUAGAAUCACUCAAGCAGUUCAGUUGCGGAAUAGUUUGGGACUCCCCUCGGAUAAUAAUACUAAUGCUUAUCGUCUUGUCAACAGUGAGGGAGAUAGGUGUUCUCACUCACUCACUCACUCACUAGCUAAAUCUCAAUCAAAAUUUUUUUUUUUCAAUCUUCUUCUAACAUAUCAUUAUCUUUAGAUUGUCUGGAUUGAUAGUGGAUGUGUUUGGAGAUAUAGCUGUGGUUGCAUCCUCCGCCGCUUGGCUUGAAAAAUACAGGAGUCAUGUGGAGGCUUGCUUGAGAUCAAUCAAUGGUAUUAAUCACAUUAACUGGAGACCCUCUCUUGAUGUUCUCAAAGAAGAUGGCUUUGAUAUCUCCUCUUUGAAACAAACAUCAUCUGCUCCUCCUCUCCCCGAGAGAUCAAUGGUCUUUGCUUCCCCUUGGCUAUCUUUAUGGAAACAAUCAUCAGGGAAUGAUCUUUCUUUCUUAUCCUCCUCCCCCUUAGGUGGUGGAAAAUGGUAUCUCUUACGCAAUCUCUCUAGAGGGACAGAAGACAGGGUUCUACACUGAUCAACGCGAAAACCGCCGCUUCAUAUCGACCAUCUCCGCUGGCAAAAGGGUUCUUGAUCUUUGCUGUUAUAGUGGUGGAUUCGCACUAAAUGCUGCGAGCGGAGGUGCCACCAGUGUCCUCGGUGUUGAUUCAUCUUUGCCUGCUUUGGAGCUCGCCAGAGAGAAUGUAAUCCUCAACCGUAUGGAUCCAGAGAAGGUUGCUUUCUUCAAACAAGAUUCUACAGAGUUCAUGAAGGGCGCUCUGUCAAGGGAAGAGACAUGGGACAUCGUCAUCCUAGACCCUCCUAAGCUAGCUCCAAGGAAAAAGGUUGGCCCCUUGGGACUUGUUUUCUUUUUCUUUUUCUUCUAUUGAUUUACAGGAAUAGUUAUUGAGAGGUUUUGAAUAUGCUCUGCUAGGUUUUACAUAACGCGGCAGGAAUGUACAGGAAUCUCAACUCGUUGGCGAUGAGAUUGACAAGUAGUGGAGGUUUGUUGAUGACAUGCUCAUGUUCAGGUGCCAUGACACAGAGCGGGAAGUUCUUGGGCAUUCUUCAGAGCGCUGCAGCUAUGGCGGGAAGGAAGAUCACUGUGGUUAGGGAGGCAGGAGCUGCUUCUGAUCACCCUCUCGACCCAUCCUACCCUCAAGGCCAGUACCUCUCCAAUAUUCUGCUUCGGGUGCUCUGAGUUUUCGUUUCAACAAAUGCUCAAUAUUAUUUUUUAGGUUUGUUGGGGACAAAAGUAAUUUAGUUUGAACUUGUUUGUUAUAGAUAUUUGGAGUAUCAGCUCUCACCGAAUGAACCAUUUUUGCAAGCAAGGAUUUCAUUGAGUAACGUUUCUUAAUUUCACUUAUUUUCUUUAUAAAAGUGAAAAGACAAUUUCAAAAAUUAGAACAGUUUUAUUUGAGGAAAACCACUUCAAUACAUUUUAUCCGAAAUUUUAGAAAAGAAUAGGUACGAAGAACAACAACAACAAAAAAGAACAGUUAAAAGUGAAAAAAUUUAUAAUUUCCGCAAAUGAAAUUAUAGUAUAGUUGAGCAUAUGAUUGAACCACGUCACUGUACGAUAAUAAUUCAAUGAUUCAUGAGAAUUCAUUUUGUUCUAUCUUCCUUUGGUUAUAUAAAACAUAAUUGGCCACAGAAGAAUUAUCAAAAGAAACAGCUCCUCUUGAUAGCAUUUGAAGGUAAAAUCAUAAUUGUAUUUGAAUCAAAAUGUUUGAUAUUUGUCAAUUGUCAAGACACUGCACCGCUAUUGGUCAGCUUCACUAAACUCUGAAGUCGACAUUUGCUUAAUUAAUAAUUCACUAAUCACUCAAUUUGUUGCUUAAUUAAUUAUUGCUACUUAAUUAUUUUCUCUGUAAGAUUACAACAUAUCACAGUCGUUUCGACUGUUUGUACAUCUUCACUGAUAAAAGCUUGUAUUCCCUCCGUUUCACUUUAUUUGUCCAUCUAGGUUUUUUGACACAUAUUAAAAAAUGAUUAAAUUUAUUAUUUUGUUCUUAUUUAAUACAUGAGAGUGAAUUUGAAAAAACUAGCAAAUCGAAAACAUAAAACAACACUUAAAAUGAAAAAAAUAAUACGAAAAAGAGGGAGCAUCAACAAAGCACACCAUCGUUUGCUUAAUCUGAAAAGUUGAGGUGGCUGAUCUGGGACUUGUGUAUGAAACAAGUUACUAAGGAGGAUCACUUGAACAAGCAGCGCGAUGAAUUGUAGUGUUGAUGUCAUUAGAAACAAUCACAUAAUAAGAUGAAUGUUUCCUGGUAUUAACUAUAAAAGCCGGAAAACCGGAUCAAAAGAAACGAUAUAAUAUAAACGACGUUAAGGAAAAUAUACAGACGAUUCAAAACCGUAACGGAAAUGAAACCAUGGAGUCGAGACGAAUCUCUUUCCUUAACUCUUAAUAUUCGCUCCGUUAGUGCGACGGAUCUGUACGAAUAGGAGUCCCAGGAUAAAACCAUGAUAGGUUAUCACGCAGCACUCGUGAAGAACCUCUAACGAACUAAUAUUUCUACGAAACACUCUCUAGACUUACGCUAUAGGAUUUGCUGGUUUUUGUUGUGAAAAAACGUCAAAAGAAAUGAAGGAGGAGACGAGUUUAUAAAGAAGAGAAGACGAGCCACUUUCCGUAACUGAUGCCGCACGUGCGCACGUUGGCGGAAAUCUCGCGAGGAUCUCGGAGGUGAGGCGUUACGAAACUUCCUCCGCAAGAUCAUCUUUUCUCGUUUAUACUUAUCGUCAAGAAGAGAGACAGCGUGUUGUUUUUAAACGAACUACGUGUUGUUUAAAAUAAAAUGCACGUCGUUUUUUCGGGAAUUAAAUGGCAAAGCGUUGAGCUUAACUUGGUCCAAAAAAAAUAGUUCUUAUCGGGCCAAAGGCUCUCCACCCAAGGCCAAGCCCAAGCCCAAGGCCAAGCCCACGCCGAGCCGGCCGGACGGCGGCGGCGCGCGCGUGGGGAAUUCUCUCUUCCUCUGAGCCGUUUAACACAUGGUAUGUGUGAGUGCAUAUAUAUACAGCUCGACUCUUCUCUUCCUCCCCGAUGUGGGACUUUGUAAGUUUCAUUUCAUUAACCACACAUAAGUGGGCUAUUAGGCACACAAGCCCAAUCAUUUGUUAUUCACAUAUUUUAAUUAAACCCAAUUGGUUUAAUUGAUCCAACAAUCCCCCACAUGAAUAGAAAUGACUCUUCUAAACAUAUGCAGACUAAAUGCAGACUCGAUAGACUCUAAAAAAAACUAUACUUAUUCUAAUCUGGACUAGACUAGACAGACUUAUCGAGAGUAUUUGCGAAAAUUCAAUUGUGUUUGAGUUGGUGGCAUUUUUAAGCCUUGAACCACUCAUAGUUAAUAUCUGUCGGGUUUACUUUACCAGAAGGUGAACAUGAUGUCUUGAACCAACCGGUGUUUUAUGUAAACCGAGACAACAGGCAUAACGCAGCUUCAUUUUCUCGUAGAACUUAGUUCUCUAUUGUGUUCAUUGUGGUCCUGAACUAUUCCUGGUUUUCAUGAGUGAACUUAGAGAAUAUAGCCUUGCAUUCAUUCUCCUAGAAACGGCCUCAUUUCACACUCAUUAGGUGAUUGACCAUGAAAAGUAUUGAGUAAUACUCCGCUUAAGAAGCUAUGGAAUCAUUAAAAGCUUAUGCUUAUCCUUCUCACAUUUGUUAGCACUUUUAUCAUCUUAGGAGCUGGGAAGAGACUACUUGUCUCAAGUGCUUUGGUUAGAUUCUGUUUGAUUUUGUUUUCCCUUUGAACCUACGUCUUGGGAUCUCCAGUCAUGAUAGGUAGGGUUGCAAUCAAGCAUCCUCAUUCGUUAUAGGCUUUAAACCCAUUCAUUUUGAUGAUUUAGCAACAACAUCUCGUGACAAACCUUUAGUAAAUGGAUCCGCUAGGUUGUCAGCCGAUUUGAUGUACUCUAUUGUAAUUACACCAGUUGAGAUAAGUUGUCUAAUGGUUUUAUGUCGUCUUCUGAUGUGACGAGAUUUACCAUUGUAGAGAUUAUUCUCAGCCCGAGCUAUAGCUGAUUGACUAUCACAAUGUAUGCGUAUAGCUGGCACAGGCUUCUCCCACAUAGGAAUAUCUUCCAAAAAAUUUCUAAGCCAUUCAGCUUCUUCCAUCGUCGAUCUGGCUAACACUGUUUGUUUGGUAGAUUUCCAUGAUAUUGCUGCUCCCCCUAGUGUAAAUACAUAUCCACUUGUGGAUUUUGAGUUUUUAGAAUCUGAUAUCCAGUUAGCAUCACUGUAUCCUUCUAAAACUGCUGGUUCUUUACCAUAGUGGAACCCAAAAUCUUUGGUGUAACGUAAGUAAUUGAGUACCCUCGUUAUAGCUUUCCAGUGUGUAUGACCUGGAUUACUUGUAUAUCGACUAAGUACGUUUACUGCAUGCGCUAGAUCUGGUCUAGUACAAUUUGUCAAGUACAUGAGACUUCUGAUCACACGUGCAUACUCGUUUUGUGAAACCGCUUCACCUGAAUUCUUUGUCAAGUGCAUUUGGGGAUCUAACGGAGUUUUUGCCGUAUUAUUAGAGUAAUUUUUAAAUCUCUCUAAUAUUGUUUGAGCAUAAUGAGAUUGGGUUAAGAUAAUUCCGUUUGAAUUUCUUGUGACUUUAACCCCGAGAAUUACAUCUACUAAUCCCAAGUCUUUCAUCUCAAAUGUCCCUUUGAGCAUGUUCUUUGUUUGAUUGAUAAUGUCUUUAUUGCUUCCAAUAAUGAGCAUAUCAUCUACAUAUAGACAUAGCAAAACAUACGCAUUUUUGGUAGUUUUGUAGUAUAUGCAUUUGUCACAUUCAUUUAUUUUGAACCAUUUGACAUCAUUGUAUUGUCAAAUUUUUCGUGCCAUUGUUUAGGAGCUUGUUUAAGCCCAUAAAGUGACUUUACAAGUCGACAUACUUUGUCUUCUUGUCCGGGAAUGACAAAACCUUCAGGUUAUUUCAUGUAAAUUUCCUCUUCUAAAUCACCAUUUAGAAAAGCAGUUUUUACAUCCAUUUGAUGGAUUUCUAGGUCUCUCAAGGCUGCGAUUGCUAUCAUCAGUCUUAUUGAUGUUAUUCUCGUCAUUGGAGAGUAUGUAUCAAAAUAGUCAAGGCCUUCCUUUUGUCGGAAUCCUUGAACUACAAGCCUAGACUUGUAUUUUCCACCAGGUUUGCGUGUCAUUAUCCAUUUAUUUCCUAAUGCUUUGCAGCCAGGUGGUAAAUCCGUUAUGUAAUACGUAUAAUUUUGCAUAAUCGAAUCUAAUUCACUCCUGACAGCUUCGUUCCAAAAAGGAGCUUUUGGUGAAGCCAUGGCUUCUGCCAAAGUUUUUGGAGCAUUUUCUACUAAAAAUGCCAUUAGGAAAUCUUCUCCAAAAGAUUUUUCCUUUCGAGCUCUUUUGCUUCUUCGAGGUUCAUCUUUUCCUUCAUUUUCUGAAAUAUCAUUUAUAGAAAUCUCGACGUUUGUCUCAGUUUCUGAGUUCUUGUCGUUGUCUCUUUCUUCUCGAGUUCGUUUUGAAUCUUGUUUUUCCUUAUAUGGAAAAAUAUUUUCGAAGAAAGAUGCAUUUCUUGAUUCCAUGACUGUAUUUUCAUGAAUGUCUGAUAUUUCAGAUUUAUGUACCAGAAAACGAUAAGCAUUACUGUUAUGUGCAUAUCCGAUGAAGAUGCAAUCCACUGUUUUAGGUCCAAUAGUGACCUUCUUUGGUGGCGGUACCGCAACUUUUGCCAGGCACCUCCACACUUUGAGGUAUUUAUACGAAGGUAACUUUCCUUUCCAUAAUUCAUAUGGAGUUUUGCCAGUUACUUUGUGUGGAAUCUUGUUGAGGAUAUAAUUAAUGGUAAGCAACGCUUCCCCCCACAUGUUCUGGGGUAACCCAGAUUCCUGCAACAUAGCAUUCAUCAUCUCUUUUAGAGUUCGAUUUUUGCGUUCAGCAACUCCAUUAGAUUCUGGUGAGUAAGGAGCUGUAGUUUGAUGGAUUAUUCCAUGUUCUUUACAGAAUGCAUUGAACGGACCAUCAUACUCGCCUCUUCUGUCGCUUCUAACUACUUUAAUAGUUGUUUUAAGCUGAUUCUCGACCUCGAGUUUAAAUUCUUUAAAUUUUUCCAAGGUUUCAUCUUUGCUAUGUAAUAAAUAAACAUAACAAUAUUUUGUGCAGUCAUCUAUGAAGGUCACAAAGUACUUUUUACCACCUCUAGUUUGUAAGUAUUUUAAAUCACAUAAAUCAGUGUGAAUUAAAUCUAGAGGUUUAUUAGUUCUUUCAACACGAGGUGAUGGCGUUUUUGUGAGCUUUGCCUGUACGCAUACUUCACAUUUUUGUUUACUUGUUUUGCAUUUAGGAAUUAGAUUUAAAUUCAUUAAUAUUUGUAUAGACUUGUAGUUUACAUGGCCUAAUCUUUCAUGCCAUAUAUUAAAAGACUCAACCAAAUAAGCAACUGGCUCAUUCUUAUUCAUUGAAACUUUUGGAGCUACAACUUUUGGAGUGACUGUCAUUACAUUCAACUUGACAAGUCCACCCUUAACAUAUCCCCUUCCCAAAUACAUCCCAUUCUUCCUAAUCACGAGCUUAUCCGCCUCAAAACUUGUGGCGAAACCAUUCUUGCUGAGCAAGGUUCCCGAGACUAGGUUCUUCCUCAUGUCAGGCACAUGCUUCACAUUUGUCAGAGUGACCUCACGUCCAAAUGUCAUCUUCAAGAUCACAUUGCCGCGUCCUUCAAUCUUGGAGACUGUAGUGUUUCCCAUCUUGAGCUUCUCCUUAGUCUUGCUUUUCUGAUAGGUGCUGAACAUCGCCCUAUCGGUGCAAAUGUGGGUGGUUGCACCAGUGUCAUACCACCAUUCCUUGAGGUUGUUGCUUUCAACCAUAUUUGCUUCAGUCACCACAGCAACGAGAUCCUCCUCAGUGAGAUUUGCCUGAGCCUUCUCAUCUUUGAUCUUUUUGCGACACUCAACAGUUUUGUGCCCCACUUUGUGGCAGUAGUGACAUUUCCCCUUGAACUUCUCCACAUUCGCAUUGAUCUCAAUACCUUUGUUCUUGAAGUUUUUUUCAGAAGCCUUCAAGGCUGCAGCAGUUUUGGAAGGCUUGGCAGGAGAAUAGGCGUGGGCCUUUCCUUUGCCUUUGUGCUCAGCCAUGUUGACACUGUGCUCCUUUGUACCGACCUUUGCAGCAGUUCGGUUUCUGGAUUCCAUCUGAAGCCUCGUGAUGAGCUCCUCGAGCCCCAUCUUCUUCUUCUUGUGCUUCAAGUAGUUCUUGAAAUCCCCAUAGCUUGGAGGAAGCUUUUCAAUGAAGCUGAGAGUUGUGAAUGUCUCGCAGAUGGACAUUCCUUCAGCAGCGAUUUCAUGGCAAAUGAGCUGAAGCGCUUCCACCUGAUCCAUGAUGGGUUUUGAAUCCACCAUUUUGAAGUCGUGGAAUUUUGAGACUACAUACUUCUGGCAGCCAGCGUCCUCACCUCUGUACUUCUUGUCUAGUGAUCUCCAUAACUCUUUCGCCGUGGGGAUCUCACAAUAGACACGGUACAAUGGGUCAAUGAGGCGACCCAAAAUGUAGCCUUUGCAGAUGAAGUCGGAAUGCACCCAUAUGUCAACAGUUGCGAGGCUGUGAACAUCAUCAAUCCCGUAAGGCAUAAGGGGCUUGUCCUCCUGGAGGAACUUCUCCAGCUUCAUCGUUGCCAGGAAGAACAACAUCUUCUUCUGCCACGUUUUGAAGCCUUUGCCAUCAAAUUGGUUUGGCAUCAGUCCUUGAGUGAACACACUAGGGACAGCCGGAGGAGUUUGAACUGCCACCGGACCACUUACAGUUGCUAAAAUUGAACCCGUCUGAUAAAGACCAGCACCGAAUAGGAUACGGCGAGUGGUUUCAUCAGCAGCAUUCCCUGCAGAGAGGAAAGUGCUCGUUGUUGCUGCAGUGGUUGACGCUGUGAUGUUUCCAGCGGUUGUCACGCCAGUUGCUGCAGCGUUGAGUGGAGUCUGAAUGACAUCCAAGGUGUCCAUGGGAGUGGGGGUGUCGUUCUCGUUUGUCAUUUUCCUGUAGAGAAAACAUGAAAACGGAUUAGUACUCCAUUCAACAAUUACAUAUUAUUUUAAUGAAAAUAAUAGUCUAAAAUCGAUGUUCUUUUUUGGUGUUUGAACCAAAUCAUAUCGAUAUAAGUUUUGAAAAAACGUUUUGCAAACUCGCUUAAAAGCGUUCGCAGAAACCAUUUUUAUAGACUUAGAAUGUUUCACAAACUCGCUUAAGAAAGCGAUCUUGAAACAAUUCAUUUAUAGAACGUUUCGCUAUACUGCUAGAAAACAAUCCGCAAAGCGUUAUUAAUAAAUAAGAAACGUUUCGCGGAAGGGCUAUAAAGCAAAUCGCAAACUCGUUUUCACCAAAAUAAGAAACGUUUCGCGGAUAAGCAUAUAGCAAAUCGCAAACAACGUUUGAUUGAACCCCGAAAGGUUUUUACGAAUCGUAUAUCAAAAAACGUUUUCCGGUAGUGCUACAGAGCAAAACGCAAACCGUUUAUGAGAUAAAUAACAAAACGUUUCGCGGAAGUGCUAGAAAGCAAAUCGCAAACAGCGUUCCAAAACCCGUAUUUAUAAAUCGUUUUUCAACCCGAUUCGAGCUUUAAACGUAAAGCGAUUAAGAGUUAAGAUUGUAAAAGCCGGAAAACCGGAUCAAAAGAAACGAUAUAAUAUAAACGACGUUAAGGAAAAUAUACAGACGAUUCAAAACCGUAACGGAAAUGAAACCAUGGAGUCAAGACGAAUCUCUUUCCUUAACUCUUAAUAUUCGCUCCGUUAGUGCGACGGAUCUGUACGAAUAGGAGUCCCAGGAUAAAACCAUGAUAGGUUAUCACGCAGCCCUCGUGAAGAACCUCUAACGAACUAAUAUUUCUAUGAAACACUCUCUAGACUUACGCUAUAGGAUUUGCUGGUUUUUGUUGUGAAAAAACGUCAAAAGAAAUGAAGGAGGAGACGAGUUUAUAAAGAAGAGAAGACGAGCCACUUUCCGUAACUGAUGCCGCACGUGCGCACGUUGGCGGAAAUCUCGCGAGGAUCUCGGAGGUGAGGCGUUACGAAACUUCCUCCGCAAGAUCAUCUUUUCUCGUUUAUACUUAUCGUCAAGAAGAGAGACAACGUGUUGUUUUUAAACGAACUACGUAUUGUUUAAAAUAAAAUGCAUGUCGUUUUUUCGGGAAUUAAAUGACAAAGCGUUGAGCUUAACUUGGUCCAAAAAGAAUAGUUCUUAUCAGGCCUUUGGUCCGACACCCACGCCCACGCCGAGCCGGCCAGACGGCGGCGCGCGCGUGGAGAGCUCUCUCUUCCUCUGAGCCGUUUAACACAUGGUAUGUGUGAGUGCAUAUAUAUACAGCUCGACUCUUCUCUUCCUCCCCGAUAUAGGACUUUGUAAGUUUCAUUUCAUUAACCACACAUAAGUGGGCUAUUAGGCACACAAGCCCAAUCAUUUGUUAUUCACAUAUUUUAAUUAAACCCAAUUGGUUUAAUUGAUCCAACAUUAACUACACUUCAAAGGCAGCCAAAGUUUCUUCCCUCACAGAACAGCCUUCAUAAGUGGGCUAUUAGGCACACAAGCCCAAUCAUUUGUUAUUCACAUAUUUUAAUUAAACCCAAUUGGUUUAAUUGAUCCAACAUUAACUACACUUCAAAGGCAGCCAAAGUUUCUUCCCUCACAGAACAGCCUUCUUAAUAUUUCUAUAUAAACACUAAAUAAACUAACCAUCACUGCCCUGCCCUGAGAAGCUAUCUUUUAAAAAUCAUUGGGUGAAAAGAAACAUUUCACAACUAUUGUAGGAACUGGAACCAAACAUGGCCAAGUCUCACCAUGACACCAUCUUUGGUUUUUUAUCACAUCGUUGUUUAUUCCUUAUCUAAUGCACUUAUAUAUUUAGACGCGUAUUAGAAUCUACGUCCAUGGUUAUCUCCUCGACUGUUCAGACCAUUUUGCAUGGAUUGUCAUGUGGUGAAAAGAGUGAAGACUUAAAUUGGAUGAUUUAUUAUGCUUGCAUGGAUGCUUUAUUAUGCAUAUAUAAACUGGAUUUGUGAACUGUGCAAAGCAAAAUGGCAAAUAAUUCAAGCAGAGAGACAUGGGGAGAAUCUAAACCACACUUUCAUGACAGUAUCAGAAACCUUUGCUUCUCACUUCUUUUGCUGAGCCUUGAGUUCUUUUACCCUCUCUUCCGUUGCUUUCAAUGCUUUCCCGUAGAUAUCAAUUAACUGCAAAAAUGAAUAAGAGCCACCAAAUUAGGGGAAAAGGGGAAAAAAAAAGAUUUAACAGAUUAAUGAUGUCUCAAGAAUUGUAACCUAUAUAUACCUCAUCGAUCUCUUCAGGUGAGAUAAUGAGCGGUGGAGACAUCAUUAUGCCAUCACCUGCAACACGGACUAACAUACCGCGUUUCUGGCACUCGGCUCCAAAAUAUGCACCAACACCUGUAAACAUCAAUUGAAAACGGUGCAGGGAUGUGUGUAAGGUAAUGAGUUUAGGAGAGAGACACUUUUGUUGUUUGGUUGGUUAUUAGAGAUACUUUACCCCAUUCUGGGGGAAAUGGUUCGUUCGGAGAUUUGUUGUCUGUAAACUCAGUCCCCAGAAUCAAACCCGUUCCUCUUAUCUGAAAACCAUCACAAAAAUGUUCAAUCAAAGACUUCAACAGAUAGGCUGGUGAGUAACAUUAUACCUCUCCAAUAAUAGGACUACUCUUGGCAAAAGCUUUAAGACCAUCUUGAAACCUUGGGGAAACUUUGGCGACAUGUUCUGGUAUGUUCCUCUCCCUGUCAUAUGAAUAUUGAGCGUCAAGAAAGUGCAGAUAAGAAUAGAGAAAUGAGAACCAUAAUCACCAACUCACUUGUAUAUCUUUAACGCUUCAAUUGCUACAGCACAUGAAACUGGAUGACCAGAGUAAGUAAAUCCAUGCGAGAAAGCACCUGAAAUACCAAAACAAAAAAUGGGUUUUAAGAUCUCAGGAUACUGGAAUAUUACAAAGUUGAGCAUAACUAGCCCAUACCUAGCUUGUUGCUUUGAGAAUAUAUGACAUCUGCUACUUCUUGACUCAUAAGAAUGGCACCAAUAGGCAUAUAUGCUGAAGAGAGUGCCUGCAUCAUAUAUUAAAAACAUUUACCAAUUGUCUGGAGAAGUUUCGCAACAGUGAUAGGAAAUCUACAAAUCAUCUGACAAAAUCUCACCUUGGCUAAGGACACAAGAUCUGGCUUGAUGUUGUAUUUGUCACAGCCAAACAUUGUCCCCAGUCGCCCAAAUGCACAAAUCACCUUAUAGACCAAACAUAAUUAUAACGGGUAAUGAUAUCUUUUUUUUUCUUCAUCGUGAUAGUAAACAUGGUUCAAUAAGAUAAUGCAUAUACCUCAUCAGCAAUGAACAGGAUGUCAUACUUCUUAACAACAGCUUGAAUCUGCAGUACAGAAAUGAGAUAAGAAAAAAAAACACAUCACAUCCACAAUGACCUUACCACGAAAAAGAUUAAUCAUUGCAGUUUGGUAUUUAUGCCAACAAAGGUUUCGAAAUUGACCUUUUCAAAGUAUGUAGCAGGCGGAGGUAUCACACCGCCAGCACCCAUUACUGGUUCAGCAAUAAAAGCACCAAUCUGGUAAGAAGACAUUUGCGUUAGAUUGGAGCUGCCAACAUCAACGUUACUAAAUGAAGAUCGUAAUUUCCUUAGAUUGCUCACAGUUUCUGGUCCCUCUUUAAUGAUAAGAUCCUCUAAAUUCUUGGCUAAUCUGGUUGAGAACUCCUCUUCCGUUUCCCCUGCACAAAAAAUUAUCCAAGGUUAAAAUAAAAAGAUCACACUCAAGCUUUUAGCAAAGCUUCCCUUUAACCAAUAAUGGAAUUUAGAAUCCUUCAUACCCGGAAGAUGAAAACGCCAGUAAUGAGGGCAAUCUGUGUGCAACACAAAUGGUGCAGGUAAAUCAAAGUUUUGAUGCAACGCUGGGAGACUGUAAAAUUAGAGAAUCAAUAUUUUGAUGCAUUUGUUAGGCAAAUAUAAAGUCUCUUUGGCAUUUCUAAAGAGAAUAUCUGAGGAACUAUAUAUUCAUCAUACCCGGACAAACUUGCUGAUAUUAAAGUGGAGCCAUGGUACCUGAAAUUCAUAACACCACCCUUAUAAGUAAGUACUUCGAGAGCUUAUAGAAACAGAUAACACACAAAAUGACAAGCAAAUAUCCUUUUCUUUCUCACGAUUUCUUUCUCGCGAUAAACUUUUUCUUCUCAGGCCUCCCAAGUGCGUUAUUGUAAUACCAAACCAGCUUGACCUGCAUAAUACAUGAGAUUUAUAAGCUUCUAAACAAGGAGAUCAAGGUAGAUCAUAUAGUUUGGGGAACCUCAAACCUGUGUAUCAUUGGCCUCUGAUCCACUGUUUGUAAAAAAUGCUUUGGCCAUUUUCUUGGCCGUGAACAUCUCUAAAAGAUCCUUAGCAAGAUCCUGUUUUCGCAGGAAAAAUAUAACACAAUGAUCAAAUUCUCUUUAAUCACCCUAAUUACACAGCAGAAUGUACAAAAAACAUUAUUAAUAAAAGGACAGCAGAAGUAAAAAGUCUCACCAGAGAAGGCUUAGUAGUACGGUUCCAAAAGGAGUGAUAAAAGGGCAAGGUGUUCAAUUGCCCUACAGCAGCAGAAACAAGCCGUGGCUCAUUUCCUCCUGCAAGAUGUUGUGGUAUCAAUGCUAACACUUUCACAAAUAUCCUAGGAAUAGCGAAAUAUACAAAAAGGAAAAAAGAGAAACAUCAAGUCAAAUAGUGUGGUAACAGAAGGAACAAUAUACCUAAGGCAGUACACCAUAGACCAGCGAGAGAGUCAAGAUACUUCUUCCCAUGGUCAUCAUACACAUAACUCCCCUGUAAGAAGAAUGAAAGGAAAAGAAAUGUCACACACUUUUUUGUAGGAACAUUGACGAAUGAAUCAAAAAAGAAGGGGGGUGACCUCGGAUUUGGCUAUGAUCAAAGGAUCUAAAUCAGCACUCUGCCACCCAGCUGUAAAAGGUGCUAGCAUAUCAUGCCCCUUUGACCUGCCCAUCAGAAAACGCAACCACUUAUUCAUCGCCACGUUGACAAAAGCAUGAAACUUUUGCAGAAAAUAAUCACGAGUGUGAAACUUACCCAAGCUUCUCUGGUGAUGCUUCUGUAGUGAGGAUUCUUGAGCCAGGCAUGUAUUGGGAAGAAACAGCAUACCUGCUCUGCAAAGUAACCUGCCAUAUGAGAGAGGAGCGAGUUUUUUGAGCUAUGAAUCAAAAUCACUAUUUGAGUUAAUAUAUAUAAAAUGGAUUCCUUGAAAUUCUUCAAGAUCACUGUUUGGGUAGUUUAUUAUUAUAAAAUUAAAAAAAGGGUUCCUUGAUUACUGGAGAAUCCCACAAAAGUUACACUCUCACAAAGUCACGUUUGAUGGGAAUAUUAUUUGAAAGUACGACUUACAAAAAAAAAGAAAAAGAAGAAAGAAAGAUUCAAUUUUUAAGCAUUUGAACAUGAAUCUGGACAGAAUCCUGAUCUACUACGGGUGAGGAGUGACGAUGAAGCAGCUAAAAAGCAAUCGAAAGGAGCGAGUGAGAAAACCUGGGUAGUGCGCGCCAAUCGUCGGAGGCUGUUGACCACUGCCAUUUCGAAGAUUGAAUCUGUAGAAAUGAUCCUUUGAUUCUUUUGAGAUUUGUUCGCUUUUAAAAACAGAGGAGGAUCAUCAUCGUUGAUACCUUCCUUAUAUGAAUACUCUACAAAAUUAAAUAUCUUUUUUCUUAUUAUCUCUUCGACUCCCAUUUGAUUUUUGAUCAGUGACGUGUCAUUGACUCAUUUUAUUACAUAUAUAUUUUUGAUCAUCGUCCUUGAUACCUUCCUUAGUUUCCAUUCAUUUUUUUCCCACAAAUUGAAUUUAUUCAUACGGAAAAUACCAGUAUUUAUACCGGCCAAACAAAAUAGUCUCAGAACCAAAAGUCCAUAAAAAAUGACAACUAAAUAUCACAUUGAGGCGACUUAAACCCACACCAGAGUGACUUAAAAAAGAACAUAAAACAUAACAACUACAAUGAUAUAAUAGUGCACCUAGCAAUCUUUAGAAAUGAUAAAAUGCCAAUGAUCGAGAAUUACCGCUGCUGCCUAUAGUCCACCACCCGGUACAUUCUACUUCUACACCUAAACCACACUUAUCGAUGCUGCCUUGUCCGCCACACGAUAAGACCAAGACCCGGAGACUUCACAAACUCGACAAGGAGAACACGCUGCUCGGUCCACACUUUUUGGAUAUAUAAACACUCUACGAUCUAAGAAAAAAGCUCCUCCAAACACCAAGAAGAUGAAGCCUUGCCAACCGAAUUUUUUGAACACUUACUGGAGAGAAGAACCAAACGGCAAGCAAUCAAUAGACACAUUACGUCUAAAAGAAAGACUGCUAAGUCACAAGUAACACGACCAAACCCGGCGAAGCUCACUGAGCCACACCACAACUCCCUCCUCAAAAUAAAUCGAUCAAAGCAGCAAAAAGGAAAUGUGGAUGGACCACAAUAACCCACCGCAAUGAAGAAACUUCUAUACUUCAUCUAAUCAAAGAGCUGUUUCUCUGAACAAACAAAAGAUACCCCCGCAAGAAUAUGGACAAACUGACUCCACAUACAACAAACACACAGACCAACGCUUCGAGAAAAAGGUAGAACGAUAAACCUCAUGCCAUGAAGAACAGCGAAGGAAGGGACAAGCAAAAGCUCACCAGACCCACACCAAGUCGCUCUCCCCCAAACCUGAGUCAGAUUUGGAAAGGCACUGAAUCGAAACUACCCUCCUGUGAAGCCAGUGGUGGAGGCAAUUCAUUGUCACGGUAGUCAAAUGACCCACGUGAAAUUAUGAAAACAUUAUGGCUUUUAUUAAGAAUUUUAAAAUGACCCUGGUCCAAAAUAUUUAUUGAUCCCGUUAAAAUUUUUCUGACCCUUAUCCAAAUUACUUUGACCCUAGUCCAAAUUUUGUAUGGACCAUAAUCUAAUAACUACAUUAAUUAAUUUGCAGCCUAUUAGAUUUUAGAUAAAGAAUUACAACAAAAUAAGCCCACCAGAUAAAAUAAACCCAACCAUUAAUAUUAUUUCAAUGACUUAAGUCUAAUUAUUAUAUUAAUUUAGUCAUUUGGACGUUUUGUUUUCUUCUUCUCCUUUCUGGUCUUUCUGAAACUCGUCCAUUACAACAACAGUAGCCAGUAGCGAAGGUAAUAAAUAUUGUAUUUUGUUAAAUAAUUUAUUUAAGCUUUCUUCUUCUACCAAAUAUGAAUAAAGUAUUAUAUUUUUAUAAAAAUCAAAAGAUCUUAAAACUAGUUUUUAUUUAUGGCUUGUUCCUUCGAUUUUUAGAUUAUUUUAUCCUAAUAAUUGUUAUGUUUCAUAGUUUCAAAUGAUAAAAUACCAAAUGUCUACAUAAAGGAUACCAUUUGCACAAAAAACAGAAGGAUUGCUCAACAUACAAAUUUCGUAACUAUUAGACAUAGAGAAUUGAACAUUGUCUGUUAUAUUAUAUACUUGGUUUGAUAUUAUAUUUUGUUUUUAUUUAUGCAGGUACCAUCAGACAAAAUGGAACGAUAUUUGAAUUUGAACAAAAGAAAAGCUCCACCAUCUGAUAUCAACUUGGAUGAUUUGCCGUGGGAUCCAGCUAAGCGGAAAAACAUUCUAGACUACCCUUAUAAUCAAAGAGAUGAAGUAAGGCGCAAGUAUUUGACUAGAGGACCUUGUCAACCUAUUGGUCAUACUUUUCAACAAAAAUCAAUAGGAGGUGUAUUACGACGCUUUAAUCCACGUUGGUUUGAGCAGUACCCUGAUUGGUUAGAGUAUAGUCUGGAUCAAGAGAAGGCUUUUUGUUUGUUUUGUUACUUGUUCAGAGUUCAAGCUGGAAAACAAGGCGGAAGUGAUACUUUUGUAUCAACGGGGUUUUCUAGUUGGAAUAAGGCUGAUAGUUUCAGUAAGCAUGUGGGAGAUCAUACUAGUUUUCACAACGAUGCUAGAAAUAAAUGUGAAGACUUGAUGAGACAAAGUCAGUCUAUCAAGCAUGCUUUACAUAAACAAACCAAUGUUGUGAAGAAUGAUUAUCAGAUCCGUUUGAGUGCUUCGAUUGAUGUUUCUAGACACUUGUUACACCAAGGACUGUCUUUUCGUGGUCAUGAUGAGAAAGAAGAGUCAACAAACAAAGGUAAUUUCUUAGAGCUUCUGAAGUAUACGGCUAGUCAGAAUGAGGCUGUUAGAAAAGUUGUGAUGAACAAUGUUCCUAAAAAUAAUCAGAUGACUUCUCAUCCUAUCCAGAAAGACAUUGCUCAUUGCUUUGCGGAAGAAGUAACUAAGUCUGUCAUACAAAAAAUCAACAAUGAUGUAUUUGGCUUGCUGGUAGAUGAAUCGGCUGAUAUUUCAGAUAAAGAGCAAAUGGCUGUGGUUUUUCGUUUCGUUGAUAAAUUUGGGCUCGUAAAAGAAAGAUUUGUUGGUCUUAGUCAUGUGAAAGAGACAUCUUCUUCAACUCUGAAGGAUGCUAUUGAUGAUUUGUUUUCGAAACAUGGAUUGAGUUUGAAAAAGGUGAGAGGACAAGGUUAUGAUGGGGCCAACAAUAUGAAAGGAGAAUUCAAUGGUUUAAGAUCUUUGAUUUUGAGAGAAAGUAGAUCUGCAUAUUAUGUUCACUAUUUUGCUCAUCAACUUCAGUUGGUUGUUGUGGCUGUUGCAAAGAAGCAUUUUGAAGUUGGAGAAUUUUUCGAUAUGGUUCAUGUUCUGUUGAAUGUGGUUGGGGUUCUUGUAAAAGAAAAGUUAUGCUCACUGAAAGUAAUCGCAAGAGAAUGGAAGAAGAGAUUAGUAAGGGUAAAAUGAAGACUGGAACUGGGCUGAAUCAAGACCUUUCUCUUAAAAGACCUGGAUAUACUCGUUGGGGUUCACAUUACAAGACUUUAUUACGUCUUGUUGUGAUGUUUCCAUGUAUUAUUGAAGUUCUUGAACAUAUUCAGAUAGAAGGCAAAGAUGGCACCAAAAGACAACAAGCAUAUGGUCUCCUCAAAUAUUUUCAGACAUUUGGUUUUGUCUUUCAUCUACACUUGAUGCUUGUUGUUUUGGGACUCACUAAUAAUUUGUCAAAGGCUCUACAGAAAAGAGAUCAAGAGAUCUUGAAUGCAGUUUCAUUGGUUGAAUCUACUAAGCAACAAUUAUAGAAGCUUAGAGAUGAAGGAUGGGAUGAUUUUGUGGCUGAAGUUUAUUAUUUUAGUGAGAAGAAUAAUAUUGAAGUGCCUAGUAUGGAAGAAAACUUUGUUGACUCAAGAAAACCAAGGAGUAAAACUGGCAUCACAAACUUGCAUCAUUAUAAGGUGGAGUGUUUUUACACUGUUCUAGAUUUGCAGCUUCAAGAGUUCAAUGAUCGAUUUGAUGAGGUGAAUUCUGAACUACUAAUCUGUAUGGCAUCCUUAAGUCCGACAGAUUCUUUUGUUCAGUUUGACAAGUCAUUGUUGGUGAGACUAGCUGAGCUUUAUCCAGAUGAUUUUAGUUGUGUGGAGCGAAGAUCUCUUGAGCAACAGUUUGAAAUCUACCUUGAUAAUGUGAAAAAGAUGAAAGAUUUUCUAAUCUAGAGAGUAUUGGUGAUCUUGCUCGUGUAUUGGUUGAGACAAGGAAACAUCUUUCUCAUCCUUUGGUUUAUCGUAUUUUGAAGCUAUGUUUGAUUCUUCUUGUUGCAACUGCAAGUGUUGAAAGGUGCUUCUCUGCCAUGAACAUUGUGAAGACGGCCUCGCGUAACAGUAUUGGUGAUGAAUUUUUAAGUGAUUAUCUAAUUUGUUUCAUUGAAAAGCAAAUUCUUGAUACAGUGGCAAACGAAACAAUCAUAAAAAGCUUUCAAAAUAUGAGUGAGCGUAGAGUACAUCUUUGAAAUUCGAUGUACGGUGAUAUUUUUAUUAUUCAAUAGUUUAUGUACUUUAAGCAAAGUUAUACUAUGACCCCCGUCAACAUUUUCUCUGCCUCUGCCACUGUGUGAAGUCCUGCCCCGACGAAUCCUUGCAGCAUCUCGUUGCUAUUCCAGUGACGUGACAGACUCUGCCUCGCCGAUUUAGAUCCUCCAGAAACUCCAAGAAAAUCAAGAAUAGCGCGCAUUUCGAUACAGUGCAAAAAAAAAGACGAAAUCGGUAAGGAACAUGAGAAAGGACAAAAAAAACUACAAAAAGAGGAGGAGGAGAGGGCUCUCACGGUGACUAACCACCGGAUACGCCCCUCUUCUGAUAUGAUUCUGUUGACAGUGCUUUUAGGAUUUUCGCAAGUGUAUUCUCUUUCACGACUAGUUUCUAUUCAUUUUGGCAGCCAUAUUUUGCAAAUUCCUUACCAUAUUAAAUCACACCAACUACGCCAGCUUGUUUCUUUUUUCUUUUAAUUCAAAAGUUGAUUAAUAUUAAAUUGAAGUUCGUAGGAACAAAAUAAUUAUGUUGUGUGAAUAUUUUUUUAGCAUAAAAUAACAUAAAAAUAACAAACAUAUUGCGGUAAGAGAUCGAUGAUAGAAUCAUUUUCAGUACUGCUAAACUGUUUCCAUUUUAGUGAGUGGUUAGCGUAUACUUGUUUUUUUUUUUUUGAAAAAAAGCGUAUACUUGACUUGUUUUACCUAUUGCAGCUAAAGGUUACGGCCGAUUAUUAUUGUCAAGAUAGUCAUCUUCGCUGAUAUGUUCAUUUUGUUUUUCUAUUUAAUAACUUGAAUCACAGUGGUAACAUAUAUAGCGUUAACAAUCAGUACAAAUUUAGAUAUCAUUCAUUAGGUUAGUAUAUGUUUAUCGAUGCAUGAAACAAUAGAGAAAACGAUCCGUGUUACAAAAAUUACAAAUCAGUCUCAUCCAUGUCAUAGAUGACAAUGACAAGACAGUCACAUAAGAUAAGAAACUUUUUUUGUCUUCUCAUUCAAAUAUUAUUUACUAUACAGAAAAAAAAUUAAGAACUAGCAGAAACUAAACUGUGUGGCGUUUUACAGCUUAAUAAACGCUGAGAAGUUCAGGUUACAAGGCGCAAUUUAGCACCCCGACGGCGUGCAAUCUAUCCAUCAUUCAUUCAUUCGUAUCUGAGUAGAGGGAAACGAAACGAUAAAUCAAUUUCUAGCAAGUCAAUUCCUAUCUGUCAAUCUUCUUCGCAUUUUAGAGCGAGAAAAUGAGACUUUUUAGAGAGAGAGAGAGAAAAAGUAGGCAAGAAAGACGGUCACUGACUGAAUAAAAGAUCACUCACUCUCACACCCUUUCAAGAGAUCUCAUCGCCCGAUCUUUCCUUCCUUCCCCGCCGGUAAAGUUUCUAGCUUUGCUUCUUCUCUCGUGUCUCUUCGUUUCUCAAUUUGAGAGUUUACUGCAAAGUUUCCUUAUUUAUUCCAAUACAGAGUUGCUGAUUAAAAGUAUUCAUCAAUAAAGUUUUGGUUUUAAUUUUGAGAUCCUAACAUUGUCCGAAGAAUCUAGCUACUCAUUUCAGUUUCCUUACUUGUGUAUCUAUUGCUGCUUCAGCCCAAAAAGGAAAGUUUGUUUCUUUCUCUAUAAUUCAGCUGCUAUUCAAUUCUGCAGGUAGUUCUUAACUUGCUUUGAUAGAAAAUGGGUGCUUCAGGGAGAUGGAUUAAAGCACUUGUUGGUUUCACCAAGUCUGAUAAGUCAAAGUCUAAAAAGAAGGAUGAUAAUGUAAGCACACACUAUGUUAUUUCUUUACAAGAGAAUCUCUUUAUCUAAAUGCCAAAUGUUGUAUACUUUCUUCACCUUUUUUUUUGUAUUUUCAUUAUAUGUUUGUUCAAUUGGCGAAGGUGAAGACUGCAACCAAGAGCCGGUUUGGGAGAAACCAUUCUGUUGAUUUUGAUGCUGAAAAGUUUCAACUUGGAUUUGAAGAUUCCAAUACGCAUAGCAGCAUGUUAGAUAAUGGGGUCUCCACUUCAACUUCUUAUGGUGCUGCUAAUGAAGAACAAAGGAAGGAGCACAUGGCUGCAACUCGGAUUCAAACAGCUUUUCGAGGGUUUCUGGUAUCAUCAUCACUUUCUUCGCCCUGUCAACUUUUUUUUUAAUAUUUGUCUCAAGCGUUACUGAGAGAAAGAUGAUACCUUUUUUCUCAGGCUAGAAGGGCUUUACGAGCAUUGAAGGGAUUGGUUAGACUUCAGGCCCUUGUUAGAGGACACGCGGUGAGAAAGCAAGCUGCUGUAACGCUUCGAUGCAUGCAAGCGUUAGUAAGAGUCCAGGCUCGUGUACGCGCAAGACGUGUUCGUCUCGCCUUGGAAAGUGAAACGGGUCCGCAGAUGCUUCAGCAGCAGCUUGCAGAUGAAGCCAGGGUUCGAGAAAUAGAGGUGUGAUGAUCACUUGUCUCAGUUAUUUAACUUUUGCAAAGAGAAUUAUAGUUAUGUUGACUAUUUGUUCUCAUUUCUCAGGAAGGUUGGUGCGAUAGCAUUGGUUCUGUUGAACAAAUCCAAGCCAAGAUACUAAAGAGGCAGGAAGCUGCAGCUAAGCGUGAGAGGGCUAUGGCAUAUGCUUUGACUCACCAGGUUACUCACAACAACCUCUAUGCUUGUUAAGAAGUAACUGUUUGAAUUUUCGCACUUUGUACUAAUCAAAACAUUCCUUAUAACUCUUAUCUGAUUGUCAUGGGUUCUCUUCUAUAGGAUCAAUCUUUAACCAAACACUAUGAUAGCAAAACUGAAGCUGUAUACUCUUAAAUCUUACAUAUAAAAUUUGGUAUGUUGUAGUGGCAAGCAGGAACUCGGCAGUUAUCUGCGCACAGUGGUUUUCAGCCUGACAAAAACAACUGGGGAUGGAACUGGCUAGAAAGAUGGAUGGCUGUUCGUCCAUGGGAGAAUCGGUUUCUUGACAGUAACCUCAGGGACGAUGCCAUAUUAGGUGAAAACAAUAUGGAGCAAACUGAGAGUGUUGUGCAUAAAACUCAGAUGAAAAUUGCAAGCAAGAUUCCAAACACUUCAAAUCUUGCGUCCGGUGUUUCGAGUCAGAAGGUAACCGGGCCAUCUCUGUCGGAUGGUAAUUCCACUUCACCUGGAAUAUCUUCAAGCAUGCCAGUGCCAGUGGUGUCCAAGGAUAGGUCAAAGCUCGCUAAAGACGAUCUUGCUGUAGAAGUUGUUAACUCAAGACCUGGUGCUGGUCCAAGAUCACACAGCAAUCCAAAAGAAAGAUCAAGAGCGCCAGAUAGAGCUUCUAAGGAACGAUUAUCUCUGCCAAACAGUGGUCAGAUCUCUUUCUGUAUCCCCUAAGUUUCCUCUUUUUUUUUUUCCCUUUUUGAUGGUUGAGUGAAUAGUCUUAUCAACAUGGGGAUAGUGAUAAGAAAAUCAGCUUUGCAUUACUCAUAAGAAUACAGACCACAACUUAUAUGUGUAUACCUAAGAAGCAAUACAUUUGAUCUUUGAAACAUUUAGGCUGUCUUUUGACCUUUUUUUUUCCUUUUUAAGGCUAAAAUUGUGAACAUUGGUUCUUGAGCAGGAAAAUCCUUAGGAUCUCAGUCAGCUAAAGCCAAAUCUUCCCAAAACCAGAAAAGACGCAACUCUGAUCCAAUAAAACAGAGGCUUGCAUAGCCCUGGCUAGAGUCUCUGAGAAUCGUCAGUCCAUCUAUCACUCCCAUCGUUCCUGUACAUAAACACAGCUUCUGAAAAUGGAAACAAAAAGAGAAAAAGAGGAUAUCAUGUGAGAACACAAUGGGUUACAUUCAGAGACUUGCGUGGUGGUUAGAGAUGUCAAAUGGGCUGUCCAUGUCCACUGGACAUGUCCAAAUGGACAAAUCAGUUUAUUGGACAUUAUUUUUUUUAAGUCCAAAUUAUACCAAGUUCAAAUUGUCCAGACCAAAUUGGACCAUUCCAAAUGGGCAUUCCGCGGAGUCCAAUUAAAAAAUCAGUGUUAACAUACAAAAAUUCAUAUUUAAUAUAUUAUUAUGUGUUGUAGAAUUCAAAAGCAUAGAUACGAUUUUGGCGAGAAAUCUCGAUUUACGGUUUUGGAGGAAAAUCUCGAUUUUACGGUUUUGGCGGGAAAUCUCGAUUUUAUAGUUUUGGCGAGAAAUCUUGAUUUUACGGUUUUGGCGGAAAAUCUCGAUUUUACGGUUUUGACAGAAAAGUAUAUCUACAGUUUUGGCGGAAAAUCUCGAUUUUACAGUUUUGGCGAAAAAAUCUCGAUUUAUGGAUUUGGCGGGAAAACUCGAUUUAUGGUUUUGGCGAAAAAACUUGAAAAUUCAAUUUUACGGUUUUGGCGGAAAAACUAGAUUUACAGUUUUGGCGGGAAAUUUCGAUUUUACGGUUUUGGCGGAAAACGAGAUUUUACGGGUUUAACGUAAAAAUGUGAUUUUACGGUUUUGGCAAGAAAACGUUAUUCCACGGUUUUAACGGGAAAAUAUGAUUUACGGUUUUGACGGAAAACAUGAUUUUUACUCAAAUACAUUAACCCUAAAUAUUUUAAAAUUUUGGGCCGUCCAUGUCCAUCUGGAUUUGUCCAUUUGGAUAUGGGUGUAUUUGGGCCUCGUCCAUUUGCACAAAACAAAAUUAUGGUCAAAUAUGGGUAUGUCCAUAUUGGUUUGGACAUGGGCUACCCAUGGACAGCAUGCCCAUUUGACAUCCCUAGUGGUGGUACAUUGAUCAGAACUCAGAAGAGAACACCAUCGUCUUGGCGUCUUUCUGCCUUCAUUGUUGUUUGUUAUUUGUGUGUCAGACAUCCUUUUUCUUUUGUCCAUGAUUCUUAUAUGGAUUAUUAGUACGUAGUGUUAUUAUUCAAGUAAAGUUGUUUGGGGUAUAUGAGUGAGACAGUUUUUUUUUGUUGGGAGAACGAACCAUGCUGCUCCUGGCCUUCCCAAUGUGAUAUAUAUACAGUAGUGUGUUGUAUUUGGUAUAAGUUCCAAUUAUUCAGAGUGAUAAUAUAUAUUAUCAUCAUGAUAAGGUAUCACUUGGCUUGUCAUCUUUUCGAAACAGGAAAGUGAAUCAUUAAUUAAAGUGCAGGGAAGGAAAUGUCAACAAGCGAAGAGAUCACGAAAGCAAAAAAGCCCUAAACAUUCCCUGUGAAAGUUUUCUAAGGAAGCAAAUUCAAAAAAUGCAACAUAAAAGGAUUUAAUUGAAUCGACAUUUAUAUUAAAGAACAUACAUGUAUACAAAACACAUGACAUAUACAACCAUAAGGAUUUGAUGCAGCUUUUCUGAAUCUUGGAACCAUACUACUACUACUACUUUACCUCGAAGUUGCACAAUGUGCAAUAUAGAAGAGCCUCUUCGUUGUUUCCCUGUUGUUCAGACCUCUCUUCCUUCUUUCCCUGUCGUCUUCGAGAACAAACAUGCAAUAGAAGAUAGCUAGAGGCUUGUAGCAAGAUUUGUAGGAACCUGAAACUCGUUAAAUUUGCAAACAUCCAUGCAUGUGUGCAAUUUGGUAUUCGGUUAUAUGGUUUUAUCCUAAGAUUCAAGUUGCUAAACCUCGUCUCUAUCUCUUAUUAGAUUUGGAAGUAGAUACAGCUUGAAAAAGCAUUUAUAAACAUGACACCGGAGAGUAAAGGCGGAUCAAAAUGUAUUUCCCAAAUGCUUCCUCCGACAAAAGUUGCACAGAAAGCAUAGUCAGCGACCACCACCACCAACAUGCAAAACACUGUAUUAUUACUUUAGGACUAAUUCUGAUAAACAAAUUAGCUAUAUGUUUUAGUUUUAGCCUAGUUUCGAUUUGUUUUUCAUAAAACUUAAUUUAGUUCUCCGAAAUAGCAGAUUUUGAAAAUUACACAUACAAUACACACAUUUACAAACCUGUUAGAAAUUUUCCACCACUAUAAAUUUUACACAUUCACAGGCUUUUGUUAGUCUUGAACCUGAAAAAGAAUUGAAAACCUUUUGCUAGUGUCAUAUACAAGCUAAAUACCACUAUACUAGGUUAUGAUAUCUAAAGUAUACAAACUAAAUAAUAGAUAUUAUUGUAAAUAAAAAACAUAAGCUAAAAUAUUGAAACAAGUAGAAUCUUUAAUCGUUCGUGGACCAACCAUAUAAAAGCCUAACUCUAGAACUAGAAGACGCCUACUUUAUAGACCAUAGUAUAUAUUCAUUCAUAAUGCCAUUAGUCACGCUUCAUCUAAAUUACCAAGUCAGUCUUGGCACGCGCAACGCGUGCGCAGUGGAGAAGAUAUGGAACACUCACACACACACACGGAUUUUUUUAACGGAGAGAGACAGAGAGAAACCCUAGACACCAAAGAAAAAAAGAAAAAAAAAAGGAAUCGUGCCUCCUCCUCCUCCUCCUCCUCCUCCGCCCACUCGCCCCCUCAGAUCGCGUGAACAUCACAAACCAUUUUCUCUCCUCCUUCCCUCUCUCUCUCUCUCUCUCUCUAUCAUCCAUCCUCCCUUCCGCAGAUCGAAACGCCAACUCGCACCGAUUAGCGCGUGCCUCCUCAUCGCGACGAGAUUACAGCUUAUUGCUCUCGAUUUUCCUCUUCGUUCCAGGUGAUUCCAUCUCAUCUUCGUUACAGUGAAAAAACCACCACGGAUUCUAUAUAUAUAUAUAUAUAUAGUGUUCGAUUUCAUUGAGAAUUUUCUGAUUAAUCUAGUAGUUGCAGGAAGUGAUGGACAUAGAUCUUCGACUACAUUCAGGCGACCUCUGCAAAGAAGGCGACGACGAAGAACACAGAGGACUUGACAACGAAGACAUAGACAUUAGCAAAAUCGAGGAUGACGUCACCGUUGAGCCACACACCGAUAACAACGGCAUCACUCUUCCAGAGCACAACACACAACAACAACAACAACAAGGCGUGAAUCUUGAACCGCUUAACGGCAUGGAGUUCAACUCGCACGGCGAGGCGUACACCUUCUACCAAGAGUACUCUCGAACCAUCGGCUUCAACACUGCUAUACAGAACAGUCGCAGGUCGAAAACCACUAGAGAGUUUAUCGACGCCAAGUUCGCUUGCUCUAGGUACGGUACUAAACGGGAGUACGACAAGUCUUUCAACAGGCCGAGAGCUAGACAGAGCAAGCAGGAUCAUCCUGAGAACAACAUGUCUGGUCGGAGGACGUGCGCGAAGACUGACUGUAAAGCGAGUAUGCAUGUUAAGAGGAAGCCUGAUGGGAAGUGGGUGAUUCACAGCUUUGUGAGGGAUCAUAACCACGAGCUUUUGCCUGCUCAAGCUGUGAGCGAGCAGACGAGGAAGAUCUACGCUGCCAUGGCUAAGCAGUUCGCUGAGUACAAGACUGUCAUCAGCUUGAAGAGUGAGUCCAAAACUUCUUUUGAGAAAGGUCGGAGUUUGUCUGUGGAGACUGGGGAUUUCAAGCUUCUCCUUGAGUUCUUGUCGCGGAUGCAGAUUCUGAACUCCAACUUCUUCUACGCGGUGGAUCUUGGUGAUGAUCAGCGUGUGAAGAAUGUGUUUUGGGUGGAUGCCAAGAGCAGGGUUAACUAUGGCAGUUUUUGUGAUGUUGUUUCUCUUGAUACUACCUACGUGAGAAACAAGUACAAGAUGCCACUUGCUAUUUUUGUUGGUGUGAACCAGCACUACCAGUAUAUGGUCCUUGGGUGUGCUUUACUAUCUGACGAGAGCGCAGCUACAUUCUCUUGGCUAAUGGAGACUUGGCUGAGAGCGAUGGGUGGACAAGCUCCAAAGGUUUUGAUCACUGAGCAAGAUCCUGUGUUGAACUCCAUUGUCCCUGAGGUCUUCCCUAAUACACAGCAUUGCCUUUUUCUUUGGCAUGUGUUGAUUAAGGUCUCUGAGAAUCUUGGUCAAGUCGCUAAGCAACAUGAGAAUUUUACAGCGAAGUUUGAGAAGUGCAUCUAUAAAUCAUGGAAGGAGGAAGACUUUGCGAGGAGAUGGUGGAAGAUUCUUGCUAGAUUCGGUCUCAAAGACGAUCAAUGGAUGCAGUCUUUAUAUGAAGACCGAAGGAAAUGGGCACCGACCUACAUGACCGAUGUUCUUUUGGCAGGGAUGUCUACGUCUCUGAGAGCUGACAGUGUUAAUGCUUUCUUCGACAAGUACUUGCACAAGAAGACGAGCGUACAGGAGUUUGUGAAACUGUAUGAUACGAUUUUGCAAGAUAGAUUUGAAGAAGAAGCCAAAGCUGAUUCGGAAACAUGGAACAAGCCACCAACAAUGAAGUCCCCAUCGCCAUUUGAGAAGAGUGUUUCCGACGUCUAUACUCCUGCUGUAUUCAAAAAGUUCCAGAUCGAAGUUUUGGGUGCAAUCGCGUGUAGUCCCAGGGAGGAGAACCGAGAUGCAACGUGCUCUACUUUUAGAGUUCAGGAUUUUGAAAACAAUCAGGACUUCGUGGUUACAUGGAGCCAAGCAAAGGCUGAAGUCUCUUGCAUGUGUCGGUUAUUUGAGUAUAAAGGCUAUCUCUGCAGACACACGCUUAACGUUCUCCAGUGUUGUCAUCUUUCUUCCAUCCCCUCUCAGUACAUAUUGAAACGGUGGACCAAAGAUGCAAGAAGCCAGCAUUUUCCAGGAGAACCUCAGCAGUUGCAGACGAGGCUCCAGAGGUAUAAUGAUUUGUGCCAGAGAGCUUUAAAGCUGAGUGAAGAGGCAUCCAUCUCUCAAGAGAGUUACAAUAUUGCCUUCCUUGCUAUUGAAGAAGCUUUGGGAAACUGUGCUGGUGUUAAUACUUCCGGCAGAAGUCUUCCAGAUGUGGUCGCUUCGCCAACACAAGGUCUGAUAUCCGUCGAGGAGGAUAAUCAGAGCAGAAGUGCAGUCAAGACGACGAGCAAGAAAAAGAAUCCAACUAAGAAAAGAAAAGUAAACUUCUUGUUCAUGAUCUCUCUGUACAUGCACAACUUAAGGUUUUUCUUAGCUUUGCGCUUUUAUGAAUUGCAAGUCUUAUGAUCCUCCUGACUAUGGAUUGCAGGUGAACUCAGAGCAGGAGGUAAUUCCAGUUACAGCGCCAGAAAGCUUGCAACAGAUGGUCUGUCUUUGUUAACAUGUAGUAGCAAGACUCUGUUAAACUAGAGAGAGUCCCCUAAGUAUAUGAUAUCUGAAUUUUGUAAUUUGCAGGAUAAGUUAAGUCCAAGGACAGUUGGCUUAGAAAGUUAUUAUGGAACACAGCAAAGCGUGCAAAAUCUGGUAACUAAGCACAAAUUACUUGUUAUUAUUCUCUUAUAGACUGAGAUUUUUGUUUGUAAUGUGGUCUGAUUAUAUGUGUGUUUACAGGUCCAGCUGAACUUAAUGGCGCCAAAUCGCGAUAACUUUUAUGGGAAUCAACAAACAAUCCAAGGAUUGGUAUGAAAACAAAAUCGCGAUAACUAAGCUUCUGUUGUUUUUUUCUAUCAUUAACUUUGGAUAAAAACAAAAAAAUCCCCGGCUGGUUUUUUGUAGCGACAGUUGAACUCAAUAGCACCAAGCUACGACAGUUACUACACUGCUCAGCAAGGCAUCCAUGGACAGGUACCUUACCUUAUUCUCAGAGCUUUUACUCGACUGCAAAACCUAUUAAAAAAAUGAUCACUCUUUACUUUUGUUCUUUCUAGGGAGUAGAUUUCUUCCGUCCUCCCAACUUUACUUACGAUAUCCGGGUAAAUUUUCAGUUCUAGUAACAUAUUUGCAUCUCUAGUGGUGAAUUUUUGUUCAUGAAAACAAAUGUUUAUUACUGUACAGGAUGAUCCUAAUGUGAGGACGACACAGUUGCAUGAGGACGCGUCUAGACACACUUAAACCAGGCUAAAACCUAACCAUGGUUCAAAUCUUAAAGAGAGUCCGUCCCUCUGUAGACAAAAAGCCAACAAGCACUUGGAAGAUGAAGCUCAUAUCUCGAUCUGGUUUUGGAAACAGAACAAGGAGCACUUCUUGUUUUAUCGGCUCAAGUGUUUAAAUAGGAUAUGUUGUAUUGUUUCGGUUAUAAAGAUACCGCUUCUGUUAAUAUUUGGUCAGUGUGUGUAUUAUUAGUUCUUGAUGAUCCCCAAAAAAGCUUUUGAUCAUUGAUUGUUCGAAUUUAGAGGAGGGGGAAACAUUUGUUUAGAGGAUAUUUAUCUAUUUAUAAACUCUUGUUAAUUCUUUUCAUCAAGUUUCUUAUAUUUGCAUCAGAUUAUUCCCUGAUCUUAAGCCACAGUAUGGUCUGUUGUUUUGCUCUUUCAUCCUCGUACAAUAUCUAAGACAAUCCUCAGCCUAUUUCUAUUCUUUUUAUAUUUUUCUUCUAGAAUAAAACAAAACUAGGUGUUUUGUCCGCGAUGCGAACUUAGACAUUUUCAUAAUUUUUGAAAAGUUCUUUGUACAAUAUAUUCAUUAUACUAAAAUAAAUCUUAAAAUAAUUUAAUAUUAUAUUUUUAAUUAUAUAAUUUAAAAAAUAUAUUUGAUUAAUAUUUAAUUAUAUCAUUUAUGUUUUAACUUUUUACUAAAAUACUUUUUCAGAUAACAAUACAAUAUAUAUAUAUAUAUAUAUAUUAUUUUUUUUUUAAUUAUAUUUUUGGAUUUUGGAUAAUUCAAUAUUCUAUUUUAAUUAUAUAAUCAAGAAUUUUAUUUGAUUAGUAUUUAGUUAUAUAAUUCAUGUUUUUAACUUUUUAUAUAUAAUUCAUGUUUUUAACUUUUUACUAAAAGACUUUUUCAGAUAAUAAUACAAUAUAUACAGAAAUUAUCUCUUUUUAAAAUUAUAUUUUCAGAUUUUGGAUAAUUCUUACUAUUAUUAAUUUUAAUCAAUUAUCUAAUCAAAUAAAUUAAAAUUUCAUUUUUAUUUUUUCAUUUAGUUAUACAUUUUAUUCAUUAAGGGUAUAAACGAUUAAUCAAUAUUUAGUUAUAUAAUUCAUGUUUUUAACUUUUUAUAUAUAAUUCAUGUUUUUAACUUUUUUACUGAAAGACUUUUUCAGAUAACAAUACAAUAUAUACAUAAAUUAUCUUUGUUUAAAUUAUAUUUUCAGAUUUUGUAUAAUUUUUACUAUUAUUAAUUUUAAUCAAUUAUCUAAUCAAAUAAAUUAAAUUUUUGUUUUUAUUUUUUUAAUAGAUUUACACAUUUUAUUCAUUAAGGGUAUAAACGAUAUUAACCAUUCUAACUUUUAACGUGAGAGCUUGAUUCUAACUUCGCAAAUAAUAGUAUAAAUUAUUAUAGAGGUAGAUUUACUCUAAUGUAUGCUUCUAAAAUAGAAUUUUUAUUUAUAUUUUUCAAAACAAAAUAUAAAAAAAUAUUAUUUUCAUCUAUAUAAAACUACUAUUGUUUUGUAUUUUACUCUAUAAAUAGAGAAAUUCUAUUAUAACGUUAUACAUUCAAAGGAUCAUCACCUUAGAAGAGAUGAUGAGAAAAUGGUUUAAGCUCGAGCAUCACAUUCUUUUAUUCAUUUUCGUAGAGUUGACAUACAUAGCAUCUGUAAAUGGUUUCAAGUUUGAUCAAUAAAUUUGAUAUUCAAUUAAAAAAAAAAUUAUACAUUCGAAUAAAGUCAUCUUUAUAAUAGAGUUUUUUAUUUUAUGAGAAAAUAUAAAAAUAUAUACCGGUGUUGCUCUUAUAACGUGCUCAUAUGAGCAGUGUGAUGAGUGUUUUGCCCAGAAAGUCUAACAGAUAAUAUUUGAUUUUGGUAAGUUGUCAGAUUACUGGUUGACACAAAAAAUAUUUAAAAACUAAAAACCUCGUUGUAACAUAGUGUUUAAAACUAUCAAUUUAGUUAAAAAUAGAAAAACAUACAUUCCAAAAACGAAAAAAAUGAAAAUAUAAAUUUAAUUCACAUAUUAGAUUUAGUAAUCAUUACACAUAGUAAAUUCUGUGGUUUUCUAAACUUAUUUAAUGAACAACACUCCUAAACAAAUAAUGAUUCAUAUUAGUCCCCAUAAAGUAUAUAUUAAAUGUGUGAAUUGAUGCAAAGUUCUAACAAAAGAGAACGAUGAUUUAGUUCCCCAUAUUACAUAUCACACGUCAGGAUUUGGUUUUGUUUGAAAAUUCUGACUAGUUUCAUGUCUGAUCUUUGGUCGUAACUUGUUUUACAUUCAUUCUAAGUCACCUUACCCCGUCAAUUAAUUUAUGCCCACUCAUUCCUUAAUCAACUGCGUAAAUUAAAUAAUAUGUACACCUAUGGUCCUAUCAAUUAUCAAAAGACUAGUGUCUUAAGUAUCACUAGAUUUUCACCCGUGCAACCGCACGGAUGUUUGUUUUCACUUUUCUAUACAUAAAUUAUUGUUUUAGAACAUAAGUGGUAUAUAUUUUUAAUGUUAAUCAUAUACUUAAAUAUUUAUAUAACUAUUUCAAAUACGAUAAUUUUAUAAUUUACAUGUUAUAAUUAAUUAAUUGUUUAAACCUUAUGUAUUUGUCACUUCUUAUUAUAUAUUUAUCUUAUUGUAUUUGCAUUUAGUUAUUAAGCAAAUUAAUAUAUUCAUGAGAAAAUAUAUUUAAAAAAUAUUUUGUAUUUAAUUUAUGCUAAAUUCUGAUCCGUAUUUCAAAACUGGAUUUCUUUUUACCAAUAUUUUUAUGCUUAUUCAUUUUAGAUAAUUUAUUAUUGUAUAUAUAAAAGUGUAAAAUAUGUUAAUUUUUAGACAAGUAUUAUAUAGUUUUUUAAUUUUAAGUCGUUCUAUCAUUAUAUUAUAUUUUAAAUAAAUAGUUUAUAUUUAUGAAAACAAAAUUUAUAAAUUUAUCAAUUGAAUAUAAUUUUAUCAUAUUUAGUUUAGUAUAAUACUUAUAUUUUAACAUGAUCAUGACUAUAAAAGUAGAUAAAAUAGGAUAUAAUUUAUUUAUUUUCAUUUCUAAACAAUAACUUAAAAUACAUUAAGUUAUUGUUUAAAUAUUACACAGAUUUAUUAGAAUUUUUAAAAUAUAAUAUAUAAAUAUAUAUUAUAUUUAAAAUGAAAAUAUAUUAUGAUUAAAGUAGUUACAAAGAUUUUUUAUUAUUAACUUUAAAGAAAUACAUGUUAAUUUUUAUACAUGUAUUAUAUAGUUUGAUAAUAUUAAUCCAUCUUACCAACAUAUUAGAUUUUAUUUUUGAACAUAAAUAUUUUAUAAUUACGAAAAUAAAAUAUAUAAAUAUAUAAAUUUAAUACAAUUUUAUUAUAUUUAGCUCAAUAUAAUAAUUUUAAUUUAAUAUGAUUGAUUAUGAUUAUAUAAUAACUAAAAUAUUAUAGAUUUUUUUAUUUUUCAUUUUAUAUAACUGAAUAUAUUAAUGUAUAAUAAUAUUUUAAACUAAUUUUGAAAUUAGUGAAAAUAUUUAAAUAUAAUUUCAAAAAUGAAGAUCUUGUAAAAAUCUUUUUAAACAGAUUUGUUAUAAUUUUAAAAUAAAUAUAUUUAUAUUUAAAAUGAAAAGAUAUCAAAAGAUACUGUGAUUAAAAUAUUUCAAAAAUUAUAUUUAUUAUUAGUCUGAAUUAAAAUAUAGUAUGAAUUUGGGGUUUUUGCCAAAAUUAACCUACAACUUGAUUUUAAACCCAAACCUAUACCCAAACUUGAAUCAAAUGCAAAACUAACCUAAAAACCUAGUGAAAUUACAACUCAGCCCCUUGUGACCAAACAAAAAAACAGAAGCCAUUUUUACGAAUAUAGCCCCAGUAAAUCGUCUGAGUCGUCUGAAUUGUUGGAAGUCGUCUGGACGACUGAAGUUUAAGUCGUCUGGUACCAGUUUAUUUUAAAAAUAAUUUUUAAAUCUUGUAAAAAAAUAUUUUGAUGCGUGAAAAAUAAAAAUCAGAUGAUUAUAAACAGUUUUAAGUGAUAUAAAUUAAGAUAUGAUAAAAUUGAUUUGUUUUGAAGAUAGAUGAGUGGAAGUAGUGAAUCAUGAUAUUCUUUGGUUUAUGAGUUUGGCAAACAUAUGUUGUAGUAUUGUAUGUAUUGUUAGGGUUAGAUCUUGGAAAACUAAAAUGUUUUUUUCAAAAAUUAGUUUUCAUCUAUAUGUGUUUCUUUAUGUGUAUAGUAAACACUUUUCAACUUUGAUUUGAUUUUAUGAAGUGUUUAAUUAGGGGUUAUGUUUAGGGUGUGGACGACUUAUAUUUCAGUCGUCUGUUGAAUAAUUUACACGGACGACGUAUAUUUCAGUCGUCCACAUCGUACCGAACCUUUAAUUUUACCAAUGUACGUUUUAACCUAACCGGAUCAUUUACCGGACAUAUAAAAGCUAUUUUUUCACUAUUUCACAACUUUUCGAAACCCUAGCGCAGUUUCUCUCCAACGGCGAUUUCGAAGGCGAUAAGACGAAAACCCUACCGUGGUCGUGUUCCGCCGUUAUCUUCGCCGGUAAUCUCUCCGAUUACGACGAAUCUCGUUUCUCCUUCAUGCCGUAGAGUAUUUUCGUAGUUUAAACUGACCGUCCGCUUCCUUUUUUUCAGAUCUGAAAUCUCGUUUGCCAAACUCCGCCGCCGGUAUGUUAUUUCUCAUGUAUUAAGGCGUUUAGCCGCCGGAAAACCCUAAAUAUUUUAGUAUUGAUUCUUCUUUUCCCUUCGAUUUGCAGAUCUGUAACGGCUUGGGACCACAUCUUCUCCGACCAUAUCUUCUCGGACAAUAUAUUCUCCAACUGUAAGUCAUUCGUCUUUUGUUUAAAAGAUUUUGAGAUUGUUGUAGUCUUUUGCUGAAAGAUUACUCAGACGACUUCCAGGAAGUGAGAAGACUACUUGGACGACUUCCAUGAAGUCUUCUACGAUGUCUUACUCUCUGGACGACUUACAUGUAAGUCGUCUAGAGAGUAAGACAUCGUAGAAGACUUCAUGGAAGUCGUCCAAGUAGUCUUCUCACUUCCUGGAAGUCGUCUGAGUAGUCUUCUCACUUCAUGGAAGCCGUCUGCAAGUCUUCUAUAGCAUUUAGCAUAGUGCGCAACCUAUGUGUUUGAGAUGGUUGUUUGUGAUUAUUUGCAGGCCUUAAAAUGGAUUUACGAGAACUCCCGCCGAGGAUGUUUACAUUAGGAGAAGAGCCCGAUGCAAUCAAGAGCAUUUCGUAUCAAUCUGAUGACACAAAGUUGUUUAAAGCUCUAUGUGAUUGUCUCACACCUGACGAAUUUGAGGAUCUGAAGGCGUCGAAGUUAGGAGUGUUCAUCAAAUUCAAGGAGCUUGACUUUGGUUGGACUUCAAGGCUGGUACAUUUUUUGCUCUGUUUCCAGCUAGACAUCAAGAAGAAGUUUGAGCUCUGGAGUCUUGUCGUUUCACAACCUGUGAGGUUUUCACUGAUAGAGUUUGAACACCUCACUGGGCUGAACUGCGAUUACAUCAAGGACCUGGAAAAUCCAAGAUGUGAGGUUACAACGGAGAUGGCUGCUUUCUGGGAGAAGAUGCAUGUUGAUAUCGAUACUGGGCCAAGUAUUGAACAGAUAACAGAAGCAUUUUACAACUGCGACGAGUGGUCUCGGGAUGAUCGCAUGCGGCUGGGAUACCUUGCCAUCUACGCAGGAUAUAUCGAAGGGAAAAAGUUCUCAUCCGCUACAUCAGCUAGUCUUGCAAGGCUAGUGAUGGAUUUAGAAAAAAUUGAGAAUUAUCCAUGGGGGAGAGUGGCGUUUAAGGUGCUGAUGGAUUCUCUGAAGGCAAACGACUUGACGCAAACUGGUUACACUGUUGAUGGGUUCAUACAAGUGCUCCAAGUGUUGGCGUACUAUGCUAUGCCAGAAUUGGGUGCUAAUUAUGGGUCUCCCAUACCAAACAGACCGUCUCCACUGUUGCUGGCUUACAAGGGUGGCAAAAGACAACGCAAAUGUUUUAAGGCUGCUAUCAAUAAACAGGUACUUAACUUCACUCCUAAGACUUCUCAGACGACUUAAAGUUAAGUCGUGUGGAAGUCUUCCAACAAAAGACCACGCAGACGACUUACUUUUAAGUCGUCUGAGUGGUCUUUUUGUUGGAAGACUUUCAGACGACUUAACUUUAAGUCGUCUGUGAACAAAAUACUUCUCAGACGACUUAACUUUAAGUAGUCUGUGAACAAAAUACUUCUCAGACGACUUAACUUUAAGUAGUCUGAGAACAAAAUACUUCUCAGACGACUUAACUAAGUUUAUAUCUUUUAUUUAUUGCAGACUAUCGUGAAGAACUUCGUUCAGAAGGAUUUUGAUGAAAUGUUUCCAAAAUGGGACGGAGACAUAGAUGACCCUGCCGCGGAUAACAUAAUUAAAGUCAUGUUUAAUGAUCCUGGAUGGGAGUGGACCAUGGAAUGCUGGCCAGUCACCGGUACUCGCAAGGUUGUGAAGAUGGAAGUGAUUCCAGUGAAGAAUGAAGUGAGUCCCGUGAAGUCAGAGAGUGUUGUGAAGGAAGAAAGUAGCAGACCUCGGAAGAAAGCUCGUAAAGGGUCUUCUGUUUCUGCUGAGACACCUGCGGCGGGUAGUGAAGGGAUGACGCAUCAGCAGAUUGAAAAGUCCUUGAAGGACAUAUCUGAUACCAUUAAUCUUGGCUUUGGGACGUGCCUUAAGGAGCUCAAGUUACUGGCGGAUAGGAUGGUAGCUGUGGAGAAGAAGGUGGGAAUCACCAACAGAGGGGGUUUAUCUGAUGAUCGUCAACUUACAACCACUUCAAAUCCACCAAAACUUGUUGACGAACCCGGGGUUAGUACCAAAACCUCUCCCAAAAUUGCAGAGAAGAGAGUCACUAGGCAAAGUGUUAGGAAGAGUCAGGACUGAUGUGAUUUGUUUCUUGUGUGCUUUGAUGAACAUGUGUGCUUUGUUUCUAGUGUGCUUUGAUGAACCACUGUAUGCCUUGAUUCUGAACAUGUGUGCUUUGUUUCUAGUGUGAAUUUGAUCUUUGCUGUAAGGGCUUUUGUUAAUAGUUUUUAAACACACUGUGAACUCGAAAUUGCAGAGUGAAAGCGUGAAUGGGGCGAAAGCAGGACAGAAGGAAGCCAAAGAACCGAGUUCCUCGAGAGAGCUCUGUCUUGUGAGUCCUGCAGACGACUUACCGAGUGAUGAUCCUAGCCUUCUUAUAUUGGACAAACAAGUUUCGACCGCUUCAGAUUUACUCGUUGAAGAAGCUAGAAGGCAGACAAAGAAGGAGACUGCUUUGGUGAAUCUCCGUAAAAAAAGUGUGCGAGAAAGGAAGCUUGCUCCCACACAGCAAACUCCUUUUAAGGGAAACAGCACUGCCAAACAGAUCAUUCCAAACAAACAGGUUGGCGGAGGCUAUGAUCCUUUUGCACCCAUUGACAAGAUGAAGUCGAAGGAGCUCACUGCAUGGGUGCAAAAAGAUCCGUAAGUUGCUGUUAAAAAUAUGCUUACUUAUAUUUGAUUAAAAAAAGCUUCUAUUUGAUUAUUUACAUUUUGUGUUUGCAGUUCUUAUAAACUGCCUCUGAAAAAAAAACCACGUAGAUGUCGAAGUCGAUUCUAUCAGGUCCUCCGAACCCCCUUAGAAUGGCUAACCGACCAUGUAAGUCUUCUGCUAUUUUCUAACUCUUAUAUAAGUCGUCUGGUAGUUAUCUGGUACUUUUCUGAUUUGUAUAAGUCGUAUGUGAGUCGUCUGUGAGUCGUCUAUAAGUCGUCUGGUAGUUAUCUUAUGUAAGUCGUCUGUAAGUCGUCUGUAAGUCGUCUCUAAGUCGUCUCUAAGUCGUCUGUAAGUCGUCUGGUAGUUAUCUUACGUAAGUCGUCUGUAAGUCGUCUCUAAGUCUUCUCUAAGUCGUCUCUAAGUCGUCUGUAAGUCGUCUGGUAGUUAUCUUACGUAAGUCGUUUGUAAGUCGUCUGUAAGUCUUCUCUAAGUCGUCUCUAAGUCGUCUCUAAGUCGUCUGUAAGUCGUCUGGUAGUUAUCUUACGUAAGUCGUCUGUAAGUCGUCUCUAAGUCUUCUCUAAGUCGUCUCUAAGUCGUCUGUAAGUCGUCUGUAAGUCGUCUGUAAGUUUUUUUGACUUGUAUUGUUUUAUAUGCAGCAAAUGGAUGCUUUUAUUAAUAUACUGAGGCAACGGUACCAAAACCAUCCAGAACAUUUCAGGAGCGACAGAAUGUGCUUUCUUGAUCAUGUCUUUUCUCGGCAGUGGAGGGCCUCCUACCCUGAUUUUAAGAGCGACGCUCCUGAUGCCAACGGUUUAGGAAGAAGACUCCCUGGUGGGGCGUGGAAUUAUCAUGCAGGCGUGAUACCUUCUUUUUGCCAAUCUAAGAAGGUUUGGGGGGGUGGAUGUGGAUGAUAUCUAUGCACCUGUGAACUUCAAGAACCAGCAUUGGAUUGCUAUAUGGAUAUCGAUCCCUAAGAGGCACAUCGUCGUCUGGGACAGCAUUGUCUCUCAUAUUAGCCCUGAAGAACUCGAUGAGGUAAUGGAGCCUUUUCUCACAAUGGUCCCUUAUCUGCUUGUUGAGUGCGCGCUCUCUGACGAACAAAAGGUUCAAUACACAUUGGAGCCAUACACAUAUGCGAGACAAACCGUUGGAGUACCUCAGUGCCGAGCUGGUGAUUGUGGCCCUUUCACUCUGAAGUACAUCGAAUGUCAUGCUCUUGGGAUAGAAUUUCCCACCGCGUUUGACAAAAAACACGGGAAGACCAUCAGGGAGAAGAUGGCGCUGGAUAUAUUUCGAGAGCUUUCUAUGUGCCAUGAAUGGGAAAACCAAGACAAUGAUGAGAACCUGGCAACGUAUGAUUAGAUAUUGGAUGUGUUAUUGUGUGCUGUUGCGAUUGUAUUUGAACUUGAUGCUUUUGUGUACUGUUGUUAGGUAGAUUAGGGGAUGUUAACAGGGUCAGGAUAGGAUGAUGUUUUUUUGUAACCUAUCCUCACACCAAACUAGAAUUCCGUAGGAAAUUAGUUUGGUAGUGCAGUAACCUUUCGGAAUAUGUAAUGUUUAACUUGUCUUUUUUAAAUUGCACUGUUGGAAUUAGUUUCGGAAUAUGUACUGCUUAACAUAGAAGGUCUACAAAGAAAAGUUCAUAAAACAUAUAAAUUCAUAACAUAGAGUCUACAGAGAAGUUCAUAAAACAUAGAAAAUCAUUGUGGACGACUACAGAGAAGUUCAUAAAACAUAGAAAAUCAUUGGACGACUUACUUAAAGGUCUUCUGGACGACUACAGAGAAGUUCAUAAAACAUAGAAAAUCAUUGGACGACUUACUUAAAGGUCUUCUGGACGACUAACCAGAAGAAAAUUCUAAUUAAGACGUUGGACGACUAACUUAAAGGUCUUCUGAACGACUAACCAGAAGAAAAUUCUAAUUAAGACGUUGGACGACUAACCAGAAGGUCUUCUGGACGACUUACCAGAAGAAAAUUCUAGUUAAGUGAUAUUACGUGUAUACGCACACCAAAUAACCUAAUGUGCACACUACCACAAUCGAAUGGUAUGUCGAUGUAGCACUUUAGGAUCGAAUCCACAGAGACCAACUAUUACACUUUAUCUUUAUGGGAUCAAUAUCAAGCUAAAACAAUAUGGGGGUUUUAAAGUUGAUUUCGUAACAAGCAAGUAAAAAGAUUAAUUAAAGAUUUCAGAUGAUUAAAAUGCUAGCCUAGGGUGGUUUGGUCGGGUGUUAAACAAGUGUGAGCCAAACAAUUAUUCAAGUUUAAUUAAGAGCAAGUCUAGAACUCGGAUCACUCAAGUAGAACAGCCCACUGUCGUGGAACUGCCCCCUAUGCUGAUCGAUCUUGAUACCUAAACUCUCGUUUGGAUCAAGAUGCGACAGCAAGCAAUAGAGAUCAAGUCCGAUAGGUUCACCAAACACCCUAAUAUCUACUUUCGCUGAUUAGGGAUGCUAGGCUCAUUCAUAACAGAUCUAGCAACCUAUUACACGGUUAAUGAACAGGUUAAACCUAGGAUCUAACAUUAAGCGGCCAGAUUAAUGCAAGCAUUAAGAACAGUUAUGAAUGAAGACAAUCAAUGGUUUCACUUAUCUAUGUUUAACUCACGGAUCUAACACCCGAACACCCUAGACUAAGCAAGUUGACUACUCAGCCAUGAACAGAGAAAACACAGAGAUCAAUUCUGAAUAAGACUUCAUGUAAAUAAAAGAGAUAGAAAGAGGGUUCAGGAUAAUCUUCUCUAUGGUGAGAGAGAUGGAGCCUUCUCCCUUUACAAUCCAAAAGCACAAAAGUCUCCAAUGGUUUUCUUCUGUCUAGAAUAGCGUAGAAUGAUAAAGAGAAACAGAAAAUAUGAUAUAUCAAAGCCACAGGCGGCUGGGAGAGAAAAUAUGGAUAAUUAGGGCAAAUCCCGUAAUGAUUGUAGUUUCCUAAAAAAUCUCUGCCGCUGGAACACUCACUCGGAACAGUCAUCAAGACUGUUCUGCGUGAAAACCACCAAAUUGCAUUGUUUUCUGCCUCUUUUGUUCCAGCUGAUCCAUCUCCCAUCCAAUGCAACUCCAGACCUGUAAUGACUCCAAAAGGACUAGGAAGACUCGAUAAAGACUUGAAAACCAAUUUAAAAGCAUAUAUACAAGAUGUAUAAAACACCAUAUAUCAAUUCCCCCAGACUUAGAUCCUUGUUUGUCCUCAAACAAUGUCAAGUAUCAAGAACAGGGAGAAAGGUUUGAAAGUGUGGGAACUCUCCUAUUCUCAGCAACCAUACUUUAACCACGAAUCUCUGAACCAUACAAGCAGUAAAACUAGGACAACACACCCUUACCGGAACCCCACUGACUGCUGUUCAAAAAUCGGCUCCAUACUCUUCAUCUCAAACCUGAAAAAGCAACACUAUCGAGACAGAACUCCCUACAUUCAUUUAAGAGUAGCGUGAGCUUCUCAUCACAGGCAUCAUUCAGGGUAGACGGUCUAGGUGUGGAACAGGCUAUUUAAUGGUGGAGUUAAGAGUGUUUAGGGGCUACCAUUUCAUUGAAGAGGAUGCAGGAUAUCACACAAAAUGGCAAGAGAGGAUAGAUCCAUUGAUGUCCACAGCCUCUACUCGUUUUUGCUCUAUCUGGUGCGACUGUUCUGAUGACGGAACAGGCAACUGAUUGUUCUGCUUUCCACUUUCCUCUACACACUCUUCAAUACUUGGUACCAACUUCUUGCUCGACCUUUCCAGUGGCUCCAUGUUUCUUUUCUUUCUUCCCCUUCUCCAUCACAUUAAUCUCGUUUUUUUUUUUUUUUUUUUUUUUUUGAAGACUGAUAUGGUGAUGUGACGAAGAAGGAGGUAACACAUGAUCGUUCUGAGUGCCACUGGUGGUUCUGAUUUCGCGACCAUUCUGGUUCUCCACCCCUGCUCUUGCGCAGUUCAUUGGUUAUGGAGCGGUUGCUCCCUUAAUCUGCUUGUUCUCCUUUCUGACAUAAUUUCUGCAGCAGUAACGAGUAGGAGGCUGCGUUGAUCCUUUCCUCUCCGACCUUUUUGCACAUAUCUGCACAUAUGACACUGAAAAACAAAUGCAUGAAGGUGGAAUAAAGGCUAAGGUGCAGGGUGGGAACUAGCUAAAGAUGAGCUAGCCACUCAGGAUCAGCAAGAUGGAUAAAAAGGAUAAGAAGUCCUGAGUGUGUUCUCGUUUCCCUGAUCUAAUGCCCAUAACAAGAAGAAUUUCAGUCAAGAUUAGGUUCAAGUAAGGUGGAGUUAAGUCUACCCAGUGUAACCUGAUCGGCUGAGAACUUCUGGAGAAUCAAGUGAGAUAUGUCAGGGUGUUCCAGGUCCACAUGUGUGUCUUUCGCCACUGCUAAGGUCACUGAAUAAGAUAACUAAAGCACGAGGUGGUUAGUGAUCAACACGGAAUAAGGUCCUAAUUCCCACAAAAUUUUGACUGACUCAAUAAAAACUGACUCGAAUUGACCCAAAAGAAAAACAAAAGAAAGAAACGAGUUAGUAAACGACGAAAACCCUCCCCCAGACUUACUUCACAACGUCCCUGGUGUGAAAAUAAAUCAGAGAGAAGGUGAAAUCAAGAAUAAACAUUUUUUUUUUUGUUCGAGAUACUUACCUGGCGCGGAGCAGCCUGACAGAGCAAGACGCGGUUGCUCCGGUAAAGGAUGCUAUGGAAUGAGAACAGCCAGCUGCUUGCUCCAGUCAAGGGUCUCGGAUUUUCUGAUUUGUGACCUGAGACUCAACAAACUAAAAACAAAAAUAAGUAAAAAGAAAAUCCUAAUGUUAAUGACACUCACCAGUGGGUUGCCUCCCACCAAGCGCUUGGUUUAAGUCUCUAGCUUGACUUGGUGACUGGGAUCAGUCGGGUUGAGCAGGAGGGCUUGUUCCAAAACAAGCUCCACAAUCAGACAUGUUCAGCUUCAAAACUCUGCUCAACAACCCUUUCACAGCAGCUUUCCCUUUCUCCUUCAGCUCAUGUGUGAGAAUAGCUCUGACUUUAGAGAAAGGUUUAGAGGUACCCUUGCACUUUACCUCAUACUCAAUGGAGUUCUCAUCACACUUGAGAGGUAUCAAAGUCAUUGUAGGAUCUCCCUUGAUCCUUUUCUUCUGGACUUUCUGUUUCACCCUUGAAUUCCCUCUGAAUUUAGUAGGAUCAGUGCUAGGAUCUUCAUCAGAGAACAGCCUGCUCUCACCCUUAUCACCAUGCUCCUUCUCUGGAACAACCUUCAGCUUUUCUACAUCAAACACUGAGAUGCGAGAGGCGUGUGAUGAGGAAGAUCUGGUGGGUACAGCCUUGUAGAAAACUUUCUUGUUGAUGUUGGAGAAGCAGACUCUCUUGUUGGGCAUAUCGAUGGUUGCUCCAACAGUAGCCAUGAAUGUCCUUCCAAAUAUCAAAGGCAUCUCAUGAUCCUUGUUCAUCUCAACAACUUGAAACUCAGCAGGAACAAUGCAUUCCCCUACUUGAACAUGAAGGCUGCGGAUGGUUCCAUAUGGGACUGCUCUGGAAGAGUUUGCAAAGGUCAGGGUCAGCUGAGAACGCUCAACAUCAGCAAUACCCAAAUCGUCUACAAUAGCCUUUGAGACGAGAUUCACACAAGAACCAGAGUCACACAGAGCAUCCUUGAAGGUUGUUCCUGCGAUGGAGCAUGGGAAAACAAACUUUCCAGGAUCAUCAACCUUAGGCAAUACCUUCAAUGCUGGUGUAGACAGUGCUUUGAUAUAGAGGACCUUGAUCUCCUCUUGAGUCUCUCUACAGUGUUUAAAGAACUGGAGCAAUGGACGAAUCUGCAGAGCAUCUUCGAAUGCAAGUUCUUUAGGAAGCCUUCUCACCAUCUUGUUAAAACCUAUCAGCUGCUCUUCACUAAUGGGAUCCAUCAGAUGUCUAGGUGGAAUUGGAUAGGGAACCUUGGGAACAUAGACUCGAGAUGGUGGAGUCUCAGCAGGUUCGCUAGGAGCAGUCACUCCAGAGCUAGCAGACUGCUCUGCUCUCUCUUCUGCGCCUGAAGCAGUCUCAGCAAACGGCUGCUCUAUUGCAUUACAGUGCUCAGUCCUAGGAUUUUUAUCAGUUCUUCCAGGAAGCGUCUCUUGUUGCCUCUUGACACUCUCAACUGUUUGAGCAAGCUGAACAUCGAUCUUUCUUAUAUGGAUCGCAAGAUUGUCAUACUUGUUAUUCAGCUCAGUGAACAUGUUGCCCAUCCUGGUGUCUAUUUCCGUGGUUACCUGAUUCAACGCCUUGGCCUGAACCUGCUGACCCUGCAACAGCUGUUGCAUCAUCAUACCCAGACCCUUCAGCUCAUCUGGUUGACUGUUCCCGGUAGCUGGAACAGCAUGCGGAUUGCUCUGCGGUUGUCGCUGGUUCUGGUUCUGAAUAUGCCCGGCCGUAGGUUGUUCCAUGCUGAAAACGUGCCCUUGGUUGUUUUUCAGUAGCUGAUCAACCUUGGCAGUCAGCUCAUCUAUUUUCUGGGCGUCAGAACUGUUUCCUUUCUUGGAGCAAUCACUCUCCUCUUUCUUAUUAGCUGAGCUAGCAGCCAUGUUCUCAAUCAGCUUAAACGCUCCAGCUGUGGUUUGAGUCAUGAAAUCUCCAUUGCUCGCAGAGUUUAGAGCACCUUGGUAUUUCCAGUCCACUCCAUCAUAGAAAAUGUCCAGGAUAUAAUCAUCAUCAAAUCCAUGGUGAGGACAUUCUCUGCGAUAGUCAUUGAAGCGCUCCCAUGCGUCGCAGAAAGCUCAUCAGUGAGCUGUCUGAAGGAGGUGAUCUUGUUCCUCAAUGCAGCUGUUCUCGCCUUAGAGUAGAAAUGGCUGAGGAACGCUGAUCGGACCUGUUCCCAUGAAGUGAGAGAGCCGGUAGGGAGAGAGUUCAACCACCGUGCAGCUUUUCCAUCAAGAGAGAAUGGGAAUAACAUGCACGUGAUGUAGUCUGGUGGAACACCAUUCACGCGAGUGAAACUGCAGACUUUUUCGAAGCUCUCAAUAUGCUCCAUUGGAAUUUCUGUAGAGAGACCAGAGAACACCUUUCUCUGUACUAGACCAAUCAAAGCAGGCUUGAUCUCGAAGUCCUGCCUGGUGCAAGGUGGAGGAACAAUGGCAGAGCGCGUAGUAGGGAUGUUACGCGGAAGGUUUCUCUGCCCGAUUGGAACAGUCUGCGCCUGUUGUUCCUGCUGCGCGAGAGCAGCCUGUUCAGCAGCAUCCUGCUGAGCUUGGAUGGUCUGCUGCAUUUGUUGCAUCUGCUGCUGCAUGUGCAACUGAGCAGCGAGAUCUCCUGAUUGGCGUGAUCACCCAUAGUGGUGUCAGUUUGCCUUGGCUGUUGACGAUUUGUUCUUUCUAACCUUGCUAGCUCCUGGUUGGUAAAUGUAACUAACUCUCCUUGUGCGUUUCUCCGAGUAUGUCUACUGGUCAUGCACCUGGAACAUUAGCUGCAACAAAAAGGAUAAGGCAAGUUAGAGGUCUUAGACUAAAUAAAUAACCGAAAAAUAAAGGUAAAAAGAUGGUCCCCGGCAACGGCGCCAAUUUGAUAUUACGUGUAUACGCACACCAAAUAACCUAAUGUGCACACUACCACAAUCGAAUGGUAUGUCGAUGUAGCACUUUAGGAUCGAAUCCACAGAGACCAACUAUUACACUUUAUCUUUAUGGGAUCAAUAUCAAGCUAAAACAAUAUGGGGGUUUUAAAGUUGAUUUCGUAACAAGCAAGUAAAAAGAUUAAUUAAAGAUUUCAGAUGAUUAAAAUGCUAGCCUAGGGUGGUUUGGUCGGGUGUUAAACAAGUGUGAGCCAAACAAUUAUUCAAGUUUAAUUAAGAGCAAGUCUAGAACUCGGAUCACUCAAGUAGAACAGCCCACUGUCGUGGUACUGCUCCCUAUGCUGAUCGAUCUUGAUACCUAAACUCUCGUUUGGAUCAAGAUGCGACAGCAAGCAAUAGAGAUCAAGUCCGAUAGGUUCACCAAACACCCUAAUAUCUACUUUCGCUGAUUAGGGAUGCUAGGCUCAUUCAUAACAGAUCUAGCAACCUAUUACACGGUUAAUGAACAGGUUAAACCUAGGAUCUAACAUUAAGCGGCCAGAUUAAUGCAAGCAUUAAGAACAGUUAUGAAUGAAGACAAUCAAUGGUUUCACUUAUCUAUGUUUAACUCACGGAUCUAACACCCGAACACCCUAGACUAAACAAGUUGACUACUCAGCCAUGAACAGAGAAAACACAGAGAUCAAUUCUGAAUAAGACUUCAUGUAAAUAAAAGAGAUAGAAAGAGGGUUCAGGAUAAUCUUCUCUAUGGUGAGAGAGAUGGAGCUUUCUCCCUUUACAAUCCAAAAGCACAAAAGUCUCCAAUGGUUUUCUUCUGUCUAGAAUAGCGUAGUAUGAUAAAGAGAAACAGAAAAUAUGAUAUAUCAAAGCCACAGGCGGCUGGGAGAGAAAAUAUGGAUAACUAGGGCAAAUCCCGUAAUGAUUGUAGUUUCCUAAAAAAUCUCUGCCGCUGGAACACUCACUCGGAACAGUCAUCAAGACUGUUCUGCGUGAAAACCACCAAAUUGCAUUGUUUUCUGCCUCUUUUGUUCCAGCUGAUCCAUCUCCCAUCAAAUGCAACUCCAGACCUGUAAUGACUCCAAAAGGACUAGGAAGACUCGAUAAAGACUUGAAAACUAAUUUAAAAGCAUAUAUACAAGAUGUAUAAAACACCAUAUAUCAUUAAGACGUUGGACGACUUACUUAAAGGUCUUCUGGACGACUUACUUAAAGGUCUUCCACGUCAGUUCUUACAUUGUGGACGCUUAUGGCCAGUUUCUUUGCAGACUGAGCACCUAUAAACCAUGUGUUGCUUCCGGGGUUUGCGUCCUCUCAUCCUGGAUAGCUCCAACCAAGAUUGCCAUCUUGAUUUCUUCUGUCUCCCCGGACCACGCUUUACUUCCGGAGGAAAGGAUGUGCUUGCCUCAACAAGUUGUCCAACACAAGGAUAUAUAUUCUCUGAGUAUCCUGCAAACAAAGUAUCCUUUGAGUAGACCGGCCACACAAGUGUGGAGAUAUGCACACCAGCUGCUGUUCCAGCUGCUAUAGCAUGAGAGCAAGGUAUUUUCUCGACUUGAUAGACACCACAAUCGCACUUUUGAAGUUCCAGAUCAACAUUACAGUCCCUAUUGCCACCUUUCACAAAGAACUUCCAUCCAUCAAUUUGUUGGACUCUCAGAGUAUACGCGUUCUCCUCUCGGACAGCAAGCAAGUGUUCAACACCCCGACUAUGUUGAGUUGUAAGACUCAAAGCAUCUCCUCUCCUUUUCCAGUACCACCUUCCUAGCUUCUCCCUUAUGAACUCCAGCAGGAACUGAAUAGGAAAUCCUCUUGCUCGCUUCAGUGCGGAGUUAAUUGAUUCAGCGAUAUUGCUCGUUUUUAAGUUGUACCUGUCUCCCUAACAAUGAACCCUAGACCAUAGGGUCACAUCGGCUUCCUCCAGAUACUCAGCAAGAUCCGGAUUUGCACUUCGUAUCUCAUCCAUGUACCGAUCAAAAUCGUAAAGUGUAUGAGCAUAAGCAGCACCUUUCACUAAGUACAAGAGAUGCUUCCCUUUAUACUUUUUGACAAUAUUCUCUUGAAGGUGAUAAUAACAUAUUCCUCGGGUUGCCCAAGGAAACACCUUUUCACACGCAUUUAUAAUGGAGGCGUGCCUGUCGGAGACUAUCACCAGAGGAUACUCAUCAGAUACACAGCUCGCCAAUUUUGUGAAAAACCAUUCCCAAGAUUCAUCAUUCUCACCAUCUACGAUCCCAAAAGCCAAUGGAUAUAUCUGAAAAUUACCGUCUUGUGCGGCUGCAACCAACAUAGUACCCCCAUACUUCCCACUUAGGUGAGUCCCAUCUACCACAAUGACCCUUCUCUGAUACUUAAAUCUUCUGAUUGAAGCUCCAAAAGCAAGAAAUAGAUACUUAAAUCUAUUCAGAGAAUCAAGUUCUAUAGCUGUGAUAGAACCCGGAUUUGCUGCCUCGAUUUGCUCCAAAUAUGAAGGCAAUCGCUCAUACCCGUCUUCCGCUGAUCCUCUCACCAUUUCUUGCGCAUAUAACAAUGCUCUGUAUGAAGUGGUGUAAUCAAGUGUCAUGCCAAACAUGUUCUUCAUUGCAUCUUUGAUAUGCUGCGGAUUCAACCCAUCAAUGAUUCUAACUCGAUCUAUGAAAAGUCGACCAAUGUACUUCGGAGUACAACGUUUCCGCUGAGCGAUUCUGUCUGGGAUGGAACAUGUAUGAGUUGCCAAAUACUUGGUUACCCAAAACGUUUUAGUCCCAUGUUUCACACUUGCUCGGACCUUCCAUUGACAACCACUAACACGACAUGUUGCCACAAACAGAGUUUUCGUUGACUUGAAUAUUCUGAAGGAGAACCUACGCCUCACCGCUGUCGACCGCAACUCUGAAAGCAGUGCAUCCUUACUAGCAAAACUCUGGUUGACAUAGAUUCUGUCUGCAGAUGAUCCUUCUCCUUCACAACCAUAUGCCCCUUUGUAAUCAUCAAAACAGAUUUCAUCAUCUUCUUCCUCAUCCUCAUCUUUAACAUUUCCAUACUCACUAUAAUCCUCAGCAUCAGCGACAACAGGGAUGUCAGCAUCCUCCUCCCCAUCAUGAUCCUCAGCUUCAUCCCCCUCUUCAGCUUCAUGCCCCUCCUCAGCUUCUUCCCCCUCCUCAGCUUCAUCCCCCUCUUCAUCUUCAUCGCUUACAUCAGCUUCAUCCCUCUCCUCAGCUUCAUCCCCCUCCUCAGCUUCAUCCUCCACAUGAUCUUCAUCCCUUUCCUCUGAAACCGUUCUCAUCUUGCUAAAGCUUGAUACACAAAGACGUACUUCAUGCGUUUUAGUUAUCUCGAGCAAGUUCCGAACUUGUCUAUCACUUGUAACAUGAAUAGGAGGAAGGUCUGGAGCCAUCUGUUGUAAUGAGUAGAUUAGCUCCACAGACUCUGUGUUCAUGUCCAGGUUAUAAUCUUCUUGAGUCAUUGCAACAAGAUCAGCAUGUGUCGAACCUUCAUUCAAAAAUAACAUUCUCGCUCCUUUGAAAUGAUCAACCACAAAAUUCCAACAUCCAUCUUUCAACAACCAUUGUCCAUACACUGCAUGUAACUGACGCAUCAUCUGAAAAAGUCAAAAUAAAACACAUUAGCAAACUUAGAACAAAGAAAACAAAAGUUUAUUAAAGAUCGAAGCGGACGACUUCAAUCUAAGUUGUCUAGACUACUAAACUAUACGUCGUCUGGUCAACGCAGAGGUUAUUUUUGCAAUUGAAUUUGAAAUCUGGCUGUCGACGACUUACCUGGAAGUCGUCUGGCUGUAGACGACUUAACUUUCAGUCGUCUCAGGUUACAGAUUUCAAAGUCAAUUGCAAAAAUAACCUCUGCGUUGACCAGACGACUUCUAGGUAAGUCGUCUACAGCCAGACGACUUCCAGGUAAGUCGUCGACAGCCAGACGACUUCCCAAGUAAGUCGUCUGACGAACAGAUCUGGAAAAAAACUCGAUUUCAUACCUUAAAUUGGUGAGAUAAGUUCCUUAGCAUACAUAAGGCUUCUCCAAGCACACAGAAUCACAAACGAAAGUGACCCACCCUGAAUCGUUAGCUUCUAUGACUCUAUGAACCAUAAAAAUUUUAGAAUCAAAAUCUUGGGUUUUCUUAGCUCAUUGUGGAGAGAAAGUGAAAGAUAUGUUGUGUUUAGUUCACAAGAAUGAAAAAAGAAGAAGGGUAAAUCGAUUUUGGGAGCAUUAAGAGCUUCAAAUUGGUUGUUCAUGGUGGUUGUGGUAUUGAUGACAAUGGCAAUCUUGUAAUUACUUGAAGAUGAUGAGGGUGAGAGAGUAAAAAUGUCAUUUUCGAAAAGAAAAAAAAAAUUGAUGGCAUUUUCGUAAAUUAUAUGAACUUGUGGAGUGAAUACGGCAAAACUAAUUUCAAAAAAAAAGGGAGGUUAGUUUUGUGUUUGACUUUAAGUUGUAGGUCAAUUUUGCAAAAACCCCUAUGAAUUUCUAUGAAUAGGUCUAUUAGGUUCAUUUUUAAAAAAAUCACAAAUGAAUCAAGGUUGUGACUUCUGUUUUAAUAUAUAAGAUAUAGGAAAGUUGUUUCUUUAUUUAGUCGCUCUUUUUUUAUUGGAUAAUCGACUAAUCGUUUUCGCUAAUUAAAACAGCCUAUAGGCUUCUCAUUACGCUAUAUAUUUGAACAACAUUGUCGGCAUAUUAUAAUUCUAUUACGUCUAACCUAUUUUAAAAAAUGAUAUAGUACUAUACUAUAUAACAAAAUCUCAUCGUUAUUAUCAUUAUCGUACAUCCGUCGUUAUUCAUUCGUGCUAUAUAAUACGGCUAUCGCACCAAGCAGGCAACGUGAUAUGAAAUAUAUUAACAUUUUGGUUAGGAAUAACGUAACAGAAAAAUAUGUCGUCAGCUAUGUGACGAUUAAGUAAAGUGAGGCACUUAUUUACUAAUUUAAUGAAAGAAUAUACACAGUAGAUUAGGCCAAUUUCGUCAACUUGUUGGGAAAGUAGCCAACAAACCCAAUACAAAACUAAAUUCUACUAGUUAGUUUCUUGGUAAAACUCAACUAAUCGUAACUUUACGCUGUUUUAUUAUUUUUUCCUAAAUCAUGAUAAUAUCGAAUAUGAUUAAAUCAUUUAGUUAUUAAAAAUAUUAAAUCAUGUUAAUAAAGUAAGUAUAUUAGUAUACUAUAUAUAUAUUUUUUAUUUUAGUUAGGAAAGAAAUGCUAAGCCACAGAAUCUAAUAUGUUUCCUAAAUCAACGGUCAUGAUUGAUUAAGAAUAGUCUUCCUUUUGACCAAGUCUAAUCACUAAACCUAAAUAAAUAAACAACAAACGAAGGCAAAUGCUGUUUUGUUACUUAUUACAAUCUCACACAGCCUUGAGACACAACACAAAAUGGCUAACUCAAACGAUUGGUCUCACCUCUACAGCAACAACCAAGCCUUCUACACAACUUCCACCAUCACUUCAACCGCCGUCACAACCACCACAGCAGCUUCUCCCUCCGGUGAAGCCACCUCCAUGGACUCUCGUCUUAGUCCAGAAACAGGCCGUGUAACCAAACCGGCACGUAGAAGAUCAAGAGCCUCACGUAGAACACCAACAACACUUCUCAACACGGACACAUCAAACUUCCGCGCCAUGGUUCAGCAGUUCACGGGCGGUCCAUCCGCUAUGUCUUUCGGGUCAGGUAAUACCACUUCCGGUUUUAGCCUCACCUCUUCGUCGGAUCCAUCCGCCGGAUCUUCCCAACAAGUUCCUUGGCAAUAUAGUUACCAGCCUCACGCGCCGCCUCCACCGCAACAGCCUUAUAUGUUCUCGUUAAACAACAUGAAUCCCGUCGUUGGGUAUAGUAACAUGAACAACCCUAAUACGAUGGUUCCUGGUGGUUUUGGAACCGCGGGCGGUGGAGGAGGAGGUUCUGCUCCGUCGUAUAAGGAAGCCACGAAUAGUAAUACGUCGUCUUCGAGACUGCAAUGAGAAAACGAUUGGAUUCUUUUGAAAUAUUUUUUUCUCCUUUUUCGCAUAAAGGCAGAAAUGUUAGGUACUGACUUUCUUUUGUCAUAGAAUGACAACUUUGACUGUUGUAUAUUUAAGUUUUUCGUUUUCAUAUUCAAGCUUUUUAUCUUUGUUUUAGGCGUUGAGCAUUUGUUUACAGCGUUAUCACUUAUCAUGGUCCUAAAUAAGCAAAUAUUCAAUGACUGAAGUUGCACACUUGCUUGCAUUCAAAAGAAAAACUCCAGUUUGGCAGUAAGCAAAAUAAAAUAACGUCUCCAAAUAAAUCUAUAUGUUUUUACGAGAAUACAUUAUCUGUUAUACUCCCUCUGUUUCAAAAUACAUGAAGUUUUAAGAUUAUACACAACUAUUAAAAAACUUGUUUUUUAUUUUAAAAAUAUCAUUAAAAUAUAAAUUAAAAAUUAUUUAACCAAUCACAAAACAGACUACAAAAUAUCAUUAGCUACACAGUUUUUGAUAAAGUGAAAAAAUACAUUGAUAUAUGAAAACAUCAUCUAUUUUGAAACAUCAAAAACUACCUAAAACAUCAUCUAUUUUGAAACGGAUGGAGAAUAAAUUAUUAUGGCAUCCAUAUUUUCUACUAGACUUAGGUAAACUAAAGCAAUGUUCUCGAACACUAAUAUAUCACGUAUAUAUAUUAUAUAUAUUAACGCUCUAUAUAUGUUAAAAACAUACUUUCACGUAAAGUUCUGAACUACAUGUGAAAAAUUGAAAUUUCUUCAAUAUUAUUCAAAUUAAUAGUAGUAUAUAUGUAUAACGUGCAUGUAAUGGAGGAAAUGUGAGAGAAAUAGCUUACAUCCAAUUUCUGUAUUCAUUUAUUGUAGGCAUUCAAACAUGAAAAUUAGUUAGUGUGAAUGUAGUUUUAUCUGCUUUGCCAAAUUAGCUCGAUAAAAUGCAAAAUAUGAAUAUAACUUUAUAUAACUUAUUUUAUAAAAUGUGCAUGGAAUGGAGGAUGCCUACAAUAAAUGAAUACAGAAAUUGGAUGGAGAAUGCCUACAAUAUAUGAUCCACUUAAGCUACAUUCAUUUACUUACACCCCAACGAUUGUAUUCUUAUUCGAUAAAACUGUAACUGUAAGUGAAUGUUCUUUUACCAAAUUGUAGCGAUAAUAUAGAAUAUGAAUAUAAGUUAAAACUUUAUAGUUUGCUUCUUUUUAUGGCACAAUAUAUUUUCUAUUGUCAUAUAACUUGUAGACGGAAAACGAUGACUAUCCUUUUCCAGUUCACAAUUUGAUUACUUUUUUCUUUGUCUUCAAUCACUAACUUUAUAAGAUUGUUGAAAUAUAUUUGAAGGAGAAUUUUCGCCAAGACCAGAAUAAUCUUUUAACAUUAAAAUAUGGUGAUGAUUAAUUGGAUCAUAUAGAAAUUAAACUUGCUUUUCGUUGGAAACAGAGGAAGCUUUUGGGUGAAGGUAGGCUACCAACAUUAACACACCUAGAUUCUUACGUUAUCGUUUAUUUUUCCUCUUUUAAUUUCUUCCCGCUCAUAUUAAUUAUGAUUUAGACUGAAAGUGAGAUGGAUCUUUUGAUUUAGAUCGAUGUUUUUGUUAAUAUAGAGUUUGGCCAAUAUACCAAAGCCAAACUCUAUACUUAUAGAAUGUCUUUAGUUUUUUUUCUUAGUCUUUUGCAUUUUUAAUAGAUUUUAGAUUCUUAAGAUAAAUCCAUAAAUUAAUAAGAGAAUAUUUCUAUCAUGUUGUAGACGUGUUUAUAUUUGACAAAUAAAAUAAUAUAAAAGGAAUUAACAAUGAAGAAUCUUAUUAAAAAAAAAGUAACAUCGACGAAGUGACAAAAAAAUUGAGUGAUAAAGGGGUUGUGAAGAGGGGAUGUAUCUAAUACGCAUUGUGGGUCCCUUAACCUCAAGUGAAAUUUCCUUUUCUUAACUGAAUUUGAAUUCAUUCAUCAAUUAUUAUACUAUACAACUAGGCAAUAAUCCGCACCUUGCGCGAAAUAUGAUUAUUAGUUUCGUUAUUUUUUAAUAAAGAGACAUUAAUCUAUUUAAUUUGAAUAUCGGUUCGGUUUUAGGUUGAUUUUUGGUUUUUAAUCUCCUAAAAUAUAACUAUCAUUUUAAAUCAAUAUUUAUUUUGUUUGUUCGGUUAAAAUGUUUGAUGUUUUUGGUUUUUUUUUCAUGUGAUAAUUAAAAAUUACUAUUAUUUGUUUGUUUUCAUGUUAUGAAACUUAGAUAGUCGUGAUGUCGAAUCAAUGGUUUCAUAUUAUAGUUUCUAAAUAGAUAAUAGUUCAAAAAGAAAAGAAAAUUGUUAAGACAAAUCAUUUUACUACAAUUUGGUCGAUAGGGAAAGAAGCCUUAAGAAAAAGAAUAUUUUAACUUCAAAAAAAAUUUAGAUAUUUCAGUUGUGGUAAAUAUUUAGUUAUAAAGUGCUCACGUCAAUGUGUCCAUGUAUGUGUAUGUAAAGGUAUAUAAAGAUGGUUGUUAAAUAUAUAAAGAUAAUGUUAAUUAAUAUUAAAUGAUAUUUUUUCAAAAUAAUACAUGAAAAAUAAAAUUCUUAAAAUGAAUUUAUUUAAAAAUAAAAAUACUGUAAAAUUUAUAUAAACUAUAAUAUAUAACUUAUAUAUAAUUCUUUAAAUAUAUGUAUAUAUAUAUAUAUGCAUAUAACAGAUCAAAUUAGAUAUUCGUUCCUAUAAAUACUGAUAUUUGUGGUUUGCUCUUUUUUUUACUGAUAUUGCAUUUUAGUAUUUAAUUUGCUUCGUACAGUAACGAAUAUCCAGAUUUUUCGGUUCAAAUCAAAAUUUUAUGAAUAAUUGUCUAGCUGUAUUCGUAAACAGUAAAAAUAACGUAAAGAAGAACCAUGCAUGUGAGUUUUAUAUUAAAAAAAUGUAAAGUACAUAGUGUGAACAUAUUUAUGUAGUGUUUGGCUGAGAAACUCUGUACAUGUAAUAUGUGUCCAUUUUAGUGUGAACACAUUUAUUACAAUGCUUCUACACGUGACAUGUGUCCAGUUUAGUGUAAAUGCAUUUAUUACAAUGCUUCUCUUUUAAUAUAUAACGGAUUAUACAAAACAUCUUAUUACGAUCCUCAAUCUUAUACUUUGGUAGAUUUUGAUGUUAUUUAUGAUUAAAUUAGCCAUCUUCUUUCAUACAUACUUAAAUAAAUGCGAUAAUCAAUUCUUUUGAACAAGUAGAUAUAAAGGGUGAUUUUAAAACACAAGAGGAAGCAUUUUUUUUUUGUCAUCAAACAAACAAACUCAUAUUAACUAUGUGAACCAAACUGGUAGCUCUGCAUCCAUGUGAACGACGAAAGACGAUUGUUUUCUUGCACUCUGUACUAGAUUAUCCGUCUUUUGAUUCUCCGUUCGGGGUACAUGAAUGAUCUCUGAGCUGAAGAAACAUGUCUUCAGCAUCUUUAUAUCUUCUAGAUAAUUUUCAAACGCCAGCUAUUCUUUUGGUUCCGAAACCAUCUUCACCAAUUGAGAACAAUCCAUAGCAAAUGUGACAUAAUAUUGAUGUAAAUUUCUCAUACACUCCAUCACCCAUAUUAACGCUUCCAUCUCCGAAUGGAGAGGUGAAAGACUUGCCCGAAUAUUCCUUGCACCCAACAAACCAUCAAAUCCCUCAAGAAUAUUAUACCAACCCUCGUCUGAAUAAUACUCUUUAUCUUUCCAAAAACCAUCUAUAAAGCACCAAGGACCUGUCCUCCUCGGACAGUGCCUAACCUCAACUUGUUGUGAUGGCUGCUGAAUAUUCUUCACCUGAGCCUCAGCCCAAAGUUUGGAUUCGGUCUCCGCAAGAUUAAGUGUAUCUCGUGGGUCCAUAUCCAAAUUACUAAAAACUUUGUUAUUCCUACCUUUUCAAAUGUACCAUAAUAUCCAUACAAAAUGAUGAUCUUCCCUCUCCGGGAUAACCCUCCAGAAAAAAUGAUCCAAAUUUAUGAAGAUAGAACUAGUAGGGAAAAGAUCUAGGUUUGACAGUAUCUUUGACAACGCCCAAACUUGACGCAUAGGAGGACAUUAAAAAAAUACAUUAUUUAUUGAUUCCUCAUCAGCUCCACAUCGAGCACAACAUAUAUCUCCUUGAAUUCUUCUCGCUUGCAAAUUCUUUUUUCACAGCCAUACAUCCUGAUACCAUCUAUCAUAGAAAAUGAUUUAUUUUCGGAGGGUAUCUCAAUCUCACCUUCCAACAAAACGCUUUUAAAAUAUCCACUGUAGGACCAUAGACCUACGGUGGUUUUGCCUUAUCCGGAUAGACCCGUUCUAGCUGGUAUCUUGAUUUAACCGAGUAUUUCCUAUUAGUUGUGAAAUGUCAUCCAUCACUAUCCAUCAUCUGGUUUCUACUCAGGAGUAUAAUUUUAAUAAUUUUAGCAUUUUAGGAGUCCACCAGAGCCCAAAUUUUUUGCGUAUUCCAAGUUAGUAAAACUGGAUCAAUGAAAAAGUCUACAAUAGGUAGCAUUGAAUUGGAAUAAACUAUCUACUAUUCUUUCACCUAACAGUUUUUUGUAGUAAUAUAGUUUAGAAAUGUAUUUAAUUGUAUAUAAAUAUAAAUAUAAUUAUAAAUAUAUAUAUAUAUAUCUUAUGAGUUUAUUGAGUGGUAGAUUAGUGGUUGAGUUGUAGUUUUUCUAGAUGGUCAUGUAAAUUUCAAACUCCAUCCAUAUGGUAAUGUAAUGAUAUUACAAAGUAAAAACCAAAAUAAAAACUCUCACUCAGAAGUUCCAGAGCAGUUUGAUUUUUGAAGUCGCACAUUGUCGGAGGAAGCUUGAAUAGUGAUAGAUAAGACAACUCAACUAGAAACUUCGCGAGAUCCAUUUGAAUCACCUCAUUCGUACAUAAAUAAACACUCAUUUUAUUCAAAAAUUCAGAUAUAAGGUUUAAGUUUAACCAGUGUUUAAUUGUUUAUAAUCACCUUCUGGUAACUAUCUUAUUAAAAGGAAAAUUUCAUAAUUACCCAACUAAAUUUCGUUAAAUUUUUUUAUAUCCAAACUUUUAUACUACAUAGUUUAAUACUUCAACUAAUUAUUUUGCUCAGUUUAAUACGCUUGCUUUUAAAACUAUGUUCAUUUUAAUACACAAACUAUGCUAAUUUUAAUAAUAAGUUUUAAACAAAACUUUAAAAAUCUUUAAAUUUCAAAAACAAAAUUUAUUACCUAUUUUCUUUUUUAAAUAACAUAUGUUUGGAUAAUCUUAAUUUUUAUAAUAUUAGUUUUAGUGCUAAUUUCAAUUUUUUUUAUUUUCUGAAGUUUAAAAUAAUUUAUUUAUUUUAUUCAUGAUUAUGGUUUUCUAAAUUUUAAAAUACUAUCUCGUUAGUUUUAUUCCUAAAAAAUUAAAAUAAAGAUUUUUAAAAUUUUAUUUAAAACUUAUUAAUAUCUUUGAUUAAAAUUAAUAUAGUUUGGGUAUUAAAAUAACACAUUUUUAAAAGUAAAUGUAUUAAAAUGUGCAAAAUAAUUACUUGAAGUAUUAAACGGGUAUCAAACUGUGUUGGGUAUUUAACUAAGAUGAGUAAACUUUACAACAUUUUUUAUUUUAUUUUUGUCAUGAAAGUAUCAUUCAUUGAUUAGGUUGUACCAUUGUCAAUAUUUUCUUGUCAACGUACCAAUGUCAAUUUGUAAAGUUGAUCACAAACAGACUAGAAACCAUCUACAAGAAAUAAGGAUUCAACUUUUGUGAAGUAUUAUUGUCAAUUUGUGAAGUUGAUCACAAACAAAUUAUGAAUCAUCUGCAAUAAGAAAUAAGGAUUCAACUUCGGAAAUUGUGUCAAUUUAUGAAGUUGAAUCUUUAUUUCUUCUUUCAGAUGGUUCAUAGUCCAUUUGGGAUUAAUAAGUCAGUUUGUGCUUUGUAUAAACAACUCAAAUCUAGAGUAUUUCGUUCAGUUUUUGUAUCUACAACAGCGGGUGAUGACGAUGACAAUGGCGAUGGCGAUGAAAAUCCAGAUGGGGAUGGGAUUCUUCCUAUUGAUGGGAGGAAGAAUAGAGGAAGACAAUUUACUGAUGAUGUCAAGACAAACAGUUGAUCAAAGCCAAAGUUGUUAGCUGUGAGGUCUGGAGACAAAUGGAAGGUUGAUUGAUAUUGUAACCCGUAUGUUAUCAUCUCUCGGGGGAUCAGUUGCUCAUGUUUAUCAGUAUGAUCAUAUCGUUCCCUGGUGAUAGUUGAUUACAACUUUUAAAGACACACUAAAUUUAUGAUGAAACAAACAAAAUUAACUAAUUAAAUCAUUUAUAAAUGUUUAAAAAAAUAUUUAUAGAAGCUUAUAAACUAACUCCACCUCUUAAAUACUAAAACCUAAACAAUAAUCAUAAAUCUUGAAUCCAAAUAUUAGAGUAUUUUUGAUUGAUCAUAUUUUUUUUCUUUUUUUGAGCAAAGAUUGAGCAUAUAUAUUUUUAAAAUAGUAGCCAACUUAGAAUAUUUCAAGAAAUUUCGCUUAAAAGUAUCAUAUUGGUGUAAAUAUAAAGACUAUCUAAUUAUAUAUGUAAUUAUACUGCUGAUUUUAUUUUAUAUAUUUAAAUUAGGAACUAAAUGGAGUGAAAUGGAGGGUUGGUAUGUUAUCAUCUCUCACGAGGAUCAGAUGCUCAUGUUUAUUAGUAUGAUCAUUUCAUUCUCUGGUCAAAAUCACAUGACUCAAGCCUGGAGAAUUGUCAGGUACUCCAAUCAAUGGUGAAUACUUGGAAUGACGCUUUAUUACAGCUAUAAAUUUGGUUUGUUAAGCUUUUAAACUCAUAUUCUCUGUUUUGGAAGAUAAAUUGUCUAUUUGAAUUUUAGGGUCUGCUGUAGCGAUGAUUCACAAACUCUCAACAAUGGGAUCAUCACAAGAUAAUCAAGAACAGAUAAAGUCGUCUAAAGUAGAUAAUCUUCUUCUUGCAUAGCUUACAUAAUUCAUCAAAGUUAGCUUUUUUUUUGUUUGUUUGUCAAACGAAUUGUCUUGUAACCUCUUGUUAUUUGUGUCUUUGUCUAGUAGAUAUGUUUCUUACUUUGUGAUUACAAAUUAAACUCGAGAGUUUAGAUUUUUUGGUCUCUCGUUUGCCUUUAUUUUGAAGAAGUGUGAAACUUAUGAUGGUCCACAAAACUAGUCAAAUAACACAAGCUACUGAUUGGGGUUUCAUGUGGGACAAACCCAAGUUGAAACCCUCCAAAACUUUUGUACUAUUUUAACAUCUCUGUUUUUUUUUUUUACUUAUUUUUUGGUUAAAAUUGAGACUUUAGGCAUAUAAUAAGAAAACUUUCAGUAGAGUAUCUCAACUUAAAAUAAAUAAAAAUAUAUUAUUGUUCGAUUAUGAAUAUUUCAAAACGAGAAAAACUCAAUCGAAAAUAUCACAAAACGGUGAAAAGUUCAGUCCAAAAUAUCUCAAAUAAUAUAUUUUGACUAAUUUCUCAUCACUCUAAGAUAUCUAAUGAUAUUAGAUCAUUAUUUUAUUUACUUUUUAGAACUACUAAUUUAUUAUAAAAUUUUUGCUCUAGAUCCAUUUCCAUUUUAGUUUUUAUCAUGAUAACUCAAACAUUAAAAUAACUAAAAUAAGAACUUGCUAGAUACUCACAAGAUACUAUGAAAAAUAAUUUGCAUAACAUUAUUGGUCAAAUUUUUUUAAAAAAAUAUUGAAAUUCAAUAGUUUUAUAUAAGUAAACUUAAAAUAACUGAAAUAAAAACUUGCUACAUAAUCACAAAAUACUACGAAAAUAUUUGGCAUUAUAUUAUUAGUCAUUUUCUUAGAAGUAUCUUGAAAUUUAAUAGUCUUAUAGUAAAAACUAUAUAAAGUAAUGAUAUUGGAAUUACGAAAUUUUAUUAUUUUUAGAGUUAUUAAUUUACAAAAAAUAUUUUUAUAUUUUAAAAUAUAUUUUUAAUAAAAUAAGAUAAAUUGUUUAUUUUGUCGUGUAUAUGUUAAUUAAAUUAUUAAAAUUAGACUUUUAUUAUUUUUGUUAUACUAUUUGGUGUAUACAAAAUAUGUUUCAUAGAAUUUAAAUGUAGUUUUUAGAUAUAAUUUGACCUAAUAUUUUCAAAAUAUAUUGAUGUGUUAAGAAAAAUAAAGUUCAAUUUCAUUGUGAAUGUAAAAUAAAUAAUACAAUGAUUUUUUUGUACAUAUAUAAACAUUGUAUGUAUGAAUUAUUAAUUUAUGAUUUUAAUGGAUUAUAUAGAUACAUUGAAUUUUCUAAAAAAAUAUAUUAUCUUAUUUUUUCGAUUUGUGUCAUAUUUUGAACCGGGCAAAUUCGAGACCGAAGAAAUUUAUUAAUUUACUAUGUUUGUAACUGAUCGAGUAUUAAUUUAUAGUAUUUGUACCGUAUAACUGAACUUAAAUAAAAUUAAAAAACACCGAAAGAAUAUCUUAAAGUGAAAACAAUCAUAAAACUAUAAUGUUUACAAGAGAUGAUGCGUAGUGAAGAUGAGAGAAAGGAAACUACAAUGGUUUUGUUUUAUUUAUUUAUAUACAUCAUUACAAGAGAUGAUCAGCUUGCAGUGGUACUUGUAUACAAAGAACAAAGUGUACAAGGCGAGGUAAAUAAUGGAUCUACAAUCUCACUUAAAUCGUCUUCCAAUGGCUUAGAACCUCCAUCUCCUGUCUGGCUGAAUAAUGUUUCUCUUCCAAUGAUGAACAACGAGUGUUUAUGACCAUAGAGAAUUGCUGCAAUGUUACCAACAAAUGAGAGUUUUGGGCGCUUACCCACCUUGAAUCAUCUCACUUCUUAACACAUCUUCUCUCCUUAUUCUGUGAGAGCUAAAAGAGUUACUAGCAUUCUACAUCACUCCUCUAAUUCCAAACUUGGGGUAACCAUAGGGAAUGUUGUCAGAUACGAAUCACCUCUCAUAUCUUUAGCCAAACCCUCAAUGACAUCAUAUAUCUCAUCACUCUGAGGAUGCUCUUGAUCUCUAGACACAAAACAAUUUACAUUACCUGCAACUUCAAUCCCACUACGACCAACUUCUUUCCUUAAACCCUUUUCUCUCAUUCCUCUCCUCAACCUAUCAACACUCGUCCAUUUCUGUUCCUCAGCAUACAUAUUCGAGAGCAAAACCUGAUAUCCUGAAAAGUUCUUCCCUUUAUCCACUUUAGCUAACUUCUCUGAAACAGUUUCAGCAAGCUCAAUCUCACCGUGUACUCUACAAGCUCCCAGGACCGAACCCCAUAGCUCAGCAAUGUUUCCUUCUUCACCAAGCCCUUUAACAAACUCGUAGGCUUCAUCAACGCGGCCUACUCUCCCUAACAUGUCUGUAACGCAGCAAUAGUGCUCAUUGGAAGGCUGGAUGUUAUAAACUUCACUCAUUUCCUCGAAUAUUUUGAGACCUUCAUCCACUAAACCGGAAUAGCUGCAAGCUGAUAAUACUGCAACAAAGGUGACAGCAUCUGGUUUGACUCCAGACUCUUCCAUUGAACGAAACAGCGAGAUAGCUCUCUCACCCAUUCCGUGUUGACCAUACCCCAAUAUCAUCGUGGUGUACGUCACAGAGUUUCUCUCUUUCGUUUGGUAAAACAUGUUUUCUGCGUACUGUAUCGCUCCUGACUUUGAGUACAUAUCAACUAACGCAGAAGCAACAAAUACGUUCUGAUCCAAGUACUGCCUUAUAGAGAAACCAUGUAGCUGUUUACCUAAGUCGAAACUACCUAUCUGGCUACACGCAGGGAGAAUCGACGCCACAGUUAUGGCAUUGGGUUUGAUAUUCUGUUCUAACAUCUUCCUGAACACAGCAAACGUUUCCUCUGUGUGUCCGUUCUGCGUGUACCCGGACAUCAUAGAGUUCCAAGUAGCUUGAUCUCUUUCAGCAUAGCCACUUCUCUCGAAAAGCUUCUCUGAGAUCCUUAUUAGACCUGACUUAGCAUACAUGUCAAUAAGGUAACUGUUCAUCCCCUCGAACUGAAUCCCUUGCCUUAAAAGGAAACCAUGAGUCUGCUUCCCAAUCUCCUUGUUUCUAAGAUUCGACGCAGCCGAAAGCAAAGCAGUCACUGUUAUGUAAUCGAUCUUAAACCCCUGCUUCUGCAUCUCAUACACCAACAUCAAUCCUUCAUCAUCUAAGCCGUUUUGGACAAACGCAGAGAUCAUUGUGUUCCACGUCACAACAUCUCUCUCUCGCAUCGAAACAAAGACCGCAAAGGACUCGUGCACAGAGCCGCACCUCGAGUACAUCACCAUCAACGAGUUGAAUAUCACAACGGGAAGCUCCUGAAAGUUCUUGCUGACAAAACCAUGAAACUGUCUACCUAACUCCACUUGCUGCAGCGCUGAAACUGCACUCGCUGCCAAGAGGAACGUUACUUCGUCAGACACAAUCUCUUUCGAUCCUAUUGCAUCAAGAAAAAGAUCGAUACUCUCAACCAGGUACUCGUUCUGAACAUAGACUCCUAUCAUUGUAUUCCACACCUCAAUAUUCCUCUCUACACAAGAAUCAAACACUCUCCGUGACGCUUCAAUAUCGCCAAGCUCCGCAUACAUAGAAAUAGCCGAGCUCACAACAAACAAGUCCUUCACAUACUCAUCUCCCAACUUAAGCAUCAAACCAUAAAAUACUUUAGCUCUCUUAACACUUCUCGAACUCGCCACCGCGGGGAAGACAUUCACAAAGCUAACCGGACUCGGUUUAAUCUCCAUCCUCAUCAUAAUCCCAAACUGCCUACACGCCUCAGCGUGUCUCUCCGUCUUCACAUACCAAGAAACCAACGUAUUCCACGCCACAACGUUCUUCCUACGCAUACUAUCAAAAACCUUACGCACCACGUCGUACUCGCUUCCAGGAGGAGGGUGGUUCAAGCAAGAAACGUACAUAUUCAACAGAGAGUUAUGAACAACCCUGCUCGAGUUCUGCAAGCACCGGAUCAAAUGGCAAUGCACGGCUUUACCAGCCUUCAGGUUCCUGGUCUCGGCGCAGGCCUUGAGCGUGGAGGAGUAAGUGUAAGGGUCGCAUUUGGUGAAAGGAGCGGUCUUUUUCAUCCGGGAGUAGAAAAGGAGAGCCUCGUGCGGGAGGUUGUUGCAGAUGAGGCCGAUGAUAAUGGUGUUCCAUAGGACGGUUGUUGGUUUGGGAAUUGCGUCGAACAGCUGGCGUGCGAGCUGUGGGUUUCCUUUUUGGCAGAUUCUGCUGAGGCGUGAGCGGAUUGAAGGUGUUUGGGGAGUUGGGUUUGUUGGUGGGGCGAAGGUGGAAGAGCGGCGGGUUUGGUUUGGCGGGGGAGAGUGGAACGAAAGUGGCGGUGGUGGUGGGAGAGGUAGAGCUGAUCCGGCCAUUGUGGAAGAGAUGAUGAAGAACGAAAUGAAGAUACGUUAUUGACUCUCUCUUCCGCUUAUGUUAUCAUCAUCUUUCUUCAGUGAUAAGAGUUUGUUUAUUAUCUAUUUUUUAUAAGAUAGAUUACCAUUUUUCAAAGUACACUAAAUUUGUGAUAAAAAAAAAUAAAAAAUAGACCAACUAAACUAUUUAUUAAUGUUUAAAAAAAUAUUGGGUAAAUAAUCCAUAUUUUCCCACCAAAAAUAUUGGGUAAGAAACUAUCAAUCUCGUCUUAAUUAUAUGUAUCUAUAUUAUUAAAAGAGAAGUACCCAUUUGAAAAUGUUUUUACUUCAUUAAUUAAACUUCCCUUUUUUUUGCUUGUCUUUUUCAGUUGCAUUUAUGAAAUAUCCUAAAACAAAUAAAACUGCCUAAUUGAUUACUUGUCUUUUCAGUUACAUUAAUGAAAUAUGCUUAAAUGAAUUUAAACUUCCUAUUUUAUUGUUUGUCUUUUUCAGUUACCUUAACGAAAUAUCCUUAAAUAAAUUUGGACAUAAUGUCAUUUAAUCAACCAAAAAAACUCAUGAGUUAUCCUUACGUGCAUAAUUUUAAUAAUGGAGAUUUUUAAAAAGAGAAAAUGACACAAAGAACACUAAAUGAAGUUUUCCUCCCCAAACUAGCACUCAGGAUCAGAAUUCACAAAAAUAGGUUUCAUUAAAUGGGCAAUUUACCCUUAUGCCCCCUUCUUUAACUAAUUUAAAAAACAAAUUUGAAAUCAAUUUGUCGCCGUCCUCGUUUCAUCGCUUCUUCUUCUCGUCUCUCCGUCGUCGUCGUCGUCGUCUCUCCGUCGUCGUCUCCCCGUCCUUGUCGUCGUCGUCGUCGUCGUCUCUCCGUCGUCGUCUUCGCCUCUCCGUUGAUCCGUCGUCGUCGUCUCUCCGUUUAUUUAUCGUCGUCGUCGUUUCUCAAUUGAUCUGUCGUUUCUACGUCUAUUCAUCUCAUUCUCUCUCUCGUGUGUCUGAUUUGAUUAAGGUUUGAAUCAUUUCAUUUUGUUAUACAUUAUCUAGGUUUUGUUAUAUAUUAUUCAUUUGUUGAUGAUUUGAAGUUGAUUUUGUAGAACAAUGGAAGUUUUGUGCAUCUGUGGACAAUGGAUCUCAAAAGAAUCUCUCCAGUGGGAGUUUCUUGUUGAUUUGAAGAGGAAUGCAUCAAUCAUUUCCAUAGAAGAAGAUCUACUGUAUGAAGAUUUGAUGAAGAUUGUCUCUGAAGAUUUUAGUGUUAAAGAGGAAGAAAUCAGUUUGAGUUAUGGUUUUUCAUUGGAUAUGAAAUGUAUUAUUGAAAGUUUCCCCCCACUCUCGAUAGGUAAUACUCGUCAGCUCAGAACUUUCAUUUCCAAGACUAGAGCAUUUGAUGGAACCUGUCGUUUGUGUGUUAAGGUUUGUAUGAUUUUUUCUUAGACUUUUCAGGAUAUGCUUCAUAACCAAGUAUUAUGCCUUACAGAACUACUUGACUUAUGCAGGUUAGUACUGAUCCAGUUAGCUGUAACACUCAAGCUUCUGAUACAUUUGCUUCUACUGUUCCAUUGAAUGCCAAUCCAGCGAUUCUUUCUACUGUGCAGAGUGAAAAACAGGUACAUUGUCCUUAAUUCCCUUUUUCUGUUUGUGUUUGCAUGAUAUGCUUCAUAAUCAAGUACUAUGCCUUACAGAACUACUUGACUUUUGCAGAGUCUUCUAUAUGAAGGUGUUUCUACAGUUCCUCUGAAUGCUCUUCCGGAUUUUAGUACUGAUUCAGCUAGCUGUAACAUUCAAGCUUCUGAUACAUUUGCUUCUACUGUUCCAUUGAAUGCCAAUCCAGUGAUUCUUCCUACUGUGCAGAGUGAAAAACAGGUACAUUGUCCCUAAUUCCCUUUUUCUGUUUGUGUUUGCAUGAUAUGCUUCAUAAUCAAGUAUUAUGCCUUACAGAACUACUUGACUUUUGCAGAGUUUUCUAUAUGAAGGUGUUUCUACAGUUCCUCUGAAUGCUCUUCCGGAUUUUAGCCCUGUCCAUAUUGGACUUUCACCAAACACGAGAGUAGCUGGCGAUAUUAAGGUGAAUAGCUAUUUUAAGACAAAGAGAGAGUUGAUGUUGAGGAUGAAGAAAUGGGCUUUAGAGUGGAAGUUUGAGUACAAGACUGUCUCUUCUAACAAGUCAAGAGUGCUUUUGAGUUGUGUUGAUGAAAAUUGCACGUGGAGGAUGCGUGCUAUCAAGCUACCUGUUUCAGAUUUUUUCGUUGUUAAAAAGUAUGUUCAUGAGCAUACAUGCGAUACAACACACAGGAAAGCCAACCACAGACAAGCAUCUGCAAAGUUGUUGGGUUCUUUGAUUUCCAGCAAUUAUGGAGAAAAAAAGGAAGGUCUCAAACCGAAACAGAUCAUUGAACAGGUCAGGAUGCUGCAUGGUGUUCACAUCAAUUACAAACAAGCUUGGAGAGUGAGAGAAGAAGCUCAGAUUUUGGUUAGAGGGACUCCUGAAGACAGCUAUUACAAUUUGUCUAGGUGGUUGUAUAAAAUCACAGAAACAAACCCUGGUUCCUUGACUUAUCAACAUGUUGAUGCUGCAGGAAAGUUCAAGUAUGCAUUUGUGGCUUUUGGUCCAUCGAUAAGGGGAUUUUCAUUGAUGAGGAGAGUUAUUGCAGUAGAUGGUACAUUUCUGAAGGGAAAAUUCAAUGGGACUUUAUUGGCAGCUUGUGCUCAAGAUGGGAAUUAUCAUCUAUAUCCUCUCGCCUUUGCAGUGGUUGACGCAGAAAACGGCGCCUCUUGGAAAUGGUUCUUUAGAGGUUUGAGCCAGAAGAUCCCGGACGCUUCGGAUCUUGUUUUUGUAUCAGACAGGGCUAACUCCAUUUCUUCAGCGUUGGAGGAUGUAUAUCCCUUAUCUCACCAUGGAAUUUGCAGGAUCCAUCUGCUCCGCAACAUCACUCCUACAUAUGCGAAGACUGGGUUGCUACCUCUGGUGGAAAGCGCUGCUGAUGCCUAUACGUGUCACGAGUUCUGGUUAAUCUUCAAGGACAUAAAGGAUAAAUGUCCUGAAUUGGCUAAGUAUCUGGAAGAGUCUGAUUUUAGGAAGUGGGCACGAAGCUAUGCGCCUGCGAACAGGUAUAAUAUCAUGACUACCAACAUUGCAGAGUCUCUCAAUUCUAUGUUGAAGAUGCCUCGUGAGUUGCCCAUUAUCUCUCUCCUUGAAACUAUCAGAUUGACGAUGACCACUUGGUUUUUUGAGCGACGCGAAGCGGCUGCGAAACAUAAGCACCUGGUUACUCCAAAAGUUGUUCAGAAAUUGGUAUCUAGGUUAGGGGCCGCAAUGUUGUUGAAUGUGUAUCAAGUUGAUCGAAGCGAGUUUGAGGUGAAGAAUGAAACAAUGAAGUUUGUUGUUGACUUGGAGAAGCGGCAUUGCACAUGUAAUGUUUUCGACAUUGACAAGAUCCCCUGCAUCCAUGCCAUCGCUGCUGCUAAGCAUAUCAAGAGAGAUGAAAACCGUUUUGUUGAUGCUUCUCACUUGACAGAAACGUGGGCUAAAGCUUAUGCUGAAAGCAUACAUCCUGGUGGAGAGUUGUCAACGUCCACCUAUCCAGAGAAUAUUGAUGAACUGUCUUGCCCACCUCCAGCUACCAAAAAGAAAAGUGGACGCCCUCCUACAAAGAGAAAGAGAUCCGUUGGCGAGUUUGGGGUUCCUGGAUCUAAAUCUCAGUCCCACAAGUGCAGCAGAUGUGGCACAGGAGGGCACAACAAGAUCACAUGCCAGAGGCCUAUAGGAUGAAGUUCUACAUUUUUACAUUUUUAUCGAUUAUUAUUUGGAUGUUUGGCUAUUUGAUGGUUACAUGAUAUGCACAAGACCAUAUACAUUUUUUCUUUUGGAACCCUAUCCUGAAUAAGUAUGAUUUCUUACAACUUUUGUAAUAUACAACAUUAUCUUUUGAUCUCAUUUCAAUUUUUAGUUUAAACUUCUUUGCUAGAAAAAAACACAGUAAUAUUCAACUAUUCUGGAAUCCCAUCCAACUUUUGUAACAUCCAACUUUUGUAAUAUACAAUGUAUUAUACUAUAAAUUGUAUGGGUAAAUUCAAUUAUGUGGAAGCAACUAACAGAUGAUUCUCCUCAGCCUAGCGGCUAAACCACGAAACCUAUGAUACCGAAACAUUUGAUCGACCCGGGUUCGACUCUCCUACGAGUAAUGGGUUUUUUUUUUUUUGUUCAAACAUAUAUCUCAGGAAUCACAUUUGUCGCAAUCGGAAGCCCAUCCUGAACUAUCAAAGAUCUUUCCAAUGUAUUAUACUAUAAAUUGUAUGGGUAAAUUCAAUUAUGUGGAAGCAACUAACAGAUGAUUCUCCUCAGCCUAGCGGCUAAACCACGAAACCUAUGAUACCGAAACAUUUGAUCGACCCGGGUUCGACUCUCCUACGAGUAAUGGGUGAUUUUUUUUUUUUGUUCAAACAUAUAUCUCAGGAAUCACAUUUGUCGCAAUCGGAAGCCCAUCCUGAACUAUCAAAGAUCUUUCCAAUGUAUUAUACUAUAAAUUGUAUGGGUAAAUUCAAUUAUGUGGAAGCAACUAACAGAUGAUUCUCCUCAGCCUAGCGGCUAAACCACGAAACCUAUGAUACCGAAACAUUUGAUCGACCCGGGUUCGACUCUCCUACGAGUAAUGGGUGAUUUUUUUUUUUUGUUCAAACAUAUAUCUCAGGAAUCGAAGAGUCUCUUCCAAACGAUAUCAUGUAACUCAGUAACCGAAGAGUUUCUUUUCGUCAAGAUUGGGUGUUAUAUGAUUGGUUAUUUCAGUAACUGACUUCAAUAAUCGAAGAGUUCCACAAUAAUCAAGAGUUUAUUUUAACUGACUUCAAUAAUCGAAGAGUUCCUUUUUGUUCUAUAAAUAUAAGGGACGAUAUCAGACCUUUUAUUCACUCACUUCAUUUCGCUUGAUAUAUCCUUUUGCAAUACAAGUUAGUUUUCGAUUUUUCUCAUUUUCCAUUCAAUUCAUGAACUUUUUUCUAUUUCUAUUUUAUCGUAACAUCUUAGUUUCGAUUUUGUUGCAGGACAAAGUUUCAAUGGAAGGAAGUUCAAAGAAGAUGAUGAAGCGUCCCAUAGAGGAGGUUUACGGAUGUGAUGCCGCCGAAGGUUUCAAGAAGGGGAAGAAGGAAACUGUGGAACAUUACAGGGCUCUUCUUCGUUUGUCCAACGAAUACAGGCUAUCUGAGAAUGAUUGGAAUCUUGCAUCCAGCAAAGCAAAUUCAAUUGCUGUCCAAAUCGAGUUGCUUGAAGAUAUUAUCAAAGCUGAUGGAAAAUUUGAUUUAACUGCUGAGUUGGAGAAACUCAAAGAAGAGCACUCGGAAGCGGAAGGAAUGCUUGCUGAUGUGAAGGUCAAAGUCCCUGAUUGGGAUAAACUUGGCGAAAGUUGGCUCCAUCAUGAGUAAUUUCAUGUUAUCGUCUUCUCUUUUUAUGUUUUUAAGGACCACAUUAUGUUUGAUUUUCAGUUUUUAUUUUAAAUGAAUAAGCACUUUUGUUUCUCUUGUGUUGUUUCUUCAAUUAACAACCUAAAUAAAAAACUUGUUCAAUGUUUUUCACUAUUUUGUAAUGGUUUGGCCUAGUGUUCUUAUAACUUGGUUAUCUGAUUUGCUUAUUUGUUUUUGGAAAGCCAUCCUGAAUACAUAAAAUGAUAUCCAGAUUAUAUAAAUCUAUCGUCUGUGAAUAAAUGAGUUCACAUUUACUCUGUUAUCGAAUAUCCAACGUAGCCUAGUGGCAAGCCCUUCUACUCUUAGUGUACCCUUAUCACACAAUAAGUCGUGUUCGAUCCCCGUUGUGUAUACUCACAUUUUUUUUGUUUUUAAUUAAAUAUUCAAACGUUAUUUUCGUUUUAUUGUAGCUUUUGGCAAGUAUAAGACCCUUGGUACAACGGCUGCACACUUGGAUUAAUCUAUCGAGAGUUCACGAGUUCAAUCAACAUCAGAUCACAUUCUUUUUCAUUUUUUUUUUGUAAACUUUAAAGGAAUUUGUUUUUGGAAAGCUAUCCUGAAUACUUAAAAUGAUAUCCAGAUCAUAUAAAUCUAUCGUCUGUGAAUAAAUAAGUUCACAUUUACUCUGAUAUCGAAUAUCCACCAUAGCCUAGUGGCAAGCCCUUCUACUCUUAGUGUACCCUUAUCACACAAUAAGCCGUGUUCGAUUCCCGUUGUGUAUAUUUUCACUUUUUUCUGUUUUUAAUUAAAUAUUCAAAAGUUACAAGUUAUUAUCGUUUUAUUAUAUCUUUUGGCAAGUAUAACACCCUUGGCACAGCGGCUGCACACUUUGAUUCAUCUUUCGAGAGUUCACGAGUUCAAUCAACAUCGGAUCACUUUCUUUUUCAUUUUUUUUGUAAACUUUAAAGGAAUAUGCUAGGCUUUGGUGCAUUUUGCUUUCUCACUCUUUUUCUGGAAACCCAUCCUAAAAGUACCAUAAGCAUUUGACAAUUCAUCAAUACAUCCUAAAAAUUUUUCAAUAACAAUCUAAAUGAAAAAAACGUUAGGGAUAAUUCAUUACAAACUUAAACUUAAACGUUAGGGAUAAUUAAUAUCAAAGUAGAAAAACAGUGUAGAAAACAGAACAAAUAUGACAUUUUCACUUCCUUUGACCUUCCUGGAAAUCUUUAUCCAUAAACUGGUCGAAGAUCUCACAACAUAGCUUGCUUCGUAAGUCCAUCGCAGUUUCAUCAUUUAUAUUAGCCAUGCUCUUCAAUCCCAGUGACCUGCAUUCCAGCAUCUUCACAACAAAAAUACCACAGUUGUAUGGAAAUUUUGUCUUUGGAAGCCCUUCUGCAAACUUAACUUCAAAUGGACUGAUAUCUUCGAAAUUAACCUCUUCACCAAGAAGUUCCAUCUUUAUGGCACUAAUCAACACUGUCAUAAAUACCCAAAAUUAUACAAUAAAUCAAUCACCAACAGACAACAAAAUGAAUAUGUAAAAAUGCAUCACAAUCACAAGCAGCAAGUGACAAACUUUUAUUUUCUAAAUUAGCUAAUAUUUUUACCUGCCAGUUCUUGGAUUUGAUUAAGAGCACGUUUGAUAUUUGCUUUUGGAAGACCACAAUGGAAGAGUGUGAUUGUGUUGUCCAUCAAUUGUAUCUCCACCCCAAUAUAGUGACAGCUCAACUUAUCUUCAAUGACACCAUAUAUAACAUCAACAUCUUCCAGCCAUACCUUCUUUGGAUGUAUUAAACCUUUCACAAGUUCGCCUACACAGCCCUCCAAUAACUUUUUUUUUUCUUAUGUGGCUUCCUGACAGAUUCAUAAGCGUACCCAACCUCUUCUAAGAAUUUGACUGGUACAAAGCAUGCUGGUGGAAGAUUGUUGUUGCGGAACCAAGCACCUUGCUCAACCCUCUUACAAUUUAGCAUUUCAAAUGCAACAUUUAUGUGCUGCCAAUGUAACAAUAUAGUUAGAAACUUCAUAUAGAACUGCUAUAACAUGGACAUCUAGCAUAGCUCAACUCAACCUCUUCCUAAACAUAUCACACAAUCAAAUAGAAGACAGAACAGAGUGUUGAUUACCUCUUUGUUGAGAUUGUUUUCUGCAUCGUCCAUUUUUUGAAAGAACUCUUUUUCAAUUUCUUUUCCAUUGAUAUAAAACGGUCUGUAGUUGAUAAAAUUAACUAGUAUCAAUCGAAACUUUUACAAAAUAAAUUAGGAAUAUUUAUGCGAGGACAAAAAGUUGCUUACACACGAUAUAUGCCCCGUAGAUCCAUCCAGUGUGUAAGCCUUGAAAACCGAGGAAAUUCAGGUGUCACAAAUGGAUCAAUUGGAAGGAUUACCUCAGGUGUUACAGGUAUAGGAGGGUUUCUAGGUCGUAUUGGCCUCUUCUCUUCUCGCUGUAGAAAAGGAAGCAAAUCUACUGGCUGAGCAUUUGCUUUCUUCUUCUUACCAACAUGUGGCUUCCCCUUUAAUUAAAAAUAAAGACAAAAAUUCAGGAUCGUUUUUAUCUUUAUACUUGAAUGCCUUCCUAAUAUGAAGUAAAAAUAUUUUUUAUACCUUUUUUGCAUGAUCGUCUUGACUUGGUUUCACACUCUUACCCUGCUUUACUUCUAUCUGUGAAACAAAACCGAUAUAUCAAACUAUUGACCUGAACUUCAAUUCAAGUGGAUCUUAUUCAUUUUUAUUACCUCUUUUGCCAUUUUCCCAACACCAUCUUCUGAUGGACCAGCUGCUUCAUUUUUCUUACAAGCGACAGCCUUCGCCUUCCCCUUUUUGAAUGACAAAAAUUCAGAUACAUUUAUAUCUUAAUUCCUAGUAUGAUGUAUAAAUAUUUCAUACCUUUUUAUCACCAUCUCCUUCACUUGGAUUCACACUCUGCGUCUGCUCUUCUUCCAUCUGAAAAUCAAUACCGAGAUAUUAAACAAAUGACAUUAUUUUUCAAUUCAAGUGAUCCAAGGCAUUUGUUUUACCUUUUUUGUCAUCUCCCAAACACCAUCUACCCAUUUUCUUGGUUUUCGCAUCUCAGAAUGGUGGAAGUAAAUUUGUUCUUUAGAAUUGUUCAAAGAGACAAAACACGAGCCAUCAAACAAAAUGACUUUAACUUUUCCAGCGCACCAGGCACCAUUGUCGAACGCCUCCACGUCCUGCAUUAGCUCAUAACUUUUCUUCGCUCCAGAUCUCUCAGGUGGUGGUUGAGGACGUAUUCUGUCAAUUGAUACACGUGUCUCAACACUCCUUUUCCUCUUCUUUUCGUCCAGAGACGGGACGAAGUACUCAACUUUCACCAUCUCAACCCCAUCAACCAAAUAUGUUGCCAACACAUUUCCUGGAUACCAUUUAUGACAAGUAUUGUCAUCUUGUGAUGAAAUCUCCACAUUUGCUCCGAUCUCAAAGGGAUUUUGAACUCUGCUUUCUACAUCCUGUGAUGGUUUAGAUUCAAGGAUAUCCAGUCAUUUUGAUAGUUGCUGAGUAUUUAUUAAAGGUUUUAAUGAAAGUAAUACCUUAUUUUGCUCUGUUAAAAGAUUUCUGCGAGCUCGGGUAUUUGGCUGUGUGUCGGAAAUGUUUGGUGAAAUGAUCUCAUUCAUAAGCUCGUGAGUCUCCUGAAUUCAGGAAUGGUUGAAUGAACACGUACAAGGGCUUCCAAAAAUUACUUGAAAAGUCCAAUUUUUUAAAGAAGGUACCUGCUGCGUCUGAAUUGGAGUAAGGACUGGAGUCUCAAUAUUCUGUUGAGCUAUUGGAGAACCAGGUGUCUCUUUCGUGAUCUCAUUCAUAGGCUCUCGUGUAUCCUGAUGUCAGGAAUGGGAUUAUGAACACGUACCAAAUUCAUAAUUUUAUAAAUACCAACAGUUUUCAAAAUUAUACUUGCCUCAUUGUUAAGUUGUUCAUCUGCUUGAUCUGCAUUGGCUUCACCUUGUCUGGAAGCCGUCUCAUGAAAUGGAGUUGUGUCAGUCUGUGCAAGUACAACAAAAAUUAGGAAGGCAAGCCUAAAUAUGUAUAACAUCUUCCAAAAUUACUUGACAACUCAAAACUGAAUCAAGAACUAGAUAAACAUUAAUUUUAAUUUCCGAAAAAAAAGUUACCUCAUUGUUUGGAGUUUCAUAUGAAGUAACUCUUUGUAGUUUCUCUAGGUUUGUCACACGUUCUUUAAUCUGUUUCCUGUCUUUUUCAAUCAAACACAAACGAUCGUUCAUGAUCCUUAAAUUAUCUCCCACCAUCUCGCUGAUUCUGUUGAUCUUUGAUUCCAAAGACUCCUCCUGAUACGAAGUAGAAGCUUGACUCAUCCCUCCAUUCCCAAACAGUAAAGAUGCUCUUCUUAUUUCUUCAUUAGCACCGUAUAGGUCUACUGACAUGUUUCGCCAAUCUCUAAUUUUAAACUUAUAACCUCUCUUGGAUAAAUCGGCCAUGUCAUCCAGAUCUUUAUUAGCUUCGUCUCCCAUGCAAACAUCAUCUUCUGGAUCAUUAGAAAUAGGAGGUAGGAUGCAUGUGACCUUAAGCUGAAACCAUAAAAAUAAUUAGCUUUUAAAUGGAGAAUCAUAAGGCAAAACAGAAACAAGAAAAAAAUAAUGUAAAAACUUACAUGAUCUUUGAUUUCAAUUAGGAGAACAUCUAUCAGCUGUGGAGAAGCUAUUUGAAGGUACUUCUCACACAAAAAUAUUGGGGUAGACGGUUGAACGCUCAGAAUAGGAACAACUUGACUGAAUGCAUACUGUAGCAAAGGUACUGACUCAAGUAUCCAUAUAAGAAAUGCCAUAGGGAACCCUUGCAAAUCAUAAUUGUUUUUGUCGAGGCUUUUGUCGACAGCUCUCUGAAGUGAUUUUAACAGCAAAUUAUAAGCUGUUCUCCCCCAUGGGUAUGUCAUCAAGACAUCCAUAUCCUGCGCUAUUUUCACAUAAUCCAAAGUAAAAGUUGUGCCACCGUCGAGAAGGCUCUUCUGUAGUAGUAUGCUCUCAAUCAGGAGGAGCAUUGCAAGGCAGAAUCUCUCAUCAGAAGCAUCUUCUCUUGUGUUUCUGAGCUGCUUCUCCACGUCCUUUACUGUAUGAGUACGCCCUUUUAGGAAGUCCCACUUAAAUUUCUCGGUUCCCUCUCGUGGUUCUCUUGCUUCACCACUACAUUUCAAACCAGUCACCAUGUGGAAUUCUCUUAUAGAGAACCUCAUUGGCUGAGCACCAAAAUGGAACCAUGCUUCGUGUCUCUUCACUGUCUUGAUGCUUUUGGUGAGAACUGCGUGCACUAUCUUAGCUGAUAAUUUCAAAGACCUCUCUCCAAGCUUGAUCACCGGUCCCAAAAACGUCCCUCUUAUUCUGUUGAACUCAUCAUUUCCUAGAAUUUCCUUAACAGUUUUGAUAUAAGCAACUAUCGAGUGUUGGUUUAUCGAUAUCGUCUUCUCUGGCUCUGAUCCAAUCGGAUACCUCAGCUCAGGCAGUGCUAGUCUUAAUGGUAAUGGAUCUCCCAUCUUGUUUCUAUCCUGCGUAAACAAGAAAAAUUUUAUUUGUCUAAAUUAAUUAAAAUCCAAUUUUCAGGAAGGGUUUCCUGAAAAAAAUACAAAUCCUUCCCGAAGUCUAUACACAUGCUUUCACAUGAACUAGAAUUCUACGAAUCAUAUUAGGUUAAAACGAGCAAGUCUAUACACAAGCAAAAACCAGGAGACCAAUCUCUCAGAAAGAAAACACACAUAAGGUUGAAUCUGCAACAUACCUUCAAGAGAUAGAGCUCUAGAAAUGGUUUUUCUCGGAGAAUAGAGAGAGCUCGCGUAAAAGAUCGAGAGAGAGAGAGUUCUGGAGAUGGGUUUUCGUCGGAGAUCGAGAGAUAUGGAGAUGAGAGAGAGAUUCGAGAGGCGGAGACGAGUGAGAUUCGAGAAGUUUGAAACGGCGAGAGUGUUGAGACGGCAAGAGUUUUGUUUUUUUUCAAUCGAAAUGUAUUGUUUUGGAAACCUAUCCUAUAUUAAUUGGGUUAAGUAUGCUUAUGUAAUAUUCUUUAACAGAUGAUUCUCCUCAGACCAGCGGUUAAACCAAGGCUUUUUAUAACUCAAAAGUCUCUCUAUCCCCGGGUUCGAUAUGUGGUGGAUUCAAAAUCUAUUUUAAUUCUUUUUUGUGUUACAGUUUGGAGUUAAAUAAAAUUAAAUGUAAUCCAUAACAGAUGAUUCUUCUUGGCCUAGUGGCUAAACUCCCACACUAUCCAAAUACGCAGACUCUCUCCCUCUGGGUUCGAUCCUUUGUGGUUCUAAAUUUUUGUUGUCUGUAAACAUCACAAUUUUAAGCUUACCAUAUACAUGUCCAAUCCUUAGUAUAUAAUCUCAUUUCAUUCUUUUUUACAUUUGAAACACUUAACUUUUUUUCUGGAAACCCAUCCAGAAACAAUAUUUUAACCUUCCAAGAUAUAUGAUACCCAAAUAAAAUACUUGAUAUCCUUCCAAUCUUUCUUAUGUAACCAGACGCCAACAACAUAACAAAAUAAACAGUCAUAACUAAAACCGAGUCUUAACUAAAACAAAAAAUGUUUUCAUGCAUCAUUCUCAUUUCCCAAAGCUCUCAUCCACAAAUUGGUUGAAGAUCUCACAAGACAAGGUUCUCCUUAGCUCCAAUGCAUUGUCAUCAUUAAUCUUUGUCAUGUCUCCUAUCUUCAAUGACUGGCACUCCAGAAUCUUGACAAGAAAUAUCCCACAGUUGAAAGGAUGUUUUGUCUUGGGUAAACCUUGUGCCUGCUCAAUCUCAAAUGGAAUCAUCUUCACCUUAUCUACCUCAUCACCAGAAGAUUCCACCAGCAGAUUAGAAAUCAACACUGUCAUAUUUAAAAAUCAAUAUCAAGAUAGAAUCAGUUGAAUAUUUCAAACCAAGAAACAGAUGAAUACAUCAAAUACAGAUUGUUUAUACAUACCUGCCAACUUUUUCACUUGAGGAAUAUCAAUGCUGUUGCUUUCCUUUUGAAAACAAUCAUAUACUGUGAUUCUUUUCUUCUUCAAAUGAAUUUCCAUCCCAAUCCAGACAUUGCUUUUUUUUCCAAGAGUAAUCCCAUACACAACAUCAACAUCUUCUCCCCAUGUCUUCUCUGGAUAUACCUUCCCUCUCACAGUAUCUUUAAAUAAAUCGUUGAAAAUCUUUUUACCUUUGACCUUUUCUUUCUUGUAAGCCAAAUCAUCAGAGAGCAAGCAAUGCAAGAACUCCAUAGGUAGGAAGCACGCCUUUGGAAUCUUGUAGUUGUGGAACCAAGCAGCAUUCUCAUUUCUUCUGCAAUUUAGCAUUGCAAAGGCUCCAUCAAUGUGCUGCAAAAAAAAAGGCAAACAUUAUCUAAUUUGUUACUAUAUAAUUUCCUGAAACUAAACAAAUCCUUCCUGAAUUUUUUUUUAAAAAAAAAGCUCAAGGCAAGAACAUAUGUAAACAAAUUACCUCUUUCUUAAGGUCCUUUUUUGCAUUUUCCAUGCUUUGAAAGAAAGAUUUCCUUAUCUUAUUAUCAUUGAUUGAUAGGGACCUGCAGUCGAUUAAAGAUUCAAAGGAAUUACCAAACCUCUUAUACAUAAAUAUAAGAAUAUAUAGACAAGGACAGAAACAUGCUUACGUUUCAUGCAUGCCGGGCUUUAAUGUCAUCCAAUUUUGAAGCCUUGAAAGCUUAUGUUCCGCAGGAGUUGAAAACGGAUCAACUGCAGGUAUAAUCUCAGGUAUUACAGUUAAAGCCGGAUUUCUGUCAGACUUGAAUGGAGUUUUUGUGUCUCUAGAUCGUUUAGGCACCCUCUCGCUCCUUCUUAGGAAAACAUUAUCCAUUCCUGAAUUUUGUGAUGAGGCAGCAGCUUUCCUUUUCUUAUCAGGCUUCACCUUUAAUCAAACAAUAGACACCAAGCAAAAUAUUAUCAAAUUUGUUGCAAUCGGAAUUUCUGGAAACCAUUCCUGAAACUAAAAUGUAUGUAUAUCAAACAAUUCACGUGAAGUAUAAUUCUAGUUAUGAUUUACCUUAUCUGCCAUCUUCCAGACUCCAUCUUUCCAUUCUCUAUGAAUUCGCAAAUCUGAAUGUUUGAAUAGAAUAGUUUCCAUAGAAGUAUAGAGACACACCGAGUAUGUGUUAUCACCAAGUACCAUGCUAAUUUGUCCGCUGCUCCAGCCAUUGUUGUAGAAGGCUUCUACCUUAUCCAUCAUCUCAAAGGAUUUUUGGUCACUAGUUGGUGUUGCAGGACGUAUUUUGUCAGCCGUGAUAGUAUCCUGAAGUUUCUGAAGUCUAUGUUGGUCUGUGAAGAGUGUCGUGUACUCAACUGUCAGCUCCUCUAGUCCUUCACACAGUUUAAGAUCAACAACCUUUCCUGGAUACCAUAUUUCGUCAUCAGUAGACAAAAUUUCAACCUCUGCGCCUAUUUGAAAGUGAGCUAGAAGCCUGCUUACUUCAACCUAUUAAAAAUGAAGAUUCAGUAACAUCAGCGGUUUUAAAUUGUUAGAAUAAUAAUUAAAGAUCAAAUAUACUCGAUGCAUACCUCGUUUUUUUCUGAAAAAUCUAUAGCACUUGUCUGAAGAUGCUCUGUUUGCUGAGUAAUAGGCGGCAUCUUCGAAACAUAUGUGGAAACUAGCUCAGUAGUAGGUUCUGUAGUAUCCUUGAGAUUUUCUUCUGCUUGAUUCUGCUCUGAUGGUGUCUCAUCGGAUUGAUCUCCCUCACUUGUCUGAAGGUGCUGUGUUUGCGGAGUAAGAGGCUGUGUCUUCGAAACAUCUGUGGAAACUAGCUCAGUAGUAGGUUCUGUAGUAUCCUUGAGAUAUUCUUCCGCUUGAUUCUUUCUGCUUGAUUGUGAAUGCUCUCCUUCACUUGUAGAAAAAUAUUGGGUCGCAGUUUCUGUCUCACUCUAUAAGACAAAAGUAAAUGGUAAGAGUUAGUUGAAUAGAAAAAUAUUACCUAAACAUUUUAAAUAUUUCUUCUUACCAAAGCAUUCUUAUUUUCUUCAAUAACUAGUGCAAUUAGUGAAGACAAUGGAGAGGAAGGUCUGUAAUGCACAGCAUGUGUAUCCUCCUGUAAUAACAGUAAAAUAAAAGAGGUAGUUAUGAAGAAGUUUCUACAAUUUAAAAUUCAAGUUGUACUUAUGAAAGACAUUUCUAUGCUUACCUUUUUAUUGUUUGCUGAAAUGAUCUCAGUCAAUGGCUGUGUAGCCUCAUACGUUUCCUCUGUUACCGUCUGCAAAAAAAACAAAAAAAAGUCAGGUAGGGGAUCAAAAACACGUACAAAAGCUUUCAAACAUUACUUGAAAUCUCCAAGAUUUUUUGAACAUUUACCUGCUGUUUCUGAAUUGGAGUAAAAACUUGAGCCUCAAUACUCUUUGGAGAUAUUGGAGAAGAAGGUGUCUCAUUCAUUUCCAGUGUUUCUUUUUGCAAAACUUGAGUCUGAGCAGCAGGUGACUCAAUCACAAUCUGCAAAAAAUAUCAGGAAAGGCCAUCAUGAAUACAUUCAAUUAUAAUUUCUAGAGUAAAUAUUACCUCAUCAUCUGGUUUUCCUUCUCCUUGAUUAGUUUUGGGUGGCGUUUCAUCAGUAGAGGUUUGUGUUUCCCUCUGCCAAAAAUUAGAAAGGUCUAUAUAUGUAAAUCACCCAAAACUAAUUGUAAACUCCAACUGUCAUUGAGCAUAUACCUCUUUUGUCAGAUUAGGAGUAAAAACUUGAGUAUCAAGGGCAGGCGUGUCAUCCGAUGGCUCUCUCUCAAUCUGUAAAAAUUAUCACGAAGUCAAUCCAGAGUACGUUCUAAAGCUUCCAAACAUUAACUUAAAAAUCCAAGAUUUUUUUUGACCAUGUACCUGCUGAGUCUGACUUGGAGUAUAAACGGGAGUUUCAAUACUCUUUGGAGCUAUUGGAGAAGAAGGUGUCUCAUUCAUUUCUACUGUUUCUUUCUGCAAAACUUGACUCUGACUAGCAGGUGACUCACUUGUUAAUUUCUCUCUCACAAUCUGCAAAAAAAUAUCAGGAAUGGCCAUCAUGAAUACAUUCAACUAUAAUUUCUAGAAUAAAUAUUACCUCAUCAUCUGGUUUUCCAUCUUGAUUAGGAUUGGAUGGCCUCUCACCGGUAGACGUUUCUGUUUCUUUCUGUCAAAAAUCAGAAAAGCCUUUAUAUGUAAAAAAAAAUCACCCAAAACUAAUUUGUAAACUCCAACUGUGAAAACAAUAUCAUUGAGCAUAUACCUCUUUUGUCAGAUUAGGAGAGAAUACUUGAGUAUCAAGGGCAGGAGUUUCAUCAUCUGAUUCAUUCAUUGUGUCCUGCAAAAAUCAAGAAUGCAUUCUAGAAUAUGUACAAAAGCUUCCAAAUAUUACUUCAAAACUCAACAAUAUUUUAUUGGUUACAUACCUCAUUUGUCAAAUUAGGCUGUUGAGACAUUGGAGAUAAAGGCGUCUCACUCGAUGAUUGCGUGUAAUCCUGCAAAAAUCAGGAAGGCAUUCAGGAUUUUGUACAAGAAUUUCCAAAUAUUUUCUUAAAAAUUUUUGAGCAUAUACCUCAUUUUGUUGAGACUUUGGAGAUGCAGCUGAUUCAAUCAUUGUCUCCUGCAAAAAUCAGGAAUGCAUUCAAGAAGUACAAAAGCUUUCCAAAUAUUACUUCAAAACUCAACAAUAUUUAUUGGUUACAUACCUCAUGUGUCAAAUUAGGCUGUUGAGACAUUGGAGAUAAAGGUGUCUCACUCGAUGGUUGCGUGUGAGACAUUGGAGAUAAAGGUGUCCCACUGGAUGGUUGCGUGUGAGACAUUGGAGAUAAAGGUGUCCCACUGGAUCGCUGUUUGUCAAAUAUUAGGAAGGCAUUCAAGAAUAUGUACAAGAUCUUCCAAAAAAUACUUGAAAAUGCAAAUGUAAAAGAAGAUGUUUUGAGAAUUUACCUUUUGUGUCACGUUAGUGGGAAAAACAUUGCUGUUUCCUUCCAACUCUGACACACGAGCUCUAAGAUGUAUGUUUUCUUCUUCCAGUAAUGACAUUCGAUCCUUCAUGCUCUUCAGAUUCUCCUCCAUUACCGUGAUGAUCCUGUUCACUUUUUCAUUUACUGAAUCCUCAUCAAUCGGAGUAGAAGCUUGGCCAGUCUCCUUAUUUGCCAUCAUUUGAAUAAGAGCAUCCAAUGUGUCAAAUGUGUCUACACACCUAUUUUCCCAGUCAUCGGCUGUAAUCUUGUACCCUUUCUUUGUUACAUCUUUCACUGUUUCCAACUCGUCACUAUAUUUGUCUUCAAUGGAGAUAUCAUCUUCUGGAUCAUGAGGAAUAGAAGGUAGUAUGCAAUGGACCUUCAGCUGAGAAUAUUUCAAAAAAAGACCAAUGAGAAACAUAUUAAAAAGAAGAAGCCAAAUAAACUGAGAAACAUAUACUUGGAAAAGCUUACCUUUGUAUCAGCUUCAACCUGUAAAACCCUAUCAAGUGAUGGAUUCUCUAUCUCAGUGUAUUUUUCACACAAGUAAGUCGGCCCAGGAACCUCAACUGUUGGUACACACUUACUGAACUUAUUCCUUAGCAAAGGAAUCGACUCUAGUAUCCAAAGAAGGAAUACUAGAGGAUAACCUUGCAACUCAAAUUUGGAUUUAUUCUCCAAAUGAUUCGCGACAGCGUUUUGAAUUGACUUCAGGAGCACAAUGUAAGCCUCUUUUCCCCAUGGAUAUGUCAUAUCCUGUGCAUUUUUCGCAUAUUCCAAAGGAAAACUCCCUCCUUUGCUCUUCCGCAAUAAUAUGCUCUCUACCAGGAUGAGCAUUGCGAGGCAUAUUCUCUCCUCAGAAGCAUCUUCUCUUGUGUUUCUGAGCUGGUCCACCACGUCACUUAACUUAUGACUACGCCCCUUUAGCAAUUCCCAAUUAAAUCUCUCGGUUUCCCUUCGUGGUCCUUCUAAUGCACCACUACAUUUCAAGCCUGUCAUCAUAUGAAAUUCUCUUAUAGAGAACCUCAUUGGCUGCGCACCGAAAUGGAACCAGGCUUCAUUCUCCUUGACAGAAACGAUGCUUCUAGUGAGAAUGGCGUAGACUAUCUUUGCUGAUAACUUCAAUCCUCUCUCACUGAGCUUCAUUACAGGUCCCAGAAAUGAUCCUCGGACUCUUAUCAUCUCAUCUGGUUUUAGGAUGCUUUUGACAAUAGAGAUAUAAUCUGAACCAGAGUAUUGGUUGAUUGCUGACUUUUCUUUUGGCUGUGAACCAAUAGGAUACUUCAGCUCUGGCAGUGCUAGUUUUAGAGGUACUGAAUCUCCCAUCUUGUUUCUAUCCUGCGUAAACAAGGAAAAAAAAAAUUUCAAACUUUUCUGGAAGGCUUUCCUGAAAUAACACAAAUACAAAACAACACAAAAGUCUUCAUUUGCUUCGCUUGUUAAUAAGAACGAGUAACACACAAAUCAAAAUCAAAACGCAAGCUUCCCAAAUUUUAAUUCAAAAACCCUAAUUUUAAAAAGUUACCGAUUUUGAGAGUAGAGAGUGUGACGCUGAUGAUUAGAUAGCCGGAGAAGAUGAUUAUCGAGCCGGAGAAGAUGAUUAGCGAGCCGGAGAAGACGAUUAGCGAGCCGGAGAAGAUGAUUCCCGAGCCGGAGACUUCGAUUCCCGAGUCGGAGAAGAUGAUUCCCGAGCCGGAGACGACGAUUCCCGAGUCGGAGAAGAUGAUUCCCGAGCCGGAGACGACGAUUCCCGAGUCGGAGACGACAGUGCCGGUGAGGGUUUGAAGAUUCCCGAGAGGAGACGACACGAUUCGCGAUCGAAUGAAAUGAAAUGUUUUUUUUUUCUAUUCUUAUAACAAAGGGUAUAAAGGUAAAUUACCCCUUUAAUGAAACCUAUUUUUGUGACUUCUGAUCCUGAGUGCUAGUUUGGGGAGGAAAACUUCAAAAGGUGCUAUUAUUGACAAUUGCCCUUUUAAAAACGUGCAUCAUUAAAAUGUUACCUAAAACAUGCAACACUAAUAUAUAACAUGCAUCAAUAAAACUAGAAUUUGACUCACACAAUUGUACGGAUAUUAUUUUCAGUUGAUUAAAUUUAAAAAUAAUUAUUUAUUCAAAAAAUAUUUAAGAAUGGCUAUGUUUUUAAAACUUAUAUGGUAUUAUUUGCUCAUAACUCAUUUGUCAUUUGAUAAAUUGUUAGAAAUAAAAAUUUUAGCAUAAUAUAACUCAGUUGUCAUUUGCUAAAUUUAUAGUUUUUAUUUAUAUUUUUUAUUAUUUAAUUAUAAUAUUUUCAUUUUAUAUUUGAAAGAUAAAUGAAUUUUCUUUCAAACAAUAUUUUUGUAAAUGUAUUUUUUAAAAAAUAAUCAACUAAAAUUGUUAUUAUCAUUGAAUAUAAUUAUUUUUGACAUAAUUUGAGUUUUCGUUUACAUCAAAACUUAUCAUAUUUUAGGAUAAUUUUAAUUUAAAAUGUAAUUUUCAUAUUUUUCAAACAAAUUCUAAAAAUAUUUUUUUAAAUAUUUUGUUAUAAUUGUUAAAAAAAUAUUGAGUUGCAUUUCAAAUAAAAAGGUAAAGAUAUUAAAAAUAUUCUAAUUAAAAUAUGUAAAAUUUAAUAUAGUUUUAAGGAAAUUGUCAAAAUAAAAAAAAUUACACAUAAAAUAAUCAUGAUUUUUGUUAACUGGGCGGAUCAUUAUUUAUAUGAUAUCGCACACGAAAGAAAAAAAAAUUUAAAUUAUCUAAUUAACUCUAUACUCAUUUUAUUUAUAUUUUUAUAUGGUAUCAUACAUUCGUAAAAAAAUAGAUAGUUUAAGAUGAAAAAAAAUAUAUUUACUUAAUGAAUAUAAUAUGAACGAAUAUUACAAAUACAUCAUUUAAUAAAAUAAAUAAUUAAAAAGUGAAAAUUCAUACCCGCGCUGGCGCGCGGAUCAGGAUCUAGUUUUAAAUUAUUCUACAUGUUAUUUCCCAAUUCAAAGUUUCAAACCAUAAAACCACAUAAUCUUUGUGGUUAAAAAAAAAGAAAAAAAAAGCAUAGGCGAUGGAGAGGCAUGUUUUAACGAGGGUCAAGUUGGUUUUUAUUUGGUUAAUUGUUUUUGGUUCAAGUGUUUCGACUUUAAUUUAGGUUGUAAACGAAUUUUGGUUUACGUUGUAAACCAUUAAAUCAGUGAAAAGCCGGGUUUGUGUUUCAGUUUUUUGAAUUGGUGAGUAAUACGUAAAAUAACUUAAAAUAUGUGAAAUUAAGAUGAAGUUGAAAGUUUGUGUAUAAUUGUUAUUAUAUGAUAUUUUGUGGGGGAAUUAUGUCCUUUACUCAAAAACAUUUAUAUAAGUUUAUAAAUUCAACCCCAUUUCCUAAUCUUAAAACCUAAACAAUAAUCAAUAAUCUAAACCCAAAUGUUAAUGUAGUUUUGAUUGAGCAUAUCUUUUUAAAAUUAGUAGCCAAUUUAGAAUAUUUCAAACUUCUUAAAAAUAUUCUAUUGAUGUAAAUAUAAAGAUUAUCUAUUGUAUAUAUGAUUAAAUAUUGGUUCCAUUUUAUAUAUUAAUUCAAAAUUAAGAAUUAAAUUUAUAAUAUAAUAGAAACUUUGGGUUUUAUUGGUUUUAUUAAAUAUCAAGGUUCAUAAUCAGAGAUAGUGAAAAACUAAAUUCAAGUUCGAGCUUAGAGUGAGAGAUGUGAAAAUAAAAAUAGAAUGAUCAAAAUGUUAAUGAGGCAAAGUCUUGAGAGAAAAUGAGAGAAAAUAGAAUUUUUAGGUUGAAAUCUAUUUAUAGAUGUCUUAAAACGAGCUGGAUCCACCCAAUAAAGCUCGGUCAAACCAAUAAAAAGUGGUCUUUCCGUCUGACAUGGUCAUCCCACUAUAAGUAGGUCGCUACAACACUUAGUUGUGUGGGGCUUCUUGGGGAACCAUAGCGACAUGCUCUGGUCGCUACAGCUAUGGUCGAUACAUGGUUGAUAUGACUCCAGUAGAUAGAUCAUAACUCCUUCAAUACAGCUACAAAUGAUUUGAAACCCCGGCAUUGGAAAGCUAACUCAAUUGUCUAUAUCGUCCCGAAAUUCGAGCUUCAGAAGAGAUCUUUAAGGCCGUCAUCCAUGUUCAUCUUUUACCCUUUUGACUCAAAACUCCUCAAAUUCCCUCAAACUCACCAAUAAAUAUCUCCAAAACCUGAUAUAGACACAUGCAAUGCGAUAUAAAUAUGUAUAAAUGCAUCUCUAUAUGAUCAUUAUAUACAUUAAAUGAUAAUUUAAAAUCAUGGAAAUUUAUAAGAUAUCAACCCUCCCACACUUAUCAUUUACUUGUCCAUAAGUAAACUUUCAAGAACAAAGUGAGAAAGAGGUGCGAAGGUGGAAGCUCAUUACCAAAAGAUAUUUUUCAAAGCCGUCAACGUGAUAUCCUUACAAAAUCAUACCAAAUAUCAAGAGCAAAACAUCAUAUGAAACUCUAACUUCUCUAGGCUGAUACUACUCAAAUUACCCUAAGGAGUGAUUUUACUCUCUCAAAUAAGAAGUUCAAUUGUAGUACUUAGGGAUCGAAGCUACAGAGAGUUAGGGCACACAAUAGACUAUUAAAACCAAGAUUAAGCUAGGCAAAGCAGUAAAUCAAUGAAAGCAAGAUGAACAAAGUAGUUGUUCCAUUGGUUGAUUGAGGUUGUAAACAAUUAAGAGAAAUAGCUAGACCUAGGGAUUUAUCAAUCAAGAGAUUCAAAACUUCAAUUCAAGGAUGCUAAUGGUUUACAGAUUAAUUUUAGAACUUGAUUUUAAUAAGUAAGCAAUCCAGCUUUCACAUGCAAUUGCUAAUCAGAUGUUUAAGUCCAGUCUCAGCUGUCGCUUAUUGACUUGGGGCGAGUGUCGAUCGAUGCUAUGGCCUGAGCGUCGAUCGAUACUUCCCCAGACAAGCAUUAACGACCUAAUCAAUAUAGUUCAACUAGAUUCCUAGACCAAUUCUCGCAUGCGCCUAGGUAUCUAAUCCAGCAGAGUUCGGGUUCCGUUAAUUGAUUGCACUUUCGUGCCUCUCAACUAUCCUAUGAUUCUAGGUUCAAAUAAUUAGUCGCACUGUCGUGUUAUUCUAACUAUUCCAGAUCCUAGUAUUACAAAUCAUCCUGGUGUAGAAAUCUAUAGAUAAUAUAGCAAUCCUAAUUGAUCAGUUUGACAUUAAGCUCAUGAAAUCCCUAAACCUAACAAGAUGAAUUACUUAGACAUGCAAACAAUAACACAAAUCAUAGUCUGAAAAAUAUAAUAGAUAAAUCAAUGGUAAGACAAAUGGAGUUCCAAUCAAUAUCUGAAGGAGAAUUGAUCUUCUCUCUAAACCUAAGAAAAAACAAUAGAAUAGGAUAAUAGAAAGCUUGUUACCGUUAACAAUGAUUUAUAAAUAAAUACAUAAAUAGGGUUUCUGGUCGUCCAUGGGUAUUUUGGUAACUUGGUGUGGCUUCUGGGCUUCAAACGGUCUUGAAAAAUGCGUGUCCCACGUUCUGGCAUCACUGUCGAUCGACACUAAUGCUGUGUUAACGAUCGACAGUUAUUCAUCUCCUCGAUAGCUUCUUCUCGCGAGGCAGACUGACUACUUUUCAGUAAAACGGUCAUAACCUCUGCUGCAGGUUACCAUUGACCUCAAACCGAUGGAAUUGGAAAGCUAACUCAAAGCUAUAUUUUGUGUCAAAAGAUGGGCUCAAUAUAACGGUGGGAAAGUCUCCAUCUAUAGCUAAAUAUCUGACGUGUAUGUGCCGCUCUGCACAUCAAAAGGCUCCAAAAGACACCAAAAUCACCACAUUCCUCCAAAUCGUCCAUGAACCUGUAAAUACUCUAAAUAGACUCUAUAUAGUAGUAAAUAUAUGUUAAAACACUUAUAGAUCAUGGCUAAAAGAGGGUAAAAUCCAUGGUCUAUCAACUUCCCCAGACUUACCCUUUUGUUUGUCCUCAAGCAAAACAGACGGACAGUCUCUCUGAAAGAGGUUUGAAAACAGCAGGGACUCACAUGAUUUAAAACUUAAACUCAAAAAUCAAUAUUUAUAUCGAGCAAUAACCAAAAUGAAAAAAAAACGACACAAAAAUGAGAAAAAUAUUGAAGAUAUUUAGGAUUGGCACGUGAACGUAAACUUCUCAUAACCAUAAUUAACUUUUAAAUUGCUAAAUCAUUAUAUAAAACAGAACUCUCAUAUUUUCAUUGUAACCAAAUAGUAGAUCUGAGAUUCUCUCGUCUAAAUGUUAGGUUCUUAUGCGAUAAAUGAAUUUUUGACCUAAGAUAUUUUUAAAAUAGAAUCAGCUCAUCAGUAAACAAAUUAUAUAAUUAACAAAAAAAAAAUUUUAAAUGAUUUAAGGGCCAAAAUUUAUUCGAUCAAUAAUAUAAAUUUUAUUUUUCCAUACGAUAUUUCUUAAAUAAUUCGUCCUACGCAAAGCGUACGUCUUAUCCAAGUAUACUUAAUAUAUUACCAAAAAAAUGUAUCCACAAGAUAUUAAUUUUACAGAAUUUUCCCAUUUUAUGUCUGAUUUGUUUCAGUUUGAUUUUCCUUUAAAAUUUUAAGGCUACAAAAAUGGAUAUCACUGAAUUAAUUUACGUUGUGUUAUUUAUUUUUUUGAAACUCAUUUACGUUGUGUUAAGUCGUAGAACCAUAGAACCAGGCCCGGCUUAAAUACAUUAUGGGCCUUGUGCAGACAUAUAUUUUUUCCCAAAAAUUAUAAGGAAAAAAGUUUCAUAGCUACCCGAAGUUUACACUAAUAUGGUGAAAACCAUCCAAUAUAUGAAAAUAUGUCUACAACAACACGAAGUUUAUGUUAAUACAUGUCACAUGUACGAAGUAAAUAAUAAUAUGGUAGCAACAUCACAAUUGGGUUUAAUUAAUUUUAAGCUAAGUUAAUGGGGUCAAUCCGUGAUUUACUAAACUUAAUAAACUUAAUAAUUUAAUAAACUUAAUAAACUUAAUGGUUUAUUAAGUUUCAUAAACUUAAUUUAUUUUAUUAAUAAACUUUAACUUAAAAACUUAAUAAUUUAUUAUACUUAAUAAAUUUAAUAAACUUAAUGGUUUAUUAAGUUUAAUAAACUUAAUUGAUUUUAUUAAUAAACUUUGUAAUUUAAUAAACUUUAACAUAAUAAACUUAAUAAUUUAUUAUACUUAAUAAGUUUAUUAAACUUAAUAAUUUAAUAAACUUAAUAAACUUAAACUUAACAAAUUUAUUAAACUUAAACUUAAUAAACUUAAUAAAUUCAUUAAACUUAAACUUAAUAAACUUCAUAAAUUCAUUAAAUUUGUUCAAUUUAUUAAGUUUAAUAAAUUUAUUAAGUUUAUUAAUAAAUGAUUAAGUUUAUUAAGUUUAUUAAUAAAUGAUUAAGUUUAUUAAGUUUAUUAAUUAAUGAUUAAUUUUAUUAAGUUUAAUAAAUUUAUUAAUUUUUAUAAGUUUAAUAAAUUUAUUAAUUUUAUUAAGUAAGUUUAAUAAAUUAUUAAGUUUAUAAACAAAAUCAAUUAAGUUUAUUAAAAUUAAUAAAUCAUUAAGUUUAUUAAGUUUAGUAAAUUACGGAUUGGCCUCACUAACUUAGUUUAAAGUCAAUUAAACCCGAUUGUGAUGUUGCCACUAUAUUAUUAUUUACUUCGUACAUGUACAUGUGACAUGUAUUAACAUAAACUUCGUGUAGUUGUUGACACAUUUUCAUACAUUGGAUGCUUUUCACCAUAUUAGUGUAAACUUCGUGUAGUUAGAAAACUUUUUUCCAAAUUAUAAUGAUAUUUCCUUAAAUUUACAAAUUAGGACUCUGUGCAUGUGCACCUUGAGCACACCCCAAGAGCCAACACUGAAUAGAACCAAAUAAGAAAGAUUUCUGAUAAAAAGAUUGUAUGAUUAUUUAGGAGACUAGAUUCCAUGUUGUGUGCCGUGCUGCCGUGCUGAAAAUACUUUUAGUUUUAUAACCCAUGUUCAAAAACACGGCCGAGUUGGCCGACUUCGCGCCGGUCAAACGUAAUUCGGUGGUGUUUUGCCGCGAUUUUGUGUUAUUCGGGUAAAAACUCGGAUUAAAAAAAUAUACAUAUUUUGACAUUUUCCAGUUUGAAAUCGGUUCUUUAAGCAUAGAUCUAUCAUAUUUCAUUGUUACCGAUCAAGAAUUGAAGUUAAUCGUCGAAGAAAAAAAUGAUUUAUGUUAAAAAUAAAUGAAAAACGGCUGUUAAUUAGGGUUGGAGAAAAAACAGGUCGGGAGGAAAAUGAUGAAAGUAAAAUUACAAAUGUGUCUUUCAUUAAUGAAAUGUUUAAAGAAAGAGCAAAAAAAUGGACAUUUUUGGGAAUUGAACCCGGGAGAAGAGAACUAGUUUUUUUAAGGACUUGCAUGCAUGAGAUUCUACGCGUACAGUUUUACGAUGCAAGUCCUUACGGUACAUUGUAAAACUGUACCGACAUCGUCAAUGUUUAGUCUACGCGUACGGUUAUAACUCACUAGUUAUUUAUAUUAUUAUUAUUAAUUUAUUAUUAUGGCGGAGUCGUCACAUGCAUGCAUGAGAUUCAUUCAUUCAUAAUGUCACACUCACACACUAUCCAUUCCCCUUUUUUUUUUGGACUCUUUUUUUUUUGUUAUAAAGAAAAUAAAAUUCUUAAAGUGACAGACUUCACGGGUUACACUGUGUUACUACCCGCCAAAUUCUACCCGCCACCUUUUAAAUUUCAUUUUAGUUUCUUCACCGUCAAUAAAUCGUCAGGACAAAAUAAAUACUUUUACAUUUCAUUGUUUUAUCGUACCAAGUGUGGUCAGUAUCUCUAAUAAUUUUGAAGAAUAUUUAGAAAACUAGUUAGAUUAUAAUUUUCGACGAUGUUAAUAUAUAUGUCGAAGUAAAUAAGGUAAAAAAAAAUGGUUCGUUUAUGGUUUUAUAUGGCAUUUAAAUUUUGAAUAUUGACUAUCAGAUUCAGUAUAUCAUUUAGAAUAGAAACAAAAGUAACCUAAAACUUAUAGAUUGAACUUCUUUUCAGAAUGUAUAUGCAGAGCCGGUCCUAGUGUAUUUGAGGUUACAAGCUAAAAAAUAAAAAAUGGCCGAAUUUUUUUUUUUUUUGCACUAGGGAAUUAUCGAACCUUGCUCUUUCAGACUAGACAUAUGUUGAUUCAACCACUAGACUACACAAGUUUUUGAUAAUUUUGUGGCCGCUUUUAUAUUUAUAAAGUGGCGGCCGGAAGUCCAUGCUUCACCAGCUUGGGCCCAAGACCGGCACUGUGUAUAUGGCACUGUGUAUAUGCAUUUACAGCUUUAGUAUCCUUUGAAUUAUUAAUUAUCAAAAAAAAAUUGUAUCCUUUGAAUUAUCGAUUAUACUAGCCAGAAUUAGUACAUGCUGACCUAUUUACAUUAUAUUUGAAAUCCCAUAGUGAAUACGCGCACCAUGACUAGUAUUACUAUUAUUGUAUUAUAUUAUAUUUACAUUAAUAUGUAAUAUGAAAAAACUAUAAAGAGAAUCAUCAGUCACGGACAUCAUGACUCAAUCACUCUAAGCUAGAAUGCUAGAUACGGAAUAUCUUUCAGAAGCGUGGGACUAAAAUAUUACAAGAAAUAGCUUCGAACAAUUCACAGAAGCUAGCAUGGUGAAAAAUAAUCUUGAACCCAACAGACUACUUUUGGUCGGGAACCCCAAUAAGUUGGAACUUUGUUCAAGAUUUAUCAACCUAUAUUUGUAUAUGAAUAGUUGAAUAGUGUAUAUCCCAAGAACUGAUUCUCUUUUUCCUAUUUGUAUAGGCAAAGACAUAAACUAGCACCCAAGAGAACUUGCCUAUGAUCCUCUCUCUCAAAAAAAUGUGGACCUAACAAGGAAGGAACAAGACAAAAAGAGUGAGAACGAUUUUUUUUAUUAUAUCUUGUAACUAUAUAGAGAAUGGGAGGUGUCUCGUAAGUCAAGUAGUAAUGACAAAACCCCUUCAUAAAUUGUCUACCCACUGGGCACUACACUACAAGAACCUUUGGUUGCUCCCAUUGUUUUCACCUAUAAAUUACAAAUAUGACUAUGCCUAAGGUUCUUAAGAAACCUAAUAUAACGAAGGUUUAAGUUAGUGGCUUCUAAAAGCUUAGACUAUGCAUUCUCUAAUAUUGAUUAUAGACUAAACAUUGACAAUGUCGGUACAGUUUUACGCGUUGGCUUUAGAUAUUAUAAGGACUUGAUCUGAGGUUUAGUUAAAAUAAGGUGCAAGACAUAAGACAUGAUUCUUAAAAGGUACUAGCUUAAGACCCGCGCAAUUGCACGAGGUGAAUGUUAUAUAUAAAACUAAUUUUUAUCUAUUAUUAUUUAUUUAUAUUCAUUUACGUAUUAUGUAUAUAAUUAAAUUAGAGUAAGAACAUAAAUCAAAACAAUACAUCUUGUUUAUUUACGAUACUUUUUUGGUAAAUAAAUCAAAACAAUCAUUUUAUUUAUUUUCUAUGGUAUAUAACUAAAUUUCAGUAACAUGGACAUAGAUAUAUAGUAUAUUUUAAUAUAAAUAUUUAUUAUUGAAAAUUCAUACUCAUAUGAUAAACACAAAAUUUCUAAUGUGCGAUUUUUUAAUGCAAAUUUUAAAAUUUAAAUAUUAAGGUUUCAAUACUUUUUCAAUAUAAAUUUAGAAAUUAUCAUAUUUAAGUAUUAUUCUAUGUUAUAUAGUUUAAUUUUAAACUAUAUUAUUAUAUAAUAUGAAUGUCUAGCAAAUGAGACUUCAUAUUCAUACGAUUUAUGAUCAUUUGUAUCUUGUUAUUACCAAAACAAAGUUAAACCAUUGAUCACAAAAUUUUAGUGUGAGACAUUUAACGUUUUUAAUAAUUUAUAGUCGUUUUAGAAAUUCAAAAUAUAACAUAUAUUUUUUUAUUAUUAUUAUAUGGUUAAUGUUGUUGUUUAAUAUUUUUUAAUAAUAUAAAAUUAAACAAAAAAGAGCUAAGAUACAAAAUUUAUUAUCAAAUAUUUAUUAUUCAUAAUCAUUAAUUAUCAUAUAUACAUUAAUCAUAUUAAGCAACUCCGUAGCUUUUAUUUAAGGAAAGUGCGAGAAUAUUAUUUUGUACACUAUUUAUAAAUUUAAUAGUUAGUUUAAUAAAAAAAUAUAAUAUAAGUUAAGAUAAACCAACCUAUUUUUCUAUGAAUUCUGAAAUUCAUUCUCAUGGUCACACGUGACUACAAAAUAAUGUUGUAAUGUUUCACAAUUAAUAUAUAAAAAAGAUUAUUGGCAUGCUUCACGAAGCUAAUUUUUGACCAAAUAUGCAAAUAUAAACUAUGGAAAUUUCUUAGGAACAUACUAGUAAUGAAAAUCAUUGGAGAUCGUACUAUCGUUAUUCGUUACUGAUUCUUUUGCAAAAAUAAACAUAUAAGAAAUGAUUAUGCUAGUUUAUGUUGCUGAGUGCUACAGUUUAUGGGUCUGACCGGUGACCAUUCAUAAAACAAGAGGAACAACAGAAAAAGAAUAUACCGGAAAAAAAUAGCAAGAAUGAAAGUGAAUGGUUAUUGCUUCUCAAAUUUAAUAAGGAAUAAUUUUAUUUUUUAAUUUUCUACAAAAAAAAAGAACGAAAAAGAAUGAGAUAGAAUUAUUAUUCCUUGUGAAUGGUGAUUUUUUAUAGGAACGUUAGAGAAUGCAUUAUUUCCCAUCAUUUCUUGGUCACCUUUCGUAAAAUAGUGUUGUUUUUCUAAUUAAGCAUUUUCAUGUUUUUGUUUUUCUAAACAUUUUCAUGUUGUUUGUUUUUCUAUACAUUUUCAUGUUACGGUAUAUAUAGGCUGAGCAUGUCCAAGCUAUUCAAAAUUAACCGAAUCGUGGAACAGAUCCAGUAACUAGCUAAUUCAUAGUUCUAUUAAAAUUGAGGUUAAGUAUAUAAAAGAAAAAAAAAACAAAGAAAUGAAUAGUAACAAAACUAGAGAGAGAACAGAAAGGAAUAGAGAUUUUGCCGAAACUUUUCUAAGUACAGUGUCUGAGUAUUUUUUUGGUAAUCAUGUUAAAUCAGUGUCUGAGUUCUUCAAACCUUCUCAGACUUGUCGUUUGUAAUUAAUCAUUAUCUGGCCGAUUAAAAAUGAUUAACGUAUUUGAUUUCGUGUUUUCCGAAUGCUUUCACACUAACCAAUUACAUUUUCACAAAAUUUACAAAUAGGUUCGUAGAGCAUGCAGCCAUGUGAUGAGCACAAAAGUGAACAAUUCUUUAGCAGUUUACUUAUAUCAACGUAAAUAGCGAAUGUUAUUCCUAAAUUUCCCUGAAAAGAUAAGAAUCUACGACUACAAAGAUACGCCAAUUUAGGAAAGUAUGACAAACCCUUUAAUUUCGUUUUGGAACUAAGUGACCUUAUACCUGCUUAAUAAAAUCUAAUAUUCCAAUCAUCUAAUCACAGUUUGGUGCUUACACUAUUAAAAAUAAACAAAUAUCGGCGAAUACUUUUUCUAUAAAAGGGUGCACACUAUCAUAUACCUACUUACUAAGUCGUUUACACAACCCAAACCCUCAUUCUAAGAGAUGGGGUCUCACACACAAAACCUCUCUUUUCUUAUCCUCCUUCUCCUAGGCUUCCUUGCUGUCUCAUUCGCUUGCGAAUGUAGCCCUCCUAAACCAUCUCCGAGACCCCACAAACCGCCUAAACAUCCCGUCAAACCGCCUAAACCACCAGCAGCCAAACCACCAAAACCACCGGCAGUAAAACCUCCUAAACCCCCCACCAAACCUCCCACCCUUAAACCACACCCCCACCCUAAACCUCCCACCGUUAGACCACAUCCACACCCUAAGCCCCCUACCAAACCUCAUCCCAUCCCAAAACCGCCCACCGUUAAACCACCACCCUCCACACCCAAACCGCCCACAAAACCACCCACCGUUAAACCACCUCCAUCCACCCCUAAGCCGCCCACCAAACCACCCACCGUCAAACCACCACCCUCCACCCCAAAACCGCCCACCAAGCCACCCACCGUCAAACCACCUCCGUCCACCCCUAAACCACCUACCCACAAGCCACCAACAGUGUGCCCACCGCCAACACCAACACCAACCCCACCUGUUGUAACGCCACCAACACCACCAACACCAACUCCACCAGUCGUUACGCCACCAACACCAGCCCCACCUGUUGUAACGCCACCAACACCAACACCACCGGUCGUAACGCCACCGACACCAACCCCUCCUGUCGUAACACCUCCAACACCACCGGUCGUAACGCCACCGACACCAACUCCUCCUGUCGUAACACCACCAACACCACCGGUCGUAACGCCACCGACACCAACCCCUCCUGUCGUAACACCUCCAACACCACCGGUCGUAACGCCACCGACACCAACCCCUCCUGUCGUAACACCACCAACACCAACUCCACCUAAGCCAGAAACGUGCCCAAUCGACACGUUGAAGCUAGGCGCUUGUGUAGACGUUCUUGGAGGUUUAAUUCACAUCGGGCUUGGUGGAAGUAGCGCCAAGAAAGAGUGUUGUCCGGUUUUGGGAGG
rnacentral:lncRNA from 1 species